rnacentral:lncRNA from 1 species
UUCUACAACAAUCACGGGCCUACUUUUGGCGACAUGUCUACCAACAACGUAUUUAUCUUCUCCNNNNNNNNNNNNNNNNNNNNNNNNNNNNNNNNNNNNNNNNNNNNNNNNNNNNNNNNNNNNNNNNNNNNNNNNNNNNNNNNNNNNNNNNNNNNNNNNNNNNUCAUCAAACUACAUCAUGUUUCUUCACACCCGCAUAUGAAACUGUAAAAUUUGAAAGAAAAAACGUUCUCGGGUGAAACUACAUCAUGUUUCUUCAGACCCGUAUAUGAAACUGUAAAAUUUAAAGAAAAAAACGUCCGCGGGUGAAACUACAUCAUGGUUCUUUAUCAAACUACAUCAUGUUUCUUCAUCAAACUACAUCAUGUUUCUUCAUCAAACUACAUCAAACUACAUCAUAUUUCUUCAUCAAACUACAUCAUGUUUCUUCAUCAAACUACAUCAUGGUUCUUCAUCAAACUACAUCAAACUACUCUUCUCUCUCUCUCUCUCUCUCGUCUGUGUCGCGAGAGCUACUCCGGCCACCGCUCUACUACUCCUAGCGUACUAGACUAGUAGACGGAGUAUUUCUUCUAGUAAAUAAUGGUUUUCCUAUAUAAUGUGAUGAGAGAUGAGAUGUAUUACCUUUACUAAAUGCCCCUUGACGGAUCUUAUAUCCCACAUUGACCCUUGUCUAUCACGCCUCACCGUCCGAAUGCCUUCCUACUAGGCGCCUUUGACCCCCGCUCCUCCCGCCCACCUUCCAUCCGAGCAAGUCGCCCCCUUCCUAGCGUCACAUUCUGAAUCCACGGAGCCACACUCGCAGGUCCCCGCCCCCUUCCUCCUCUCCUUUCCUUGUUCCUCAUGGACCCGACGCCAAUUCCAGACGGACUAUCGUACACCGGCGACUCCCCGUGGCAAAAGCAGCAGCCUGGCCGCAUCCCCUCGUGGGUAUAACCCACGCCCCAGCCUCAAAUCCCGAGCGGUAGAAGAAUGGAGAUGAGGCGAUCUACCGAAAGCAGCAGGUAAUCUUCUUACGAAUCAACUUGGCAGGAUGUAUAUGAGUUGUGUACUAUAUACCUUUAGAGCAUCUCUAGCAACCCCCCGUAAAAGAGUGACUCGCAAAAUGUGUUUACAGGUCGCUGCAGCUCAAUUUUCCGGGGCCAUUUCGUGCAUCAAAGAUCAUACCCGCAUAUGAAAGUGUAAAAAUUGAAGAAAAAAACGUUCGUGGGUGAAACUACAUCAUGGUUCUUCAUCAAACUACAUCAUGUUUCUUCAGACCCGUAUAUGAAAUUGUAAAAUUUGAAGAAAAAACGUUCGCGGGUGAAACUACAUCAUGGUUCUUCAUCAAACUACAUCAUGUUUCUUGAGACCCAUAUAUGAAACUGUAAAAGUUGAAGAAAAAAACGUUCGCGGGUGAAACUACAUCAUGGUUCUUCAUCAAACUACAUCAUGUUUCUUCAGACCCGUAUAUGAAACGGUAAAAUUUGAAGAAAAAUACGUUCGCGGGUGAAACUACAUCAUGGUUCUUCAUCAAACUACAUCAUGUUUCUUCAUCAAACUACAUCAUGGUUCUUCAUCAAACCACAUCAUGGUUCUUCAUCAAACUACUCCUCUCUCUCUCGUCUGUGUCGCGAGAGCUACUCCGUCCGCCGCUCUACUACUCCUAGCGUACUAGACUAGUGGGCAGUAGACGACGGAGUAUUUCCUCUACUAAAUAAUGGUUCUCCUAUAUAAUGCGAUGUGAUGAGAUGAGAUGUAUUACCUUUACUAAAUGCACCCUGACGGAUAUUAUAUCGCACAUUGACCACCGCUUAUCAUGCCUCACCGUCCGAAUGCCUUCCUACUAGGUGCCUUUGACCCCCGCUCCUCCCGCCCUCCUUCCCUCCCGAGAAAGUCGCCCCCUUCCUAGCGUCACAUUCUGAAUCCACGAACAUUUUUAUGUAGGAUGGCGUAUCGUAAUUGAAAGGAUCGAUAUUGUUGACUAGAGGGGGGGGGGGGGUUGAAUAGACAACGACCACUUUUUAAAUAAUCUUAGCAAGUUAAGGUAAAUAAUAUAUGGGUUCACAAAUGUUACGACAAUGAGGUGAACCCUAAUGGAGCUAACAACAAGAGCUAUUAAGACAAGUAAGAUAUAGUCAACAAUAUAAGCAUACACAAAGUAAAGGUUAGAAUAACCACAAGUGGAACCGAUGGAGACGAGGAUGUGUUACCGAAGUUCCUUCCCUUUGACAGGAAGUACGUCUCCGUUGGAGCGGUGUGGAGGCACAAUGCUCCCCAAUAAGCCACUAAGGCCACCGUAUUCUCCUCACGCCCUCGCACGAUGCAAGGUACCGUGAUUCCACUAUAGGUGCCCUUGAAGGCGGCGACCGAACCAUUACAAACAAGGUUGGGGCAAACUCCACACAAAGCUUGGAGGCUCCCAACUAGACCACGAAGCUUCACCACAAUGGAAUAUGGCUUCGAGGUGACCUCAACCAUCUAGGAUGCUCAAACACCCAAGAGUAACAAGAUCCGCAAGGGAUUGGUGGGGUAAUCAACUUUUCUCUUGGUGGAAGUGUGGAUCUAGGCCUUCUCAACCAAUCCCUAAAGAAUCAACAAAUUUGAUUGGCUAGGGAGAGAGAUCGGGCACUUUUGAGCUUAGGAGCAACAAUGGAGCUUGAGAGGGUAAGAGAUAAGGUUCCACAGCUAGAAGAACCCUUUAUAUAGUGGGGGAAAAAAUCCAACCGUUUUCCCACUCUCUGCCCGAGCUCCAGCGGUACUACCGCUAGCUGCAGCGGUACUACCGCUGGCACUCGAGCGGUACUACCGCUGACCAGGGGCGGUGUUGGAAAUGUGCCCUAGAGGCAAUAAUAAAAUGGUUAUUAUCAUAUUUCCUUGUUCAUGAUAAUCGUCUAUCGUUGAUGCUAUAAUUGUAUUAACAGGAAACAGUAAUACAUGUGUGAAUGAAUAGAUCACAAUGUGUCCCUAGCAAGCCUCUAGUUGGCUAGCUCGUUAGUCAAUAGAUGAUCAUGGUUUCCUGAUCAUGGACAUUGGAUGUCAUUGAUAACGGGAUCACAUCAUUGGGAGAAUGAUGUGGUGGACAAGACCCAAUCCUAAGCCUAGCACUAGAUCGUAUUGUUCGUAUGCUAAUGCUAUUCUAAUGUCAAGUAUCUUUUCCUUCGACCGUGAGAUUGUGCAACUCCCGGAUACCGUAGGAGUGCUUUGGGUGUAUCAAACGUCACAACGUAACUGGGUGACUAUAAAGGUGCACUACGGGUACCUCCGAAAGUGUCUGUUGGGUUGGCACGAAUCGAGAUCGGGAUUUGUCACUCCGUGUGACGGAGAGGUAUCUCUGGGCCCACUCGGUGGAACAUCAUCAUGAUCUCAAUGUGACUAAAGAGUUGGUCACAUGAUGACGUGCUACGGAACGAGUAAAGAGACUUACCGGUAACGAGAUUGAACAAGGUAUAGGUAUACCGACGAUCGAAUCUCGGGCAAGUUCUAUACCGACAGACAAAGGGAAUUGUAUACGGGAUUGAUUGAAUCCUUGACAUCGUGGUUCAUCCGAUGAGAUCAUCGUGGAGCUAGUGGGUGCCACCAUGGGUAUCCAGACCCCGCUGAUGGUUAUUGGCCAGAGAGGUGUCUCGGUCAUGUCUGCCUGUCUCCCGAACCCGUAGGGUCUACACACUUAAGGUUCGAUGACGCUAGGGUUAUAGGGAAUUGUUGUACGAGGUUAUCGAAAGUUGUUCGGAGUCCCGGAUGAGAUCCCGGACGUCAUGAGGAGCUCUGGAAUGGUCCGGAGGUAAAGAUUGAUAUAUAGGACGGAUGGUUUCGGACACCGGAAGUGUUUCGGGCAUCACCGGUAACGUACCGGGACCACCGGGACCACCGGAGGUGGUCCCGGGGGACCACCGAAGGGGGGCAACGACCCCGGGAGGCUAGAUGGGCUAAGUGGGGAAGGGAACCAGCCCCUAAGUGGGCUGGUGCGCCCCCCACCCAGCCCAUGUGCACCAGAAAAAAGGGGAAGGGGGGGAACCCUAACUUAGGUGGGUCUUAGGCCCACCAGAGGGGUGCGCCACCCCUCCUCCUUGCCCUGGCCGCCACACCCCCCAUCUGGGAGGGCUGCCGCACCCCCUAGGGUGGGAACCCUAGGGGUGGCACCCCCUCUUCCCUUCCCCUAUAUAUAGUGGGCACUUUUGGCCUUUGGAGGACACGGUUUUCCCUCUCCCUCGGCACAACCCUGCACUUCUUCCUCCUCCUCUCUGCCGGUGCUUGGCGAAGCCCUGCCGGGAGACCUCGUCUCUCCACCGACACCACGCCGUCGUGUUGCUGGACUUCUUCCCCAACCUCUCCCUCCUCCUUGCUGGAUCAAGGUGCGGGAGACGUCACCGGGCUGCACGUGUGUUGAACGCGGAGGUGCCGUUGUUCGGCACUAGAUCGGAAUCGACGCGAGUAUGACUCCAUCAACCGCGUUCUAGCAACGCUUCCGCUUAGCGAUCUUCAAAGGUAUGAAGAUGCUCUUACCCCUCUCUCGUUGCUGGUCUCUCCAUAGGAAGAUCUGAUCAUGCGUAGGAAAAUUUUGAAUUUAUGCUACGUUGCCCAACAGUGGCAUCCGAGCCAGGUUUUCUAUGCGUAGAUUCCAUGCACGAGUAGAACACAAAAGUUGUGGGCGAUGGUUUGUCAAUUUGCUUGCCGUUACUAGUCUUAUUCUUUUCCGGCGGUAUUGUGGGAUGAAGCGGCCCGGACCGACCUUACACGUACGCUUACGUGAGACUGGUUCCACCGACAGACAUGCACAUCGUGCAUAAAGGUGGCUAGCGGGUGUCUGUCUCUCCUACUCUAGUCGGAUUGGAUUUGAUGAAAAGGGUCCUUAUGAAUGGUAAAUAGCUCUGGCAUAUCAUCGUUGUGGCUGUCACGUAGGUAAGAAGGCAUUCUUGCUAGAAACCCAAAUCAGCCACGUAAAACUUGCAACAACAAUUAGAGGACGUCUAACUUGUUUUUGUAGGGUUUGACAUGUGAUGUGAUAUGGCCAAAGUUAUGAUGUUGCAUGUAUGAUGUAUGAGAUGAUCAUGUUAUUGUAAUAGGUUUCACGACUUGCAUGUCGAUGAGUAUGACAACCGGCAGGAGCCAUAGGAGUUGUCUUAAUUUAUUGUAUGAGAUGCAACGCCAUGUGCAUACUACUUUUACUUCAUUGCUAACGGUUAGCCAUAGUAGUAGUGAUAGUAGUAGUUGGCGUGACGACUUCACGGAGACACGAUGAUGGAGAUCAUGAUGAUGGAGAUCAUGGUGUCACGCCGGUGACGAUGAUGAUCAUGCGAUGCCUGAAGAUGAAGAUCGAAAGAGCAAAGAUGAUAAUGGCCAUAUCAUGUCACUAUAUGAUUGCAUUGUGAUGUUUAUCAUGUUUUACAUCUUAUUGCUUAAAACGACGGUAGCAUAAUAAGAUGAUCCCUCUUAAAAUUUCGAGAACGUAUUCCCCUAAGUGUGAACCGUUGCGAAGGUUCGUUGUCUCGAAGCACCACGUGAUGAUCGGGUGUGAUAGAUUCUAACGUUCGCAUACAACGGGUGUAAGCCAGAUUUACACACGCAAAACACCUAGGUUGACUCGACGAGCUUAGCAUGUACAGACAUGACCUCAAAUACAAGAGACCGAAAGGUCGAACAUGAGUCGUAUGGUUGAAUACGAUCAGCAUGAGGUUGCUCACCAUGGUGACUAGUCCGUCUCACGUGAUGAUCGGACACGGGUUAGUCAACAUGGAUCAUGUAUCACUUAGAUGACUAGAGGGAUGUAGAUUUAAGUGGGAGUUCAUACUUAAUUUGAUUAAAUGAACUUAAUUGUCAUGAACUUAGUCUAAAAGUUGUCUUUAUAAAUAUUGUAGAUGUCCAACGUCAACCUCAACUUCAAUGCAUUCCUAGAGAAAAACAAGCUGAAAGAUGAUGGUAGCAACUAUGCGGACUGGGUUCGCAACCUGAAGCUCAUCCUUGAAGCAGCUAAAAAGGCUUAUGUCCUUAUUGCGCCGCUAGGUGACCCUCCCGCUCCCGCAGCAGCCCAGGACAUUCUAAACGUCUGGCAAGCGUGGAGUGAUGACUACUCUCUGGUCAGGUGUGGCAUGUUAUACAGUUUAGAAACGGGGCUCCAAAGACGUUUUGAGCAACACGGGGCAUAUGAGAUGUUCCAAGAGCUAAAGCUAGUUUUUCAAUCUCAUGCCCGUGUCGAGAGAUAUGAAGUCUCCGACAAGUUCUUCAGUUGUAAGAUGGAGGAGAACAGUUCUGUCAGCGAGCACAUACUCAAAAUGUCUGGGUUACACGGUCGUCUGACUUCACUUGGAGUCGAACUUCCGGAUGAUGCUAUCAUUGACAGAAUCCUCCAGUCUCUCCCACCAAGCUACAAAGGCUUUGUGCUUAACUACAACAUGCAAGGGAUGGAGAAAACCAUUCCCGAGUUGUACUCGAUGCUCAAGUCUGCAGAAGUAGAAAUCAAGAAGGAGCAUCAAGUGUUGAUGGUCAACAAGACCACUACUUUCAAGAAAGGCAGGGGUAAGAAGAACUUCAAGAAAGACGACAAAGCUGUUGCCGCGCCCGGUAAGCCAGAUGCCGGGAAGAAGAAAAAGAACGGACCCAAGCCUGAGACUGAGUGCUUCUACUGCAAGGGAAAAGGCCACUGGAAGCGGAACUGCCCCAAAUACUUAGCGGACAAGAAGGCCGGCAACGUUAAAGGUAUAUAUGAUAUACAUGUUAUUGAUGUGUACCUUACCAGCGCUCGUAGUAGCUCCUAGGUAUUUGAUACCGGUGCUGUUGCUCACAUUUGCAACUCAAAGCAGGAACUGCGGAAUAAGCGGAGACUGGCCAAGGACGAGGUGACAAUGCACGUCGGGAAUGGUUCAAAGGUCGAUGUGAUCGCCGUCGGCACGCUACCUCUACAUCUACCGUCGGGAUUAGUUUUAAACCUUAAUAAAUGUUAUUUAGUACCAGCUUUAAGCAUGAACAUUGUAUCAGGAUCUUGCUUAAUGCGAGAUGGCUACUCAUUUAAGUCAGAGAAUAAUGGUUAUUCUAUUUAUAUGAGUGAUAUGUUUUAUGGUCAUGCUCCGCUGGUGAAUGGUUUAUUCUUGAUGAAUCUCGAUCGUGAUGUUACACAUAUUCAUAGUGUGAGUACCAAAAUAUGCAAAGUUGAUAAUGAUAGUCCCACAUACUUGUGGCACUGCCGCCUUGGUCAUAUCGGCGUUAAGCGCAUGAAGCAGCUCCAUACUGAUGGACUGCUAGAGUCUCUUGACUUUGAAUCAUUUGACACAUGCGAACCGUGCUUCAUGGGCAAGAUGACUAAGACUCCAUUCUCAGGAAUAAUGGAGAGAGCAACCGACUUAUUGGAAAUAAUACAUACUGAUGUGUGUGGUCCAAUGAACGUUGAAGCUCGCGGUGGUUAUCGUUAUGUUCUCACUCUCACCGAUGAUUUGAGUAGGUAUGGGUAUAUCUACUUGAUGAAGCACAAAUCUGAGACGUUUGAAAAGUUCAAGGAAUUUCAGAGUGAGGUUGAGAAUCAACGUGACAGAAAAAUUAAAUGUCUACGAUCUGAUCGUGGAGGAGAAUAUUUGAGUCACGAGUUUGGCACGCACCUAAGGAAGUGUGGAAUCGUUUCACAACUGACGCCGCCUGGCACACCGCAGCGCAACGGAGUGUCUGAACGUCGUAAUCGCACUUUAUUAGAUAUGGUACGAUCUAUGAUCUCUCUCACCGACUUACCGCUUUCAUUUUGGGGAUACGCAUUAGAAACUGCAGCAUUCACUUUAAAUAGGGCACCGUCUAAAUCUGUUGAGACGACACCGUAUGAACUAUGGUUUGGCAAGAAACCUAAGUUGUCGUUUCUUAAAGUUUGGGGCUGCGAUGCUUAUGUGAAGAAACUUCAACCAGAAAAGCUCGAACCCAAAGCGGAGAAAUGCGUAUUCAUAGGAUACCCUAAGGAAACUAUUGGGUAUACCUUCUAUCUUAGAUCCGAAGGUAAAACCUUUGUUGCCAAGAACGGAUCCUUUCUAGAGAAAGAGUUUCUCUUGAAAGAAGUAAGUGGGAGGAAGGUAGAACUUGAUGAGGUAAUUACACCCCCUCUCGAACAGGAAAGUAGCGCAAUGCAGGAAGUUGUUCCUGUGGCGCCUACACCGACUGAAGAGGAAGUUAAUGAUGAUGAUCAUGAAGCUUCGGAUCAAGUUACUACUGAACCGCGAAGGUCCACAAGGGUACGCUCCGCACGAGAGUGGUGCGGCAACCCUGUGAUGGAAAUCAUGUUGUUAGACAACGGUGAACCUUCGAACUAUGAAGAAGCGAUGGCGGGCCCGGAUUCCAACAAAUGGCUUGAGGCCAUGAAAUCCGAGAUAGGAUCCAUGUAUGAGAACAAAGUAUGGACUUUGGUGGACUUGCCCGAUGACCGGCGAGCCAUAGAAAAUAAAUGGAUCUUCAAGAAGAAGACUGAUGCAAACGGUAAUGUAACCGUUUACAAAGCUCGACUUGUCACAAAGGGUUUUCGACAAAUUCAAGGAGUUGACUACGAAGAGACUUUCUCUCCCGUAGCGAAGCUGAAAUUAGUCCGAAUCAUGUUAGCGAUUGCCGCCUUUUAUGAUUAUGAAAUUUGGCAAAUGGACGUCAAAACAGCGUUCCUUAACGGGAACCUUAAGGAAGAGUUGUAUAUGAUGCAACCAGAAGGUUUUGUCGACCCUAAGGGUGCUAACAAAGUGUGCAAGCUCCAGCGCUCCAUCUAUGGGCUGGUGCAAGCAUCUCGGAGUUGGAACAUUCGCUUUAAUGAGGUGAUUAAAGCGUUUGGGUUCAUACAGGUUUACGGAGAAGCCUGUCUGUACAAGAAAGUGAGUGGGAGCUAUGUAGCUUUCCUCGUACUAUAUGUGGAUGACAUAUUAUUGAUGGGGAAUGAUAUAGAGAUGUUGGAGAGCAUAAAGGCCUAUUUGAACAAGAGUUUUUCAAUGAAGGACCUUGGAGAAGUUGCAUACAUAUUAGGCAUCAAGAUCUAUAGAGAUAGAUCGAGACGCCUCAUAGGUCUUUCGCAAAGUACAUACCUUGACAAGAUAUUGAAGAAGUUCAAUAUGGAAAACUCAAAGAAAGGGUUCUUGCCAGUUUUGCAAGGUAUGAGAUUGAGUAAGACUCAGUCGCCGACCACGGCAGCAGAUAGAGAGAAGAUGAGUUCUGUCCCCUACGCUUCAGCCGUGGGCUCUCUAAUGUAUGCCAUGCUGUGUACCAGACCUGAUAUAAACCUUGCCAUAAGCUUGGUAGGGAGGUACCAAAGUAAUCCCGGUGCAGAACACUGGACAGCGGUCAAGAAUAUCCUUAAGUACCUGAAAAGGACUAAGGAAAUGUUUCUCGUUUAUGGAGGUGACGAAGAGCUCGUCGUAAAGGGUUACGUUGACGCUAGCUUCGACACAGAUCCGGAUGACUCUAAGUCACAAACCGGAUACGUAUAUGUGUUGAAUGGUGGGGCAGUGAGCUGGUGCAGCAGCAAGCAAGAAGUCGUGGCAUCAUCUACAUGUGAAGCGGAGUACAUAGCUGCUUCAGAAGCAGCUCAUGAAGGAAUUUGGAUGAAGGAGCUCAUCACCGACCUUGGAGUGGUUCCAAGCGCGUCGGGUCCUAUGACACUCUUCUGUGAUAACACUGGACCAUUGCCAUAGCCAAGGAGCCCAGGUUUCACCGGAAGACGAAGCACAUCAAGCGCCGCUACAACUCCAUCUAGGACCAUGUCCAGAGUGGAGUGACAGAUAUUUGUAAAGUACACACGGAUCUGAAUAUUUCAGACCCGUUGACUAAACCUCUUCCACGAGCAAAACAUGAUCAGCACCAUAAUGCUAUGGUUGUUCGAUACAUCACAAUGUAACUAGAUUAUUGACUCUAGUGCAAGUGGGAGACUGUUGGAAAUGUGCCCUAGAGGCAAUAAUAAAAUGGUUAUUAUCAUAUUUCCUUGUUCAUGAUAAUCGUCUAUCGUUCAUGCUAUAAUUGUAUUAACAGGAAACAGUAAUACAUGUGUGAAUGAAUAGAUCACAAUGUGUCCCUAGCAAGCCUCUAGUUGGCUAGCUCGUUAGUCAAUAGAUGAUCAUGGUUUCCUGAUCAUGGACAUUGGAUGUCAUUGAUAACGGGAUCACAUCAUUGGGAGAAUGAUGUGGUGGACAAGACCCAAUCCUAAGCCUAGCACUAGAUCGUAUUGUUCGUAUGCUAAUGCUUUUCUAAUGUCAAGUAUCUUUUCCUUCGACCGUGAGAUUGUGCAACUCCCGGAUACCGUAGGAGUGCUUUGGGUGUAUCAAACGUCACAACGUAACUGGGUGACUAUAAAGGUGCACUACGGGUACCUCCGAAAGUGUCUGUUGGGUUGGCACGAAUCGAGAUCGGGAUUUGUCACUCCGUGUGACGGAGAGGUAUCUCUGGGCCCACUCGAUGGAACAUCAUCAUGAUCUCAAUGUGACUAAAUAGUUGGUCACAUGAUGACGUGCUACGGAACGAGUAAAGAGACUUACCGGUAACGAGAUUGAACAAGGUAUAGGUAUACCGACGAUCGAAUCUCGGGCAAGUUCUAUACCGACAGACAAAGGGAAUCGUAUACGGGAUUGAUUGAAUCCUUGACAUCGUGGUUCAUCCGAUGAGAUCAUCGUGGAGCUAGUGGGCGCCACCAUGGGUAUCCAGACCCCGCUGAUGGUUAUUGGCCAGAGAGGUGUCUCGGUCAUGUCUGCCUGUCUCCCGAACCCGUAGGGUCUACACACUUAAGGUUCGAUGACGCUAGGGUUAUAGGAAUUGUUGUACGAGGUUAUCGAAAGUUGUUCGGAGUCCCGGAUGAGAUCCCGGACAUCAUGAGGAGCUCUGGAAUGGUCCGGAGGUAAAGAUUGAUAUAUAGGACGGAUGGUUUCGGACACCGGAAGUGUUUCGGGCAUCACCGGUAACGUACCGGGACCACCGGGACCACCGGAGGUGGUCCCGGGGGACCACCGAAGGGGGGCAACGACCCCGGGAGGCUAGAUGGGCUAAGUGGGGAAGGGAACCAGCCCCUAAGUGGGCUGGUGCGCCCCCCACCCAGCCCAUGUGCACCAGAAAAAAGGGGAAGGGGGGGAACCCUAACUUAGGUGGGUCUUAGGCCCACCAGAGGGGUGCGCCACCCCUCCUCCUUGCCCUGGCCGCCACACCCCCCAUCUGGGAGGGCUGCCGCACCCCCUAGGGUGGGAACCCUAGGGGUGGCACCCCCUCUUCCCUUCCCCUAUAUAUAGUGGGCACUUUUGGCCUUUGGAGGACACGGUUUUCCCUCUCCCUCGGCACAGCCCUGCACUUCUUCCUCCUCCUCUCUGCCGGUGCUUGGCGAAGCCCUGCCGGGAGACCUCGUCUCUCCACCGACACCACGCCGUCGUGUUGCUGGACUUCUUCCCCAACCUCUCCCUCCUCCUUGCUGGAUCAAGGUGCGGGAGACGUCACCGGGCUGCACGUGUGUUGAACGCGGAGGUGCCGUUGUUCGGCACUAGAUCGGAAUCGACGCGAGUACGACUCCAUCAACCGCGUUCUAGCAACGCUUCCGCUUAGCGAUCUUCAAAGGUAUGAAGAUGCUCUUACCCCUCUCUCGUUGCUGGUCUCUCCAUAGGAAGAUCUGAUCAUGCGUAGGAAAAUUNNNNNNNNNNNNNNNNNNNNNNNNNNNNNNNNNNNNNNNNNNNNNNNNNNNNNNNNNNNNNNNNNNNNNNNNNNNNNNNNNNNNNNNNNNNNNNNNNNNNCCGUCGUCCGACUCGACCGGCGGUCACCGUCAUCCGCCUCUACCGCCAGCUGCCGUCGUCCGACUCGACCGACGGUCACCGUCAUCCGCCUCUACCGCCAGCUGCCGUCGUCCGACUCGACCGACGGUCACCGUCAUCCACCUCGACCGCCAGCUGCCGUCGUCCGACUCGACCACCACAGCCUUCAUCCGCCUCGACCGCGAGCUGUCGUUGUCCGCCUCGACCGACGGUCACCGUCAUCCGCCUCUACCGCCAGCUGCCGUCGUCCGACUCGACCACCACAGCCUUCAUCCGCCUCGACCGCGAGCUGUCGUUGUCCGACUCGACCACCGCAGCCUUCAUCCGCCUCGACCGCGAGCUGUCGUUGUCCGACUCGACCGACGGUCACCGUCAUCCGCCUCUACCGCCAGCUGCCGUCGUCCGACUCGACCGACGGUCACCGUCAUCCACCUCGACCGCCAGCUGCCGUCGUCCGACUCGACCACCACAGCCUUCAUCCGCCUCGACCGCGAGCUGUCGUUGUCCGACUCGACCGACGGUCACCGUCAUCCGCCUCUACCGCCAGCUGCCGUCGUCCGACUCGACCACCACAGCCUUCAUCCGCCUCGACCGCGAGCUGUCGUUGUCCGCCUCGACCGACGGUCACCGUCAUCCGCCUCUACCGCCAGCUGCCGUCGUCCGACUCGACCGACGGUCACCGUCAUCCACCUCGACCGCCAGCUGCCGUCGUCCGACUCGACCACCACAGCCUUCAUCCGCCUCGACCGCGAGCUGUCGUUGUCCGACUCGACCACCGCAGCCUUCAUCCGCCUCGACCGCGAGCUGUCGUUGUCCGACUCGACCNNNNNNNNNNNNNNNNNNNNNNNNNNNNNNNNNNNNNNNNNNNNNNNNNNNNNNNNNNNNNNNNNNNNNNNNNNNNNNNNNNNNNNNNNNNNNNNNNNNNGGGAGAGGAUCCGGGAUCAUCCAACGGUCCUUGAUGCAUGAUCCGCUUGAGAUCCUUAUGGACCAAUCAGAACGGAGUAAACACUAUGAAUACGUUAUGGCCAUCUAAAUAGGUCGUAAUUAAUUAAAAAAAUCAUAAGAAAAACAUUUACUAUUUACGAGUGACAAAGAUGGUUUUUUGUGAAGGGCCUUGUUGACACCUGAUUUUGGCUAAGAAGAAACACGUUAUGAAGAUGGAUUCAUUUUCCAUUUUUUUUGAGUGCUCAAAAUGAGUUUUUUUGUGAAGAACUUACCAUAUAUUUGUUGCAAAAUUGGACCAAGUCAUUUUUAUAAAUUACUAGGCCAUAUUUAAUGUAAAAUUGACCAAAUGGUUGGGUGUGAAAAUAUUUUAUCCACCUCUCGUGAAAAAGACAAAUUUCUGCAGAUUCAGCUGAAAGCUGGUCAAAUUUAAACUGCAGCUGCAUUAUAGUUUGCUCUUUAUUGUUUCCAAAAGUAUUUUUAGAUAUAAAAGUAUCUAUUUAAUCAGAGAAACACCAAAAAAAUUCCAAGAUUCAACCACUAGCUAGGAAUGGUCAUGCCCGCCGUUUUGACCGCAGUUUGAAAUGGCAUGAAAAAUUCAAAAUAAUCAAAAUAAUGGAAAACCUUCACAUUGUGUCAUUAUAUGUGACAAAGUUAGCAGGUAAAAUAAUAAAAUUGUAAUAUGUCAAUUAUUUUUUAAAAGUGUUUUCAGAAAUGAGCUAUCAUCUCUAAAGAUUCAUGGCUUUCAAGCCGAAUAAUCAAUCUUAUGGCCACAUUCAUGACAUAGUAUGUUAAAAUGACCUCAUAUUGUGCACAAGGGUGCGUAUUGGAAUGGCAAACAAUGUUGCCUAAGAAAAAAUUCAUUUUCUUUGGACGCAAAAUUUAUUUUCCAUUUUUUGAGUACCUAAAAUGAGUUUUUUUGUGAAGGACCUACCAUAUAUUUGUUGCAAAAUUGGACAAAAUCAUUUUUCUAACAUACUAGGACAUAUUUAAUGUACAAUUGACCAAAUGGUUUAGUGUUGGAGGCUUUUAUCGACCUCUCGUGAAAAAGACAAAUUUUCGUUGAAUCAGCUCGAAACGAAUCAAAUUUAAACUACAGCUACAUUAUAGUUUGCUCUUUAUUUUUCUCAAAAACCAUUUCUAGGUAUACAAGUAUCUACUUAAUCAGAGAAACACCAAAAUAUUUUCAAGAUUCAACCACUAGGUAGGAACGAUCAUACCCUCUGUUUUGACCGCAUUUUGAAAUAGCCAUAAAAAAUUCAAAAAAUGGAAAAUCAUUGCAUUGUGUCAUUAUAUGUGACAAAGUUAUCAGGAAAAAUAAUAAAUUUAUAAUACGACAAUUAUUUUUAAAAAGUGUUCUUAGAAAUGGGCUAUCAUGUAUGAAGAUUCAUGGCUUUCAAGUCAAAUGAUCCAUCUUAUGACGACAUUUAUGACAUAGUUUGUUGAAAUGAUAUAAUAUUAUGCACAAGGGUGCAUAUUCAAAUGACAAACAAUGUUAAUUAAGAAAGUUUUCAUUUUCCUUCUAUGUAGAAAUCAUUCUCCAUUUUUCAAGUGUCCAAAAUGAAUUUUUUUUGUGAACUACCUACCAUAUAUUUGUUUCAAAAUUAUACCAAAUCAUUUUUGUAAAAAUAGUAGGAUAUAUUUAAUGUACAAUUGACAAAAUGGUUGGGUGUUAAAAACUUUUAUGCACCUCUCGUGAAAAAGACAAAUUUAUGUCGAUUCAGAUGGAAGCGGAUUAAAUUUGAACUGCAGUUGUAUUAUAAUUUGCUUUUUAUUUUCCCCAAAAAUCAUUUAUAGGUACAUAAGUAUCUAUUUAAUCAUAAAUACAUGGUGUAGUGUCUUGACGUCGAGGUUUGGAUGGUAGUCGAGUGCCCCCACCUCCAGAGCACGAGAAUUUGCAUGCCAGCCGCAUUGUCACCGCCUGACCGUUGCGUUGCCACGCGUUCUGGGUGGAAUAGGCAUGUCUGGUGGGUUGGACAAUCCCUAAGGGAAGGCAUUGUGAAGUGAUAACUACAUGAUGGGUUGCUAGAGUGACAGAAGUUCAAACCCUAGUGUGACAGCCCGAUGCCGGCGUUCCAGAAGAUUCCCCUUUCCUUUCCGUUUCCAUCGUGUGGGUAUCUUUAUUUGUUGCAUCAUCAUCGCAUCAUGCGCAUCAUCUGCAUUGCAUCGGCAUCUCCGUUGCCUCCCGUUUUCAAAACUUGCAUCCGUUGGUAGUUGCUGGUUCUCGUCGUUGUCCGUUCUGAGCCCGACCACACACGCACGGGCCCGCGGCACCGUUCGAAACCCUGUUUUUAAAGUGCGUUUAAAACUUUCUCUAAUCGGGGUGAAACUUAGCAUGCGGUCGUAAUUUGUUUUAGUUAGGCCGCCUGUCGAAUUUCGUCGCGAUCGGGGUUCGUCUGUUACCCGAACGGUCGACCGUAGCGGCACCGUAUCCGGUCUACCAUCGGACGUUUGUCGGUGUUUUAAAAACUCGUUGCCGCGUUGCCCGUUCUCCCUCUCGUCCCCGGAUAUCCCCUCUACACGGCCUCGCCCGUUACCGCGUGCGGAAUCAUCCGAAUCCGACCGCACGGUUGGAUCCGGGUCAAAAUUUCGCUAAACCUACGCCCCCCCCCCCMMYUUSKUCUAUAUAUAGUUCCCGACGUGCAUUUWGUYACACCCCUCCCUUCCUACCNNNNNNNNNNNNNNNNNNNNNNNNNNNNNNNNNNNNNNNNNNNNNNNNNNNNNNNNNNNNNNNNNNNNNNNNNNNNNNNNNNNNNNNNNNNNNNNNNNNNGACAAAACUAUGAUAAUGAAAAAGUGUUUCAAAUUGUAAUAAAUAAUGUCAAAACUUUUUUUUAUUUUCAUAAUUAAUAAUUUUUGAGUAUCCAAACUAUUAUCUAUUUUGUUAUUUUCAAUUAAAAACUAUGUUUAUUAAAAAUUCUUUUUGCAUAUUUGAGAAUUUGGCAAAACUAUGAUAAUGAAAAGUGUUUCAAAUUGAAUAAAUAAUGCAAAAACUAUUUUUUAUUUUCAUAAUUAAUAAUUUUUACUAUCCAAACUAUUAUCUAUUUUGUUAUUUUCAAUUAAAAACUAUGUUUAUUAAAAAUUCUUUUUGCAUAUUUGAACUCCAUACUUUUUGUGUGUUCAAAAUGCACCAUUCUAAGGCACAUCACAAAAUUUCAACAAUUUCUGACUUCAUUUGGUAUUCUUCGUGCAUUUACUUAUUAUUUUUUUGAGCUAGUUGACCCUGAAAUUGAAAAGCACUACAAAUGAACUCUAAAAAUGUUGAAAGUUGGCAUGCUAUAAUCAUUUCACCCACAUAGCAUGUGUUAAAAAGUUGAGAGGGCUACGACAAAAACUGGAUGCAGUUCGUGUACAAAACGGACAAUCUCUCUCGAAGUAGCAAGGCUUCGAACGAGAACUCAUCUCUUACAAAGGGAUUUCGAAUUUUUUGAACUUAUUUGAACUCCAUACUUUUUGUGUGUUCAAAAUGUACCAUUCUAAGGCACAUCACAAAAUUUCAACAAUUUCUGACUUCAUUUGGUAUUCUUCGUGCAUUUACUUAUUUUUUUUGAGCUAGUUGACCCUGAAAUUGAAAAGCACUACAAAUGAACUCUGAAAAUGUUGAAAGUUGGCAUGAUAUCAUCAUUUCACCCACAUAGCAUGUGUUAAAAAGUUGAGAGGGCCACGACAAAAACUGGAUGCACUUCGUGUACAAAACGGACAAUCUCUCUCGAAGUAGGAGGGUUUCGAACGAGAACUCAUCUCUUACAAAGGGAUUUCAUUUUUUUGAACUUAUUUGAACUCCAUACUUUCUGUGUGUUCAAAAUGCACCAUUCUAAGGCACAUCACAAAAUUUCAACAAUUUCUGACUUCAUUUGGUAUUCUUCGUGCAUUUACUUAUUUUUUUUUAGCUAGUCGACCCUGAAAUUGAAAAGCACUACAAAUGAACUCUGAAAAUGUUGAAAGUUGGCAUGCUAUCAUCAUUUCACCCACAUAGCAUGUGUUAAAAAGUUGAGAGGGCUACGACAAAAACUGGAUGAACUUCGUGUACAAAACGGACAAUCUCUCUCGAUGAUGGUCGCUACUCCUACUUCCCCUAGUACAUAACCAAUAUAUAGCACAAGGAGAAGAAGGAGAAGCGACCCCCACAACAAAAGUGGUUCCGCGGCACGCCACGUGGUUCCGCUGCACGCCACGUGGGACUAAUGGUCUUUCAUUUUUAAAUGACUGUUUUAAUCAAAAACAGAUCUGUUACAAAAGGGAUUUCAUUUUUUGAACUUAUUUGAACUGAAGACUUUUUGUAUAUAUAUGUGGUCGAAAUGCAUGAUACCAUGAAGUUAGAAAGGGCUAAACCAUUCAAAAGUAGCAAAUGAAGUUAGAAAGGGCUAAACCAUUCAAAUUUGGAAACUACAAUGACACAAACAGAAACUAGACAUAUAUAAAUUGGUCCAAGCAGUACAUGAUACUAGUCCAAACAGUACAUAAUAAUAGCUACCAUAGAUAUAUAUACAAGUGUUCGACGUUGAGAACACUACUCGUCUGAAUCGUCUGAAUCAGAAUGUCCACCUUCCUCGAGGUGACGCUGGCCAUAGUUGACGACUCGAAUCUUGCGGUACAACUCGUAUGAAACGUAUGCAUCUUUUGCUGCAUACUCAAUGUUGAUAGGAUCAAGUGGGCCCUUCUCCCAAAGUUUGUGCUGAAACUUUGGGAAACUGGUCUUCAUAUCACCAUAUCCCUCGUCGAUCAAGGCAACUGCCAUAUGAGCCAUUGAAGUCCUGUCAUGUCGAAGCCUGAAUACCGUUUGGAGAUCAACGAGGCAACCAGCUGGUAUCUCAAUACCGAAGCUGUGCCUCAUCUUCAGCUUGUCGUUCCUUAUGUCAACGGAAGCAAAAGUGAUGCCGCUGCGAAGGAAGUCCAUGAGUUCUGGACAAUCCUUGUCACUCCUGCAACAGAAACAAAUUAAAAUGGAACAAAUGUUACAUACUGCUGNNNNNNNNNNNNNNNNNNNNNNNNNNNNNNNNNNNNNNNNNNNNNNNNNNNNNNNNNNNNNNNNNNNNNNNNNNNNNNNNNNNNNNNNNNNNNNNNNNNNAGCCUCACUCUCUCGCGACAGAGGAGACGGAAAUGGGCAAUUAAACUUGCUCACUCUGUCGCGACAAAAGGACCAGAAAAUGGGCAAUUAAACUUGCUCACUCUGUCGCGACAAAAGGACCAGAAAAUGGGCAAUUAAACUUUCGUGACAGAAGGAACCAAAAAUGGGCAAUUAAACUUGGUUGAACCAAAAUGCCGGAUUAAUGUGCUCUCUCUCUGUGUCUCUUGCAACCGAAAAUGGGAAAUUAAUUUUGGUUCGCGGUGAGUAAGAGGAAUGGAGAAGCAAUUAAUAUUUAUUAGAGUUUUGCGUGGAACUCUUAAUAAUGUUAUGGCAGUGCGUGAUUAGGGUAGCUAGCCGAGCAUGUAAGUAGAGAUUGGGUGAGUGACUGACCGCAGUUCCACUUGGUGCGUGAGUUGAAGAAGGACUCGUCCCGCUUGAUGCACGCCGGGUGGUAGACCUUGGGGCACCCCCUGCACACAAGGGAGAAGCAAAUAACAGUAAUUAGGAAAUCGAAGUUGUCACAUCCGUUCCGUUCCGUUCCCAGAGGAAGUUGGUAGGUUACCUCCGAUCGCAGACGACUAGGUCUCCCCCGUCGAAGCAGAUGAAGCAGACGACCUCGUCUUCCUCCUCCUCCUUGCGCUUCUUGGCGGCCUUGGCCUCUGCCCGCCUGGCCGCGGCGGGGGUGAGGACGGCGGUUGCUGCUGCUGAUGCUGGUGGUGGCGUUUGGAGUGGCGCGGCGGCCCCGAGCACCGCGGCGUUGUUGGCGCUCCUUGGCGGCCUCCCCCUCUUCUUGGGCGGCGAGACCACCAGCAGCUGCUGCUGCUUGUGGUGGGCCUGGGCCUGGGCCGGGGCUGGUGUGGGGCCCGGAGCAGCAGCAGAGGCAGCGGCGGCGGCUGCAUCGGGGGCGGGCUGGGCGAGGACGGUGUCCCCCAUCCCCAUCCCCAUGGCCAUGCCCAUGAUGGAUCCGAGGAAGUGCGAGUCGUCGACCAUCCCCGGCGGGUCGGGGGGCGGGGGCGGUGGGAGGUCGGGGUCGAGUAUAUUGACCAUGGAUGAACGGAUCGGGGCGCGCGGAGCUUGGCUGAGCUCCCCCGGGCUGCGAAUCGGGCGACGGCGGCGGCGGUCCAAUCGGUCGGUCGGGAGGUGGAAGGAAGGAAGGAAGGUCUCUACCCACCCACCCCUUUUCUCCCCCCACCCCUUUGGUACAGUAGUAGCAGGAGGAGGAGGAGGAGGAGGAGGUGGAGGUGGAAGGGGGGAGGCGCGUCGCGUUGCGUGUGGGAAAGGGGAGAGGGGAGGUGGAGGUGGAAGUGGAAGGAAGAAGCGUAAACAAAGCAGAAGCGAAGACCAGCUGCACCAGCAAAGAGAAAGGGGAAUGGAAAGGGUAGUAAUUUGGCGCUUCGGCGGGGUGCUUUCGGCACACACACACAACAAAAAAAAAAAGGAAUUACUGUAAUCUGGGCCCUCCGCUCCGCUCUGCGGGUGGGCGCAUGCUUUGUUAUGGUGGUCUUGUUCUGCUUGCCUGCGCGCCGCGGGAAAAGAAAAAAAAAAAGAGGGAGAAAAACUGGGGGAUGAGACCGUCCGUCGGGUUGGAAGGGGGACGCCGUUGGUUGGUCGUUGUAUUCGCUCCUUGGUUCGGUGCGGGUGCGAGCAAUAAAAGUCGGCUGGGCUGGGCUGAGUCGUGUGCUGUAACUAGCUCGGCUCGGGGCACGCGGGUGGCAGGUGCGUGCUUCUCGUGGCCGUGGCCGUGGCCGUGGCGUGGUGGUCGGAGGUCCACGGUCCACACCGCCAAUGAAUGACUCCCCNNNNNNNNNNNNNNNNNNNNNNNNNNNNNNNNNNNNNNNNNNNNNNNNNNNNNNNNNNNNNNNNNNNNNNNNNNNNNNNNNNNNNNNNNNNNNNNNNNNNCUACGAGCCAAUCUAAUUGGAAUAGUGUUCCAUAAUCUGAAAAAUCGUAUUAGAAUCAACUAGUGUUUAAUAUGYUMCRWKSGAAUCAUAGUUGGUUCCCUUCAAMUAGUUGUAGUGAAACAAUUUUGAUUAGUUGAAGGGGAACGACAAUCUGAUUGGAAUAGUGUUCCAUAAUUUGAAAAAUCGUAUUAGAAUCAACUAGUGUUUAAUAUGUUCCAUUGGAAUCAUAGUUGGUUCGCUUCAAAUAGUUGUAGUGAAACAAUUUUGAUUAGUUGAAGGGAACACAAUCUGAUUAGAAUAGUGUUCCACAAUCUGAAAAAUCUGAUUGGUUCAAUAUGUUCCAUUGAAAUCAUAGUUGUAGUGAUACAAUUUUAUGCGGUGUUCUUUGAUCCAAGGUUAUGAAAAUUGAAUAUAGCUAGUGAUCUCUCUAGGUUCCAUUGGAUAGCAAUAUGAUAUGUCAUAGUCAUGAAAAUUGCAUAUAGCUAGUGAUCUCUCUAGGUUCCAUUGGAUAGCUAUAGUGAUCUCUCUAGGUUCCAUUGCAUAUGUUCUAUUUGAAUCCUAAAGAUAAUUUUCUCUUUAGUUGUAGUGAAACAUGUUUCCUUAUUGCAGCAGUAUGUAACAUUUGUUCCAUUUUAAUUUGUUUCUGUUGCAGGAGUGACAAGGAUUGUCCAGAACUCAUGGACUUCCUUCGCAGCGGCAUCACUUUUGCUUCCGUUGACAUAAGGAACGACAAGCUGAAGAUGAGGCACAGCUUCGGUAUUGAGAUACCAGCUGGUUGCCUCGUUGAUCUCCAAACGGUAUUCAGGCUUCGACAUGACAGGACUUCAAUGGCUCAUAUGGCAGUUGCCUUGAUCGACGAGGGAUAUGGUGAUAUGAAGACCAGUUUCCCAAAGUUUCAGCACAAACUUUGGGAGAAGGGCCCACUUGAUCCUAUCAACAUUGAGUAUGCAGCAAAAAGAUGCAUACGUUUCAUACGAGUUNNNNNNNNNNNNNNNNNNNNNNNNNNNNNNNNNNNNNNNNNNNNNNNNNNNNNNNNNNNNNNNNNNNNNNNNNNNNNNNNNNNNNNNNNNNNNNNNNNNNUGAAACUGUAAAAUUUGAAAGAAAAAACGUUCUCGGGUGAAACUACAUCAUAUUUCUUUAGACCCGUAUAUGAAACUAAUAAAUUAAAGAAAAAACGUUCGCGGGUGAAACUACAUCAUGGUUCUUUAUCAAACUACAUCAUGUUUCUUCAUCAAACUACAUCAUGUUUCUUCAUCAAACUACAUCAAACUACAUCAUGUUUCUUCAUCAAACUACAUCAUGUUUCUUCAUCAAACUACAUCAUGGUUCUUCAUCAAACUACAUCAAACUACUCUUCUCUCUCUCUCUCUCGUCUGUGUCGCGAGAGAUACUCCGGCCGCCGCUCUACUACUCCUAGCGUACUAGACUAGUAGACGGAGUAUUUCUUCUAGUAAAUAAUGGUUUUCCUAUAUAAUCUGAUGAUACGGAGAUGAGAUGAGAUGUAUUACCUUUACUAAAUGCCCCUUGACGGAUCUUAUAUCCCACAUUGACCCUUGUCUAUCACGCCUCACCGUCUGAAUGCCUUCCUACUAGGCGCCUUUGACCCCCACUCCUCCCACCUACCUUCCCUCCGAGCAAGUCGCCCCCUUCCUAGCAUCACAUUCUGAAUCCACAGAGCCACACUCGCAGGUCCCCGCCCCCUUCCUCCCCUCAUGUCCUUGUUCCUCAUGGACCCGACGUCAAUUCCAGGUGGCCUGUCGUACACCGGUGACUCCCCGUGGCAAAAGCAGCAGCCUGGACGCAUCCCCUCGUGGGUCCAACCCGAGCCCCAACCUCAAAUCCCGAGUGGUAGAAGAAUGGAGAUAAGGUGAUCUACCGAAAGCAACAAGUAAUCUUCUUACGAUUCAACUUGGAAGGAUGUAUAUGAGUUGUGUACUAUAUACCUUUAGAGUAUCUCUAGCAGACCCUCGUGAAAGAUUUACCUGCAAAAUGCAUUUACAGGUCGCUGCAGAGCAAUUUUGCGGGGCCAUUUCGUGCAUCAAAGAUCAGACCCGUAUAUGAAGCUGUCAAAUUUAAAGAAAACAAACGUUCGUGGGUGAAACUACAUCAUGGUUCUUCAUCAAACUACAUCAUGUUUCUUCAGACUUGUAUAUGAAAUUGUAAAAUUUGAAGAAAAAAACGUUCGCGGGUGAAACCACAUCAUGGUUCUUCAUUAAACUACAUCAUGUUUCUUCACACCCGCAUAUGAAACUGUAAAANNNNNNNNNNNNNNNNNNNNNNNNNNNNNNNNNNNNNNNNNNNNNNNNNNNNNNNNNNNNNNNNNNNNNNNNNNNNNNNNNNNNNNNNNNNNNNNNNNNNCUGGUCUUCUUAGCUUUCGAUGAAAANAUUUCAAAAAUAUUUUUUGCAUGAAAAAACUCAUUUCNGUUUUUUUUGCGAGAGAUAUGGUUUUGCUUCCCUUGAGAGGCACAGUUUUUGCGUUUGCAAAAGGCAAAUGAAAAAAAAAGUUUCUGAAUUUUUUUGGGAGAGGCACGGUUUUCCUUCCCCCAAGAGACACAGUUUUUGCGUUCGUGAGCGAAAAAAAAAGCAAAUUUUUUUUUUGCAAGAGGCACAAUUUUGCUUCCCCGAGAGACACGGUUUUUCGUUCGCGAGCGAAAACAAAAAACAAAGUGUUUUUUUACAAGAGGCACGAUUUUGCUUUCCGAGAGGCAUGGUCUUGCGUUUGCGAGAAAAAACAAAAACAAAAGUGUUUUUUUACGCGAGAGCCACGACUUUGCUUCCUCGAGAGGCACGGUUUUACGUUCGCGAGCGAAAACAAGAAACAAAGUGUUUUUUUGCAAGAGGCACAAUUUCGCUUUCCAAAAAGGCAUGGUUUGAAAACAAAAAAUAAAGUGUUUUUUUACGAGAGGCACGAUUUUGCUUGUCUAAGAGGUACGAUUUUGCAUUCGUGGGAGGGACGGACAUGCCUCUCGGACCGUUUUUUUUUCGUGAGAGGCAAGGUUGUGCCUCUCGAAAACAGAAAAAACCGCGGUAUUUUUUUUACGUGAGAAACAGAAAAAACGCGUUUUCUGGUUUUUUCCAUCAGGAGAGGCACGGUUUUUCCGUUCAGGUUUUUUCGUGAAUUUUUUUUAUCAAAACCUAUAAUAUAUGGGAUCUAGUUUUAAAGAUCACGACGUGAUGAACCCAACAGUGAAAAUGGUUCGAGAUUUGAACGCACGGUUUAGAAGAUAAAAUAUUUUAAAAAUUCAGAUCAAUGAAAAAAGAAAACUUCUAGAUUGCAACAAAUGGCACACAUGCAAUGUGCCACAUGUUUCACCUAAAAAGGUGAAAAUGAAAUUUGGAAGGAGUACUACUCAAUUACAGAUUUCGAAAGGAAGGACUGGGAGUGGGUGAUCGAACCCUGGGUCUUCAAGGUGGAAGCAAAAAAACCAACCAGUUGGGAUGGUUACAAACGUAUGAUUUACUAGCAAAAGGGCCCGUGCGUUGCAACGGAAGAAAAAAAUACCACAUACUCUUAAUUUAUAAAAAUUGAUCUAUAAUCUAAAAAAAUUUAGUUACAACACAAACAAAGAUGAACUUACCCUAAAAAUGCAAUUCAAAUUUCCAUUGUCCAUGUGUCGCAUGGGAGCAGAAAAUAGAUUUAACAUCCAGCAACCACUCUGUAUGCAUAUCUGGUCGAUGUUGUGUACGUCGGGCGCCGUUGUGCUCGCAUGCAUACUGUCGUACAUGAGUGAAAGUAAUCAAGAUAAACUAAUCCAGAGGCCAUUGGGGCAAAAAAAAAUUGUUCGCGGUCUAGUUAGUGGUAUACAAUCUGGCAACCUAUCAUAGAUAGUUGGCCUCUUCCACAAAUAGUCCAUUUCAUCUUCUCCUCCUAAUUCAUAUCGCUUGACUUGAAUCAGCCUGAUAGAAGAAGAAAAACAAUUAAACAAAAUCGCUUUGAUUUGGAUCGCCUGAUAGGAAGAAAAAAGAAAAGGUAAACAAAAAAAGGGAAAAAAAUAAAACAAAUCUGGACAACCUAWUCAUAGAUAGUGCUCUUUUGACAAAAUAAGUCCAUUUCNNNNNNNNNNNNNNNNNNNNNNNNNNNNNNNNNNNNNNNNNNNNNNNNNNNNNNNNNNNNNNNNNNNNNNNNNNNNNNNNNNNNNNNNNNNNNNNNNNNNUAGUAAGAGUACCAAGUAUAUAUAUGUAUCUCUAGCAUAGGAAAAUGACUGGAGUGUUUCCCCAAAGUAGAUUUGUCUGUUGUGGGGGCCAUGGCAGUAUUCCAAUGGAACUGUAUGUGUACCAAAAACCAUUUCUUUCAUCUUGGCCUCGAUUCGCCUGAUGUGCCGGAAAAAGUGAAGUGUGAUGUCCCGACUGAAUCAUGUUCGUUUUCUGAGCAUAACGAGCUUUUGCUUGGUGUCUAAAUCUAGAUCACUCGAACACGCUUGUUUGUUCUCUGCGSUMCKAGSUUCUAGAACCCAAGCCGUCAGAACUUGCUUUGAUCCAACAGAUAUCAAUAUGUAAGUGGUGUCCUUGUCUUCGGCCAAAAUGUCGGCAGAACUGACACUAGAGUUGCAUGAUUUAUCUGCUAAUGUGUAAGUCUUUGGGACGAAGCACGUAUCUCUCACAGCUGACCCACCAACAUGCUCCCCCAGCAGCUUGGAUGAACACCAUCUUCCAUCACUACUAGCGGAGUACCUGUAACAAAGAUCAACAACAAAAUAUAUAAUAUGAUUCAUAACAGCACCUGAAAUGGACAGGUAUAUUGCAACCAAAAAUACCAGGGGCUAUACUAAACACCCAAGAACAACUCCCUAGUUGACAACUUAAUCAAACGAAGCACGGAAUAAAUCCUACGAAUUAAACAAAAGGGCAUCACGGCAAAAUAUCGCACGAACUAACUUGCUCAAAAAGCUAAAACUAAUUGCACAGAAAAAUCCCAUGGAUUUUUUCUACCCCGAAAACAUAUAAAAUAUGUGGGGUUGCACAACAAUAUAAUGCUACACGAAAAUGCGAGAAAAUAACCUAUACACGGGAAAAUAAACUAUCGGCAAACCCUACACGCAAAAAUGUCAAUGACCGCUCUAAAAUACAUGGAAAAAUGGUUUCUAAAACAUGGGCAUUUAUGCUACGGCAUUCGGGCUAUUCGAACAUGCGCGGAAAAAUAUACGGGAAAGAAGACAUAAAAUGGCAUCUCAUACACUAUUUCAGACUUGGUGAAAAUUACACCUCAUGAAAGUGCAGUUUACGAUCUGAAGCCAUAUUGACAGCAGCAAAACCUAUAGCUACAGGACUCCAGAUGGCAUGAAAAUUGACAACAUGCUAGAGAAACACAAGGGCUACAACUAACUCCAUUGGACCAACCUCAAAAGAGCUACAGAACAAAAGAUACAAGCAAGACAAGACAACAACAAAACAUACUGUCAACCUGACAUAAAACAAAGAGCUCAGACUAGCUCGUAGNNNNNNNNNNNNNNNNNNNNNNNNNNNNNNNNNNNNNNNNNNNNNNNNNNNNNNNNNNNNNNNNNNNNNNNNNNNNNNNNNNNNNNNNNNNNNNNNNNNNAUGGUUCGAGAUUUGAACGCACGGUUUAGAAGAUAAAAUAUUUUAAAAAUUCAGAUCAAUGAAAAAAGAAAACUUCUAGAUUGCAACAAAUGGCACACAUGCAAUGUGCCACAUGUUUCACCUAAAAAGGUGAAAAUGAAAUUUGGAAGGAGUACUACUCAAUUACAGAUUUCGAAAGGAAGGACUGGGAGUGGGUGAUCGAACCCUGGGUCUUCAAGGUGGAAGCAAAAAAACCAACCAGUUGGGAUGGUUACAAACGUAUGAUUUACUAGCAAAAGAGCCCGCCUUCUAAUGCUGCACGAUAGAAAACACAUAAACAUUAACACACCAAGUGUAGGUAAACGUGUGAAAACAUACUGAAUUAAUAAAAAUAUGCUAAUAAUAUAAAACACCUCUUAAAGUGGCCUGUSUACGAGYAGCUGUGCUCAUUGUGUUAACUACUUAGUCAUGAUGGAGCUUAACACAUAAGCACUGUUCUAUUUUUUAACAUUGGGAGGGAGGGAGAGAAUAGCAGAAGGCUGGUGGAGAAAACAGGGUUUCAAAUGAAGCCCAAAAACAUAUAUGUCUGUCUCGAAUCAAGCAGCAUUUUAGUAGGAAUUGUCUAAUGGCACUUGGAUAUUUUAAAGAAACUGUUAUCAAUGUAGUUUGAUGAAGAAAUAUGAUGUAGUUUGAUGUAGUUUGAUGAAGAAACAUGAUGUAGUUUGAUGAAGAAACAUGAUGUAGUUUGAUAAAGAACCAUGAUGUAGUUUCACCCGCGGACGUUUUUUCUUUAAAUUUUACAGUUUCAUAUACGGNNNNNNNNNNNNNNNNNNNNNNNNNNNNNNNNNNNNNNNNNNNNNNNNNNNNNNNNNNNNNNNNNNNNNNNNNNNNNNNNNNNNNNNNNNNNNNNNNNNNUCUAAUCUAGAGAAGAGAGAUUCCAAGGGCCAAGAUUCAUCUAUUCUUGUCACGAGCAAGAAACUGUUAGCUGAUCCUGCUGCUUCUGCCGAGCCGAUUGACGGGUCUGCUGUUCUGGAAAGAGACUUAAUGGCUGCUGAUUCAAAUGUCCAAAAAGAACUGUGCAGCAAGCCUACUCUUGUCACGAGUGAGAAGGUGGUGGUUGAACCUGCUUCUUGUGCUGAUGUCUCUGAUGUCUUGGAAUCAGUAUUUAACCUCGAGAAAACAGGUUUGGAAGGUGAACAUUCAAAUAUUCAGAAGGAAUUGUAUGAGGAGUCUGCUCUGGUCACAAGGGAGAACGUGGYWACUGAKCCUGCCAUCUGCGCUGGGUCAGUACAUGUGUCUGAUGUCCUGGAACCAGUAUUUGACUUGGAGAAGACAUAUUUGGGAGGUGAAGGUUCAGAUAUUCAAAAAGAAUUGCAUGAAGGGUCUACUCUUGUUACAAGAGAGUACAUGGCGGUUAAUCCCGCCCCUUGCCCCGAGUCGACAGAUGUGUCUUUAACAGAACAAAAUCGUGGAACUUUGUGCAUGGAUACGCUAGCAGCAAUAGAGCAAUUCAUGACCGCUUCACCGGAGGAAGAACCACAAUGCUCUAGCCCCAAGGUUCCAAAGCGGUGCCUUCAAGAAGGGAACGACGCCUUGAGCGCCGCCGCCGUCCAACAAAGUUAAGGCUUUCGCCCGNNNNNNNNNNNNNNNNNNNNNNNNNNNNNNNNNNNNNNNNNNNNNNNNNNNNNNNNNNNNNNNNNNNNNNNNNNNNNNNNNNNNNNNNNNNNNNNNNNNNAAUAUAUCCUUCCUCUUGCAAGACGAACUAGCGGCGUUCACAAUCAUCGUCACAUAUCCAAAGAAAUCCUCAAUGGAAGAACAACAUCUCGAGACAGCAACAACUACAAGCUGCAAUCGAUGGGCAAAACAAUGCAUAUAGAAAGCAUAUGGGUUUUCAUCUCGGACAAGUUCUAUGUGCAAGCAUCAAACCACCAAUUUUUUUUGAUUACUAGUAGAAACAACAGGUGUAUCGUGGAGAAGAUAAAUACGUUGUUGGUAGACAUGUCGCCAAAAAGUAGGCCCGUGAUUGUUGUAGAACCAAAUAACAUUGCCAGUAGUGUACAUGGGAGGCUAYGAKCAUUGUCUACGAAAUGGAAAUGUGAUCAACAUCGUUGGAGGUAGAAUGACAACAUUUUCACAGGUUUUGAUGCAGAGUUGGUACUAGCUGGUCUAGCACACAGAAGUGGAAUAUAAAUAGAAAAAAAAGUUAGCUCAUGCCAUGGCAACCCAAUAGUGGACUUUGUAGGCAUCAUCUCUAAAGGGGGCGAACCUUCCACUGUCAUUUUAGGAGGUAGUUGUAUACAGUAUACUAGUAAGUUGUUAGCAGGUGGCGAAGACUCAACCCAAUGAACGUUGAAGCUCGCGGUGGUUAUCGUUAUGUUCUCACUCUCACCGAUGAUUUGAGUAGGUAUGGGUAUAUCUACUUGAUGAAGCACAAAUCUGAGACGUUUGAAAAGUUCAAGGAAUUUCAGAGUGAGGUUGAGAAUCAACGUGACAGAAAAAUUAAAUGUCUACGAUCUGAUCGUGGAGGAGAAUAUUUGAGUNNNNNNNNNNNNNNNNNNNNNNNNNNNNNNNNNNNNNNNNNNNNNNNNNNNNNNNNNNNNNNNNNNNNNNNNNNNNNNNNNNNNNNNNNNNNNNNNNNNNAGGAUCAAUAUUGCUCUGAGUAUUUCUCUGUUGCCAAAUUUAUGGUUGCUUAUGCUGACAAUGUGCCUGCACUAUUGGGGAAAGAUCAAUGGAACAUAGUAGAUCCAGGGUUCAAACUCCACGCUCUUGUCAUUACUAGACCACCAGGAAGACCAAGGAACCAGAGGAUUAGAGCAGGUGAGGAGGGUCGUCUACCAAAGAAACGUGCUUGCAAAAAAUGUGGAGUUCUAGGGCAUAUUGCUAGGCUUUGUACCAAUGCAGUGGAUGCAUCAUUUGGAGAGGAGGAAAGAUGGACAUCAGCCAAUGCUGAGGAGAAUGCAACAGCAAUGGAGAUUGAAGAUGCAGUGGAGAAUGCAGCAGCAAUGGAGAUUGAAUAUGCAGUGGAGAAUGCAGCAGCAAUGGAGAUUGAAGAUGGAGUGGAGAAUGCAGCAGCAAAUGAAAUAGAAGAUUUUGAAACCAUGGCCUUUGAUGGUUUUGAAGCUAUAAGAGAGGAAGAGGAGGGGUAAUUGUUCCAAUUGUGCCUUUAAAGAUUACUGAACCCAUAGAUGACCGUCAAAUGGUCGUCAAGUGCUCGGCGAGUGGAACUACUCCAUCAGCACCUCCACGGGGAAAACACCAAGUAAAGCCCAAGAUCAAAAGGAACAAGAGUGUGAAAGAAAAGAGCAUCUCAACUAGGGAAACCAGGAGCAAGACUGUGAAGCCAGCUACAAACACAAAGAGCAAGUCAAAAUUUUGAAUUAAGUUGUUGGAAAAUGUUUGUGUUGUCAAUUUGAGGGCGAGUCGAUCACUUAAAACUUGGUAGAUUUGUAUUAAGAUGUUGGCAUCUUAAAACUUGGUAGCUUUGAGCUACUGUAAUAAUGUUGGCAUCAGUUGUACUAAUGUUGGCAUCAGUUGUAAUAAUGUUGCUUCUACUUUGGUUCCUUAUUUGAGUCAAAAUUCAAAUUUCCAUCAAAAUUUGAAUUUAAAUCAAUAUUUGAAUUUGGGCCAAAAUUUGGAUUCGAGCCAAAGUUGAAGUUGAACAUUGGAGGUUCAUUGCUCUGUGCGGUGUAUUUGAUCGAGCAUUUCAAGUCCAAUAUUCUUAGGUGAACAGUCCGAAUGAGAAAUGUGCUAGAAACGAGCUCGAAAGCUAGGGUAAACAGCCCUAUUUGAAAUCAAGUUUUUUUUAACCUUCCCUAAAUGAGACAUAUAUAUUUUUAUUAACACUUAUUCCAUAUAUAUAGGGUAAAAACGAAGUCUCACUAUUUAUUGAUUAAUAUUCAUAUUACUACAUUUUUUUGAAAAAAUAUGUUUUUAAUUCAAAAUCGUUAAAUAACACGUUUUAGAUAUGAAAAUGAAAAAGUAAGUUCAGAUCCUUCUUAUUCACUCCAAAAUGAAGCUAUGGAGAUUUUUCUGAUUUUUUUUGAAUUUUUUUUCAAACCCUAAACCCUCUCUCCCUAUUCUACGAACUCUAAAAAUGUUCAUAGGUGAUAACUCAUUUUUGUGAAGGCUUUUUUCAUGAAAAUGACCUACACCAAGUUUAUAUUUUUUUUCUCAUAACCUGGUCACAUAUGACGGUAUGUGCGUAAAAAUUACAACAUUUUGAUUUUUUUUGAAUUUUUUAAAAACAUUUGAACUUGAUUUUGACAGGUCACUUCAAAAAAUGACUUUUCAAAAAAACGCCCCUAUACCGAGUUUAUAUUUUUUUAUGGUAACUAGGUCUCAUAAACAGACGAACUACAUUUGUUUUAUAUUUUUGCGAUUUUUUCUAAUUUAGUUAUGGCCAUUUGAAAUCUGGUCAAACCCUAAUAACCCCGUUGACUCGCCCAUAAACCCGCAAAAAUGCUCCAAACCCUAGCGUCGAACGUCCGUCGUCGGAUCAUACCCUAGCGCCAAACACCACCCGUCAGAUGUGGGCAGGCAUGCGCGAUCCGCGUGAUGCAUCCUGAUUGGCUACUGCACUGACCUUCUCGGGUUUUUACGAUCUGCCCCACUUUACAUAUGAAAUUGUAUUUUUCGCACAUGACCACCACAUGUCAGUGUUAAGAGUUGGUUCAAAUAUUCAAACUGCAAAAUACAAUGUGGCAAAUCGUCAAUAUAGCUUCCCCUUCUCCUCUCUCCAUGUAACAGACAAAGGCAUCGAGCAGAUCGAGCAAUUCCUUUGUUUCUUUCCCCAUCUUCUCGUUCUUCUUCCUCUCGACCAAUUCCUCUGUUUUUUCCUCUCGGGCGAUAUGUCGACCUCCUCGUCAGCCCCCCGUUCCACGUGGCCGGUGUAUGGUCCAGUGCCGAUGACUCGAUGCACUGACUGCCCAUGGAUUGCACCACUGAAGCGGUUGACUUCGAAGGAGGAGAAGAAUGGGAACUUUGGGUGCGAGUUCGUCAAAUGCGAGAGCAAGCCGGAGGGGCAGGUUAGAUCUGAGUUUUCCUCGCAUCCUUUAUCUCUGUUAGAUUUGGAUUUAGGUUACAUGAUUUCAUUUCCAGAUCGUGAAGAAAUGCCACCAUUUUGAGUGGAUGGAUGAUUACAUCCAGAGGCUUCAAGGGUUGGGCUUGCUGGAUUCGAGGGGGGAUGCAAUCCGCGAGUUCAAUCUGCCCCAUGACAGUGCCGCUCCGGCAGCAGUAGUGCGUCCGGAAUACCCGACAGUGGUAGAUGUCGAACAGAAGACGGAAUUGAAGAAGAUGAACAAGAACUUCAAGCAGCUGAUUGAGUUGAAGAAGCAAUCCAAUUUGAUAGCUUUAGGAAUACUUGCUCUAGGAAUUUUUUACUUGAUGGCCAUCUCUCAUUAGAGAUGUUUGUCUACUGUUGUUGCAACUGUUUAGCAAUCCUCGUCUGUUUAUCUCAAAUGCAACUCUGUUUAGUGCAACUGUCGAUCUCUGAAUGUAUGCAGUUUACUGUUAAGUUUCGACACUUUCAGUUUCAACAGAAGACAACUACCAGUUCAGUGAUAGGAUUAUUUCGUUAGCUAAUAACCUCGAGUGUUGGGUCAUACCCUAGCUCGUCAGAUGACAGUAAGCAGUACUUGAGCAGCACGAGGGAUAUACAUCAAGUUCAUCUCUUCUCUCUCGCACUUGCCAAACUUUUGUCCUCGAGUUCGUCAGUUCUGCUAGAAAAAAACCUAGUUUGCGGGCCCAAAGAGAAUCAAGCUGCAAUAGGCCCACAAAGGAUAAAUGAGGCCCAGAAACAAGUGAUGUUUCUUUUUUUGUUUAGGAACGAUUGCUUUGUUCUUUUUUGUUUUUUGAUUGCUUUUUUCAUUAAUUUGAUUGCCCAAUCUCUUCUAUCUCAUUGAGGAAUUAUUUUGGCUUUCCUUUAUGGGUCCCUUCAUUUAUCCUUUUGACUAAAGCCAAACAUCUCAAAGUGUAGUUUUCUACAUAGUGUAAUUUAUACUUCAUGUUUGGAAAAAGAGGUCCAACCAUACUUCAAACAUAGUGUAGUUUUCUACAUAUUAAAGUAGGGAUUAAAGUACAUAAAACUACACUUUUGACUAAAGCCAAACAUCUCAAAGUAUUUGAUACUUCAAUAUUUCUGAAAACCAAAGUAUUCUUGGAACACCUAAAAAAUAGAGAGCUCAGCAAACCAAAGCCGUGUACAAAUGUACAAUAUGUUCUUAUUUUUAGAAGGCAUCUAUAAACACAUCAUUUUUAGUUAAUUUGGUUAAUUUUUCCCACGCCAAUUAGCCGUGUCUAAACUUGGGACAAACAAAAUACAAACAUAACAAAGCAUUAAUAUAACACACAUAACUUAACUUAGAUAGGGUUGCUAGGGCAACAUAUAUAAGUUCUUGGGACAUAGACACCAAUUUCUUACAUAGAUAAUAAUAAUUAGUAGCUAGGUCGGGCAACACACACACCAAACUAAUACUACAUACUACUAGAUAGGGUAGCUAGGGCAACACCGCCAUGUCUUCACCGUCGUCUUCACCUUAACCGUCGGCUUCACCGUCUUCUUCGCCGCCGGCUUCAGUAAUCCUCCUCCUCAAGGCCGUUGUCGCCGAGGUGGUACGGGAGGCUGUGCAUGCGGUCGCGAGCGGGGAAGAUGCUCUCGAAGUCGAUGAAGAUGUUAUAGGUGGUGAAUGCGAUGAACUCACACCCACACCAAUACACCUUGCCGAGCAGGUGGUAGGCAUCGAACCUGUUGGUGAAGUGGACGACGAGCCCUACCGGUGGAGCGUUGGCGUGGGGACGCUGCUCCACGAGGUUGAACAUGGGCGGCGAGCCCGCCGGGAGGUGGUGGAAGCCUGCACGGAGGAACCCCCGUGCAAGCUCAGUGCUACCCCUCCAGCGUGAGAACGCCCACACGCGAAGCGAUUCCUCGACGACGACCUUGGCGGGGUACCGCCGUUCCGGCAUGGUGGAGGCCCUUGGAACGUUGGGCUGUAGAACUGCAUCUUGAACGCUUCGCUGAGUGGAACCGCUCUCGCUUUUGGGGGAAGAAGAGAAGUGGGAGGCGCAGAUGGAUCUGUAGAAGAAGAGGCAAUGAAGGGCAGUUUAAAUAGUCGGGGGAGACGAAGUGGGUACACGCACAAACGGCGUAGAUCGUGACUCAGUGGUGUUGUGUGAAUCGAUGCGAUCAUCAAUGUGUGAACGUGAAUCGAAGCGAGCGUGCUCUGCGUUGGCGGCUCUGCGUGCUCUUCGUUGGCGGCUGCCUCCCCCUGCUGCGUUGGCGGCUGCCUGCCUCCCCCUUCUGCGUGCUCUGCGUUGGCGGCUACCCCUUCUGCAUGCCCCUUCUGCCACCGGCACAACUGAAUCGAGCGGCAGCCGUGCGGCGUGAACUGAUGCCUCGACAUAUGGACGCGAGCGUGCGAGCGUGCGUGCAGCCUGCCCCUUCUGCCACCGGCACGUAUGCCUGCGACGCGUGAAACGACGUUGCGGAGCGACUGAAUCCACUGGCAACCGUGCGACACGGAUCGAUGUGUGCGUGUCGGCGUGCAUGCAUGGGUUUAGGUCUAGGUCACUAGAUGCGUGCGUGGCGGUGUUCGCAUGCAUAGCAGGCUACAUCGAUGCCAAAUACGGGCAUGCAUAGCAGGCUACAUCGAUGCCAAAGACGGGCAUGCAUAGCAGGCUGCAUCCAUCGAUAGUAGGCUUUUUUAAUUUAUUACCAACAAACUAACGGGCCCGUCCUAUGAACACAAACACGGCCCAACCAGCGAAGCCACAGCCAUAGUCAACAGAGUUCAACAUGGCCCCACAAGUCAGUUAACGACCAAGACGGCAAACGCGUGUUAUCAACAUUUGUGAGAGUUUCAGCUAAGGGAGAGGGGAAAAGUGAGCAAAAGUUUGAAGCGUGGGGAAAACUGAGCACAACUAAGGAAUUGGGGGCACAGAUGGAAUAAGCCCAAAAAGUAAAUGCAAGAGAUGAGUUUGCGACACUUACUUGGAUGAGUUCUUGACUUGAUCCUCCCCGGCAACGACGCCAGAAAUUCUUCUGCUACGGUGACAGAAAUCCUUCUGUCGUCUCUUGAGCUUGCGUUGGUUUUUCCCAUGAAGAGGAAAGGGCGAUGCAGCACAGGAGCAGUAAGUAUUUCCCUCAGUUUGAGAAGCAAGAUAUCAAUCCAGUAGGAGAAUCGCGUCAAGUCCAGAGUACCUGCGCAAAAACAAAAGAGCUUGCACCCAAUGCUAUAAAGGGGUUGUCAAUCCCUUCAAGAUUGAUUGCAAAGUGAGAUCUGAAGGCGGAAAUUGCAAUGAAGAAAAAGAGUAAGGCUGAAAAUAUGGUGUGGAGUAGACCCGGGGGCCAUAGUGUUCACUAGAGGCUUCUCUCAAAAUAGCAAAUAUUACGGUGGGUGAACAAAUUACUGUCGAGCAAUUGAUAGAACCGCGCAAAGUCAUGACGAUAUCUAAGGCAAUGAUCAUACAUAUAGGCAUCACGUCCGAGACAAGUAGACCGAUACUUUCUGCAUCUACUACUAUUACUCCACACAUCGACCGCUAUCCAGCAUGCAUCUAGUGUAUUGAGUUCAUGACGAACAGAGUAACGCCUUAAGCAAGAUGACAUGAUGUAGAGGGAUAAUCUCAAACCAAUGAUGAAAACCCCAACUUUUUACCCUUGAUGGAAACAACACGAUGCGUGCCUCGCUACCCCUUCUAUCACUGGGUGAGGUCACCGCACGGUAUGAACCCAAAACCAAGCACUUCUCCCAUUGCAAGAAUCAUAGAUCUAGUUGGCCAGACAAAACCCACAACUCGAAGAGAAUUACAAGGAUAUGAAAUGAUGCAUAAGAGAGAUCAGAAGAAACUCAAAUAAGAUUCAUAUAUAAUCUGAUCAUAAAUCCACAAUUCAUCGGAUCUCGACAAACACACCACAAAAGAAGAUUACAUCGGAUAGAUCUCCAUGAAGAUCAUGGAGAACUUUGUAUUGAAGAUCCAAGAGAGAGAAGAAGCCAUCUAGCUACUAGCUAUGGACCCGUAGGUCUAUGGUGAACUACUCACGCAUCAUCUGAGAGCUCAUGGUGUUGAUGAAGAAGCCCUUCGUAUCCGAAUCCCCCUCCGGCAGGGCACCAGAACAUGCCCCAGAUGGGAUCUUGCGAAGACAGAAGCUUGCGGCAGCGGAAAAGUACUUUCGAUGAUCUCUUAAUUUUUUUCUGGGAUUUUAUGGAAUUUAUAGGCGAAAGUCCUAGGGCAGAGGUGGCCCAGGGAGCCCACAAGCCUGGGAGGCGCGGGCCCCCUGGCCGCGGCUAGGGGGCUUGUGGGGUCCCUGCUGGCCCCCUGCCCUGAUUCUCAGGCUUCCCGAUCUUUUUCUGUUUCGGAAAAAAUCUUUUUGGCAGUUUCGUUCCGUUUGGACUCCGAUCAAAAUCCUCCUCUGAAAGGGGUCAAAAACAUGGAAAAAACAGGAACUCGCACUUGGCACUGAGUUAAUAAGUUAGUCCCAAAAAAGAUAAAAAAGGCAUACAAAACAUCCAAAGUUUGACAAGAUAAUGGCAUGAAACCAUCAAAAAAUAUAGAUAGUUGGAGACGUAUCUGCGGUCAAGAAUGUCCUUAAGUACCUGAAAAGGACUAAGGAGAUGUUUCUCGUUUAUGGAGGUGACGAAGAGCUCAUCGUAAAGGGUUACGAUGAUGCUAGCUUCGACACAGAUCCGAAUGACUCCAAGUCACAAACCGGAUAUGUAUAUGUUUUGAAUGGUGGGGCAGUCAGCUGGUGCAGCUACAAGCAAGACGUGUGGCAUCAUCUAGAUGUGAAGCGGAGUACAUAGCUGCUUCGGAAGCAUCUCAAGAAGGGAUCUGGACAAAGGAGUUCAUCACCGACCUUGGAGUAAUUCCAAGUGCAUCAGGCCCGAUGACACUCUUCUAUGACAACACUGGAGCUAUUGCCAUAGCCAAGGAGCCCAGAUUUCACACGAAGACCAAGCACAUCAAACGCCUCUACAACUCCAUUCAGGACUACGUCCAGAAAGGAGAAAUACAUAUUUGUAAAGUACAUACGGAUCUGAAUAUUGCAGACCCAUUGACUAAACCUCUUCCACGAGCAAAACAUGAUCAACACCAGAAUGAUAUGGGUGUUCGAUUCAUCACAACGCGACUAGAUUAUUGACUCUAGUGCAAGUGAGAGACUAUUGGAAAUAUGCCCUAGAGGCAAUAAUAAAGUGGUUAUUAUUAUAUUUCCUUGUUCAUGAUAAUUGUCUAUUGUUCAUGCUAUAAUUGUAUUAACCGGAAACAGUAAUACAUGGGUGAAUAUAUAGAUCAUAAUAUGUCCCUAGUAAGCCUCUAGUUGGCUAGCUCGUUGAUCAACAGAUGAUCAUGGUUUCCUGAUCAUGGACAUUGGAUGUCGUUGAUAACGGGAUCACAUCAUUAGGAGAAUGAUGUGAUGGACAAGACCCAAUCCUAAGCAUAACACUAGAUUGUGUUGUUCGUCUGCUAAAGCUUUUCUAAUGUCUAAGUAUCAUCUCCUUGGACCGUGAGAUUGUGCAACUCACAGAUACUGUAGAAGUGCUUUGGGUGUAUCAAACGUCACAACGUAACUGGGUGACUAUAAAUAUGCACUACGGGUAUCUCCAAAAGUAUCUGUUGAGUUGGUACGAAUCGAGACCGGGAUUUGUCACUCCGUGUGACGGAGAGGUGUCUCUGGGCCCACUCGGUAGAACAUCAUCAUAAUGAGCUCAAUGUGACUAAGGAGUUAGUCACGGGAUGAUGUGCUACGGAACGAGUAAAGAGACUUGUCGGUAAUGAGAUUGAACAAGGUAUAGGGAUACCGAUGAUCGAAUCUCGGGCAAGUAUCAUACUGAUAGACAAAGGGAAUUACAUACGGGAUUGAUUGAAUCCUUGACAUCAUGGUUCAUCCGAUGAGAUCAUCGUGGAACGUGUGGGAACCAAUAUGGAUAUCCAAACCCCGAUGUUGGUUAUUGGCCGGAGAGAUGUCUCGGUGAUGUUUGCACGUCUCCCGAACCCGUAGGGUCUACACACUUAAGGUUCGAUGACGCUAAGGUUAUAGAGAAAUAGUGUACAUGGUUAUCGAAGGUUGUUCGGAGUCCCGGAUGAGAUCCCGGACGUCACGAGGAGUUUCGAAUAGUCCGGAUGUAAAGAUUGAUAUAUAGGAUGAAAGGUUUGGACAUCGAAAAUGUUUCGGGCGUCACCGGUAGCGUACCGGGACCACCGAAAAGGGUUCCGGAGGUCCACCGAGAGGGGCCACCAACCCAAAAGGUGACAUGGGCCAAAAGGUGGAAGGAAAUCAGCCCAGAGUGGGCUGGUGCGCCUCCCACCAGGGGCCCAAGGCGCAGGGGAGAGGGAAGGGGGGAAAACCUAAGCCAGGUGGGCCUAAGGCCCACCAGGGGUGCGCCACACCCCUCCUCCCCUCCUCGCCGCCACCUACUGGCGCAGAUGGGGGCUGCCACACCCCUUGGGGGUGGGAACCCUAAGGGUUGCGCCCCCUCCCUCUCCCCCUAUAUAUAGUUGAGGUUUGGGGUUGUUUUGGGACACACGAAUCUCUCUCUCUCGGCGCAGCCCUACCUCUCUCCUUCCUUGUCCUUCGCGGUGCUUGGUGAAGUCCUGCUGGAGUUCCACGUAGCUCCACCGCCACCAUGUCGUCGUGCUGCCGGAGCUCUCCAGCAACAUCUCCUCCUUCCUUGCUGGUUCAAGGUGUUGGAGACGUCACCAGGCUGCACGUGUGUUGAACGCGGAGGUGCCGUGAUUCAGCACGUAGAUCGGAAUCACACCGCGAUCUGAAUCGUUGCAAGUACGACUCCAUCAACCGCGUUCUAGUAACGCUUCUGCUUAGCGAUCUUCAAAGGUAUGAAGAUGCUCUUCCAUCUUGCUCGUUGCUGGUCUCUCCAUAGAUAGAUCCUUGUAUAGCAUAGGAAAAUUUUGAAUUUACUACGUUUCCCAACACGAGUAACCCCCACCUCUCAGCACCAAGACGGCAGAAGAAGGCGAGGGGACAUAAAUUUCUCAGGCGGCGACAGUUGCACGAGAAACCCUACGUUUCCUAUGACACUUACCACUUGAGUAAUUUAAAAAGGGCAAACACAUGGCAAAAAUCAACCCAUUCCAUUGACGGAUUGCUGAAAUCAAAACCUCCGAGAGCCCAACCAAUCUCGUCCGGGCCCAAAGCUUAAACCGCCAAAGUACCCUACACCGGUAAAUCCUAUUUGGCGCUGCAGGUGCUGGUUAAAGUGCAUUUUUCUUAACCGGCGCAUGCAGUUUUCGGGCAUGGGCCGGCUCAUGUCACUUCCAGCGGGAGGGAGGAUUUUCCGAUUUUGAGAAGCUUGUGGAAGCUUCUUAGAUGGGUUUCUCUCAUUUUGGUUUUUUCAGGACUGGUUUUUCUUCGAUUUGUUGGUUUCUUUUCUUUACUCUUUUUAGUACUUUUUCAUUUGCAUUUUAUUUUAUAUAAUUUUUCAUUCUUGGAAAAAUCGCUGCCUUUUUUUGAUAAACUUUUUUUCAAUCGAACAAUCUUUUCUCUAAAUUAAUGAAUCUUUUUCAAAAAAUUAUGAAUUUUUUCUUAUAAUUCGAUGAACUCUUUUUUUUAAUAUCAGUGAACAUUUUGAAAUUUUGAUGAACUUUUUUUAAAAUGGAUGAAUGUUUUCCAAAUUUAAUGAACUUUCUGAAGAUUUGUGAACUUUUUUUUUCAGUUCAAUGAACUUUCCUAAAACAUGCAUGAUUUUUUAAAAAUUUAAUUAUUCUUUCAAGUUAUUGAACUUUUGAAAAUACUGAUAUUUCUUUUCAAAUUCAGUGAACGUUUUUUCAAAUUCUAUGAAUGUUUUCAAACUUUAUGACCUUUUUAAAAACAUUGGUAAACUUAUUUAAAAAUUCAUUGACUUUUUGUCAAAUUUAAUGAUUGUUAUUCAAAUUCGUUACUCUCGUUCUAUUUUGUGAACUUUUUUCAAUAUUAAUGAAUAUUUUUUCGAAUUGGUGAACUUUUUUUGAAAGAUUUGAUGAAUUUUCAUAUUUUUUGGGAACUAAUUUUUAAAUUCAAGAUGUUGUUUUAAGAUGCAUGAGCAUUUUGUGUUUUUAUAAUUUUUAAAUAGUAAUUUAAAAGGCAACGAUUGACCAAUUGGACAACUGAUCAACCGCGACAAUUUUAUUUUUCCGAAAUUCAACGACUAGUGUAUGAUAUCGAGCGACCACCUUUUUGUUGAGCCGGCCCAACAUGGGAUGCUGCAGGAGUCAGUAGCGGCAACGAGCGUCCGCAGCGCGGGUGUCCGCGGCGCUGUAUAGGAGCACCCGUACUCUGCUCCCACCCAGAGGUCCUAUCUGCCGUUCUUUGUGGUAAAAUGUCGACCCCAUGCAUAGGCGGAGAUCCCACUGGAAGGCCCAAGUUAGCGAACAUGAAUUUUUUUUGUUAAAUUCAUUAUUUCUUCCUUUUCUAAACUUUUUUAUUCAUUUUUAGUUUCUUCUCAACUUUUCAUGCUUUUCCUUUUUAAAUAGUACACACUUCCAAAUUGUUCAGAUUUUUUAAAAUUUUCAUGCUGUUAGAAAAUUUUCAGUUUCUCAGAAUAUGCAAGUGUUUUUGAAAAUUUAUUAAUAAAUAAAAAAAUAUACCCAUUUUAUAAAUUGAUCACAAAUUUUCAAAAAAUGUGCUUAUUUUCAAAUUUUCGUUCAAGUAUUAUUAAAUUGUUCACAUUUCCAAAUUUGGUUCCCAAAAUUAAAAAUAUGUUCGUCAUUUGAAAAAUUGUUCCUGUUUUCAAAUUUUGAUUGCAAAUUCAAAAAAUGUUCGGGUUAAAUUUUUUUUGCUUUUAGAAAAUGGUCAGUUUCUCAGAACAAGGAAGUGUUUAAAAAAGUUGUUCAUAAAUUUACAAAAUGUUCAAGCUUAACAAGUUGUUCACCAAUUUUCAAAAAAUGUUCUUACUUUCAAAUUUUUUGUUCAGGUACUAAAAAAUUAGUCACGUUUCCGAAUUUUGUUCCAAAUAUUGAAAAUAUGUUCAACAAUUGAAACAUUGUUCCCGUUUUCAAAUUUUGCUCACAAAUUCAAAAAAAAAUCAGGUUUUAAAAAUGUUGUGCUUUAGAUAAUGUUCAGUUUUUAGAACAUGAAAUUGUUUGAAAAAAUUAUUCUUAAAUUCAAAAAAAAUAUACAGUUUUAACAAGUUUACCACAAAUUUUCAAAAAAUGUUCUGGUUUUCAAAUUCUUGUGCAGGUAUUAAACAGUUGUUACGUUUCCAAAUUAAAUUCGAAAAAUUGAAAAUAUGUUCGUCAUUUCAAAAAUUGUUCUCAUUUUCAAAUUUUGUUCCAUUCUUGAAAUAUCUUAACAAUUUUUAGAGAAAGGGAAAAAAUCAAACUCCGCAAAGAAAAUGGAAACUCGAAUAAUUUUUGAAUCCGUUAACUUUUUAUGAAACAGAAAAUUGCUCCAACUUGGAUUUGUUUGUAAAACGAGAAUAUUUUUAAAAUCUUUGAACUUUUCUGAAAAAACAGAACACUUUUUUAUGAAAUCACAAAUAUAUUUUUAAACCAUGAAAUGUUCAUAAAAACGAAAAAGAACAUGAGAAAAUAAGCAUAAAAAACGAAAAAGCAAGAAGGAAAACAAAACCACUAAGAAAACCCAAACAUCCAGACAAGAAACAGAGCAGGAAAAAGUCAGUUAAAAAACCCGGAGAAAAUAUUCCAGAAUGGUCCUAAACAGAAAGCUGGUGCUAGCGUUCAGUGGGCCAGCCCACUCCACUCGCGUCUGUGCGAUAUGACGCAACGUGCGGCAUAUAGAAAAUUCCCUCCCAUCACUCCGCCGCCAUGGCCGUUGGCGCCGGCGACCGCUGGAGUUGACUGAAAAAAAAAGCAGAACCGUAUUCUUCACUCGUCGUCGGCGUUGGCGCAUUGGACGAUGGCGAGGACCACGCAUGAGUACGUGCCACAAUAUUUGAAUGCACACACCACACAUCGCAAAUACACACAAGUAAUCAAAGAAAAGAUGUGCCCCUCUGGUAGUACUCAAUCCCGUUGAAAGCAACAGAACAUACCAGGCAAUUAGUAGCUUGUAGAGCAUGUCAUGUUUUCGGCUGCAAUGUGCAGCUUUAAUAUAGGCUUAUUAAUUUCGUGAGUUGCCCAUUCUUUUACAUGGUUUUGGUUGAAAAGCUUACACCAAGUGAGGAAAAACCCAUUUUAUUCAAGCAUCAUCAUCAUUUGGCGCUGCAUGCAUAUGCAAAGGCCGGAGGUAAGGGAAACGCUUUGUACCAGUAGUCUCAUACGAAGCAAUCGGCAGACCACAUGUGAACCAUCGAUGUCCAAUUAAUCCCACGGUCAAGGUCUUCCUGAUACUAAAUUGCUAACCACCCAUAUUUAACGCAGGCCCUGGUCCCUUUCCCGUCAGGGUUGAGAUCUCUCCCGUCAAUCUCUCCUGAACCUCCGUUCCUCUCUCAUGGCUCUAUCGCAUCCUUCCUUUGAGCUCAUCAUCAACAUUGUCGCCCUUGUCCUGCCCUACUCCGCCACCCAGGUUGUUCCGUCUCCUGCGCAUCGUGCUCCCUUCCCACCUUGCCGGAGACGAAAUCCAUCGCCCAUGAUGCAAUCCACCACAACGCCCAAAUCUAAUCCCCUCUACCGACCUAAUACUAAAAGAAGCGGUCGCUAGUGACCUUGGUGGCGUGCCAUCACGGCAGUAGGUGGUCGUGCUCUCCAUCUUCACCGUGUUUGUUGCCCAUGAAGUGCCUGGACCUUGAGAUUUGAACCGGCUGCACCCGUAAGGCAGAGAAUCAGGAGUGGCCUCCAGUUCUUUUGCCCUAUUCGAAAUCCUUCCUGUGAUUCAAAAGGUAUUGAAUUUCCUGAUCCAACUUUCGUUCCAUCAUCAUCUGUCCCACGCACAGAUUCUUAUCAUAUGAUAUUUCCAGCAACCAUGCUUUUUAAACACUGGAUACGUGCUUCAACCUUGCUGUUUUGUUUGCGUCGAGGGGUGGAAUUGGUUUGUAGAUCACAAAUUGAUCGACGCACACACAAGUUGGCAACAUUCAGUGCUAUUUCUAGUUACAAAAUUACAUGCUCCCACUAGAUAUGAAUUAUGUUGAGAUAAAAACAAACUGAUGCUUCUUAAUAUCCAUGAUUCCUAACUUUGUUGUAUGUUUUCUUCAGUCCAGAUAGUUUGGGGCCAAAGAAACACACUUCUACUAUUUGUGUUGUCAAGAGAAAUUUUUGUGUUUAAACACUACCAUCAUGCUUCCUGUAUUUCAUAUACAUGCUGACAGUGGCAAGCCGAUUUUUUUUGUUUUUUAUUGUUGAAUAAUGCCAAAUCAAAUUUUAAAAAAUCAACGACGGUGUGGCAUAGCAUGUAUGAAGCGUACAUGCUUCUUACAUGGCAAUGUGAGAACCUCUACUUCAUCGCUACCGUACCAUAUAUGUAAUACUUGUUGUUGCUUCAUAUGUACCUUCUGUACUUAUGCAUCAUGGCUAAUAGAUUAUGGAUGUAUGUUUCAAGCAGUUGUGUGUUGGCCUUAGAACUGAUGGGCGCAGCCGUUGACAUAUAUGGAGGCAACUGAUGCCUACACUAAGAAGUGUGAUCAAUCAUGAUACUUGGAUCAGCCCUACAAUGAGGCCAACUGCAAGCGAAAGGAAUCAUGUCUACGGUCUAUAGGGAACAUACAAUUUGUUGACAUAAGGAAGCAUAGUAGGCAGUGUUGGUGACUUGAACGAAACGAAUUGUAUCAUGUAUGAAACUUAUUGUAAGAAUGAAUGAAGCAGGAAACAAACUUAUGUUCAAGUAGAAGCAAAUUAAUUUUACCAUGUAAGCACUUCUAUUAUUGGAUGGAAGCAAAUUUUCUGGUUGGAAAGUUGAUAAAAAAGAUAUAUGAGACCCAAAUUUAUGAUAUGAAAACAUAUUCUUAGAUACAAAUUUUGAUACACGGAAGCAAAGUGUUUGGAAAAAGAAUUACGUCCAAAAAAGUUUGGUUGUGAUUGAAGAAAAUUAUUUCAUCGGUGAAAGCAAGGUUUUGCUGCAUUAAGAACAAAAUAAAAUGUUACGCGGAUGCAUUUUUCAUCGAAGCAAAUUCGCUAUGCACUAGAAGCAAAAAAGGAAUUGUCUAGAAAAAAUGUUGAAUAAAGUACGAAAAUAGAAGAAUUUAGAUGGACUUUAAAUUAUAUCCUUGCAUGAUUUUCGGAAGAAAUUAAUUCAAGGAAGAAAAUAGUAUUGUAGCAACGUAAUCACAGGAGUAUAAUGUGGAAACUAACUAGAGGAGAAGUGGGUCAUACGUUGGGCACAUAAUCACGCCUUGCAAGUGCAAUCGAUCUAAUGGCUGUCCAGUGGUCUGAUAUACUGCUAGGGAUCAGUAGUCUGAUCCCUAGUGGUGCCCCGGAGGUAACCCUCCUUUCUUUCUUAAAGAAAAUCAAGCAUCAUCACACAUCAUUCUAUUCAUGACUAGAGAAUCUUAACAGCAACGACCCAUUUCCACUCGGCUAGGCUACCUAUAGUCCUUGUUCUUUUGAACCAUCAACAGGGAAGCUAUAUAUGAUGACUAAAUACUUAACGUAUUAAUUUGUAGUCAUCUAACCCGGUUAAAGAUAGGUCAUGUUGUCGUCCCCGGUCGGUGGCAUACAAUACCAAUACACUCUCUGGACUCCGCCGGUUGUAAAUGACCUGCAAAGGGGUCCUUCAAUCGAAAAGGCCAAAAGCAUACACUACCUUGCCUCUUUUGGACAGAGCUAGCCAAACCCUAUUCUUCAGUCGUUGACAUCGGCGUUGGCGCAUUGGACGAUGCUGACGAUCGCGCUGGUCACAUUGGCCAACGCGUUCAUCAUCCUCGCUGCGGCGGAGACCUUAGCCGCGCCGCCUUCUUUCGAGCCGAUUGCUGGUGUGCCUCCUGCUUCCGCACCGACUCCUUCUGUGCCACAUACUGCCCCACCACGUGUUGCCGCACCGACUCCUUCUGUGCCACAUACUGCCCCGCCGCGUGUUGCCGCAUCGACUCCUUCCCUGCCACAUACUGCCCCGCCGCCUGCUUCCGCACCGGCAGCUGUUGUGUCGCCUGCUGCCCUGCCGAGGUUGAUGAUGAACGUGUUGGGCCGCAGGUUGACGGCGAUCCAACGACCUUCCUUGAGCACCCGCAGCCCGGUGACCUGCUCAUCCAUCAUCAGGAUGGUGAGGGCGUUGUAGGUCAGCUCUGGCGACGGGCACUUGGGGUCGAAGUUGGCCGCCAUGUGCUGCUCCUGCUCGCCGAGGACCUUAUUGAUGUAGUCCUGCUCCAGCCCCAGGCUCUUCGAUAUCGCUCCGUAGAACUGGAACCCGAGGUCCCGGACCUCUUUGCAGUAUGUGCCCAUGGCAUUCCUGGUUCAUGCAAACACACGGCAGCUGGUUAACCAUAUAUAUGUCCGGUUGUAGAUGCUCUUAGUUUGAUACGUAUAUAGUACAUCCGUGGUUGUUCCAGGUGAGUUUGUUUGAUAACUUGCUCAGUCUCGUGAAUCAUGAGAAAAAGUGUGUGUUUGUUUGUCUGUUUACGGUUGAAUCUAGGAGGGAAAUGCUAAAGAAAUUAGUGGUGUUUUUGGCAUAUCAGUGACAAAAGAUGGUAGCUAAAACAGUUAGGACCGGUACGAAAUAAUGCCAAAGUAAUCAAGGAAAAGUACUUUCAAAGCAUUUUUACAGCAUAAGGAUGUGUCUAGGACACAUCUAGAUGUGACAUAAUUAUUACACAUCUAAAUAAUUAAAUCAAGCAUAAAAAAAAUACACACAAAUCUCUACAUAAGAUCAAUGAUAUAAAACUUAGAUGUGCAAUACUUAUCUCACAUCUAGAUGUGUUUUAGCAAAACCGAUGGAUAUGUCUAAGACACAUCUAGAUGCAACAUAGUUAUUACUAAUCUAACGAAUGAGAAACCCAAAUUUCAUUAGGGUGCCCCAUUUUUCUUUUCGAAGAUCCAGCAAAUACUACUUUCUCGAUACCAAAAUAUUUAUAGUAUUAAUAGACUAACUUAGCCUGCUAAAACUACAAAUAUUUAGGUACAAAGAAAGCGUUCAUUUUCUAAGGCCUUGUAGGCAUUUCACACAUAAUGCAAAACAGUGGCGUAUCUAGGGGGUAUGCCCCAGAAGUUUAGGAAGCAUUUUUUUUACCAUGUAAAAACUAGCAGAUUUUAAAGACCCAUCCAAAUCAAUUGAAAUAGACCUAACUUUUUAAAAGUGUGCGCACCUUUUAUUUUAUUUCUAGCUACGUCAGUGGUGCAAAACAGUUUAAUUUCAGUUGUCUAAAUGACUUAUAAAACUGAACGGAGGAAGUAGUUAUUUGAGUGACUUAUAAAAGUGAACGGAGUGAGUAGUUAUAUUUGCGGUUUUCUGGAAGUGAUGAAGAAAGAGUAAUAAAUACCUCAAGGGCGGCGGAUUGGCUGGCCCCUCCGCCGGCACGAACUGCUCGAGCGGGUGGCAGUGCAGCCGCAGGUAGUCGCGCCAGUUGUGGACGGUCUCCUUGCGCACGUUGAAGCUGGUGGAUAGCCGCAUCUUCUUGGGCGGGUCGUCGGAGUAGAGCUUGGCCUUCUCCUCCGGCGAGAGGCGGAAGAAGUCGUGCGCCAGCGCCAUGGCCGCCCGCAUCGCCUCCACCGGCAGCCCGUGGUUGAGCACCUGACGAUCAGAAACCACACACACACACCACGCGAGCACGCACUGUGAGCGAAAGCAGAGCAACGCCAUUUCCGGCAAAAACAGAGCAGCGUUAGGCGAAAUGGGAAUUGGAACCUGGAAGAGGCCGUGUGAGCUGCAGGCGGCGCCGAUCUGGUAGACGACGGCGGCGCUGUCGGGGUUGGCGAGGUCGACGACGGGGAUGUCGGCGUCGAGGCGCGGCCACUCGGACUCGGACCGGAUGUAGCUGUGGGGCAGCGUGUGCAGCACGGCCGUGGAGAUGAGCUGCUCCGCCAUGCCGGCGGAAGAACGGGGGGAGAGAGAGAUGGAUAGGUGGCACGAUCGUGGAGGGCGUGAGCAGAGGAAGUUCACGGAGAGAAAGAAGGAACGCCGGGGCUUGAGCAGGCGGGGGAAGUCGGAGGAUUUAUGGAAGAACGAGGAGAGAGAGAGAUCGGACGGACUUCCUCACAAGUGGUUCACAAAAAAACACGUGGAUGAGUGACCGUCCGUGAGUGUUCACAAGUGUGGACCAACAUACGGCUGUGGAAUAACGAGGGGGGAGAGAGAGAGAGAGAUCGGACGGACGGCUGUGGAUGUGGACACCCUCGUUCUUCCAACUUCCCCGAGCAGGAGAACAUAUGCCAUCAUACGUUCUACCAACUAUAAGGAUAGACAUGCGACCAACAUACGUUCUAUCAUGUGGACACCCAUGCCAGACUUAGUUCUACCAACUCACGAGAGGAUAGACAUGCGAGUGUUGACCAAUAUAUGCCAGACGAAACCGAGCAGGAGAACACCCAUGCCUGUGUGAUGAUGAAGCAUGAUAGCGCCAAAAAACAUACUACCAACUACAAGGACGAUACAACAUAGCGCACGCGUGCUAUGCGGACCGACAUAUGGCAUGAGACGACCACACCCAUGCCAGACGGCACGGCUCCUGUGUGUCUCUCUCCACGUCUGGCAUGUGCUAACAAAAAGGCAUGUCUAUCCUUCUCUCGUUGCCACGUCCCGACAAACACAACAUGCCAUAUGAAAACUGCCAUCCUUUCCCCUCACGUGAUCCUCCUUCUACAUCCCACAACACUAGAAAAACCCUACCGCCCUGAGCCCAGAUCCCCGGGCAACUUCUUCUCCCACAACAGUCGCCGAAGGCCACGGCCUGGCAUUGGGGAGCUCUCCUCCCAUAGAAAAAUCAUAGUAAAACAGGGCGGAACUAGAGCGAAAAAAUGUGAAGAAAAUUCUGAAAAAUGUAAUUGUGUGUGCAACUCUACUUGCUGAUCAGGCAACAAUCCAGGAGAGUUGUGGGCAAAAGCAUUUGCAAAGAUGGGCAAGAUUCUCCCACUGAAAAAACUGCAAAAGGUAAAAGAUCUGAUUCAGAAUUUUUUCGUCAUGAACUUCCCCCCUAAUAUUCUACUCCCUCCGUUCCUAAAUAUAAGUCUUUUUAGAAGUUUCACUAAAAGACUAUAUACAGAUGUAUAUAGACAUACUUUAGAGUGUAGAUUCACUCACUUUGUUCCGUAUGUAGUCAUUUAGCGAAAUCUCUUAAAAGACUUAUAUUUAGGAACGGAGGGAGUAGUUGCAAUAGUUGCCCCCUAUAGCAAAGUGUUUGUAUGACAUGACUUCCUACAAAAGUAUUUGCAAAGAUCUGUCCAGAAUUGUUUGGUCAUUAACUUCCCCCCUAAUCUUCUAGUUGGAAUAGUUGCCCCCUUAAGCAAAGUGUUUGUAUGACAAGACUUCCCACAAAAGUAUUUGCAAAGAUCUGAUCCAUAAUUUUUUGGUCAUGAACUUCCCCCUGAUCUUCUAGUUGCAAUAGUUGCCCCUGUACCAAAGGAUUGUACGCGAGGACUUGAAUCCUGCCACUGUUCUUGCAUAUUGUAGUUGCAAAAUCUGCCCCCGUGACUUGUAGAACUAGAGUAUCUUGUCUAUUCUUUUACACCCUGCUUCUGCCAAAAAAUGGGAAAAAGAAGCAUAGUUAUUUUUGUUACUGUUAGUAAUCUCUUUUGUAUAUUAAAAACUGGUUAAUAAUCUGUUGUAUUUGCUUACAAAAAAAAUUGUAGUAAAAGUCUAGUUGCUUACAAGCAACACAAAGUAGCCACGCAAAAGAAGUCUGAAAAAAGGGUUAAGCGACCAUUUUGGAACUACAAUAUGCAAGUAGGGUUAGGUGACCUAGGUCGCCGGGGUGGGCGAGAAGUGUCGCACCGCCCAUUCGUGUUGAGGCGNNNNNNNNNNNNNNNNNNNNNNNNNNNNNNNNNNNNNNNNNNNNNNNNNNNNNNNNNNNNNNNNNNNNNNNNNNNNNNNNNNNNNNNNNNNNNNNNNNNNNNNNNNNNNNNNNNNNNNNNNNNNNNNNNNNNNNNNNNNNNNNNNNNNNNNNNNNNNNNNNNNNNUGUUAGGCGACCUAGGUCGUCGGGAUGGGCGAGAAGUGCCACACCCCCCAUUCGUGUUGAGGCGACUUGGAAUGACGGUGGCCGGCGGGGCUUUGGGCGAUUUGGUUGUCCGUGUUAGGCGACCUAGGUCGUCGGGGUGGUCAAGUGCCACACCCCUCAUUCGUGUUGAGGUGACUUGGAAUGACAGUGGUCGGCGGGGCUUUGGGCGACUUGGUCGUCCGUGUUAGGCGACCAAGGUCACCGGGGUGGGUGAGACGCACCGCACCCCCCAUUCAUGUUGAGGCGACUUGGUAUGACGAUGGUCGAUGCUACCUCUUGAGCUUGCGUUGGUUUUUUCUCUUGAAGAGGGAAGGGUGAUGCAGCACAGUAGCAGUAAGUAUUUUCCUCAGUUUGAGAAUCAAGGUAUAAAUCCAGUAGGAGUAUCAAGAUGAAGCAUCGAUGUACUGCUAUCCCACCGACAACAGCGCCAGAAGUUGACACGUUAACACAGGCUGGGCUUGCGUUGGUUCUUCCCUUGAAGAGGAAAGGGUGAUGCAGCACAGGAGCAAUAAGUAUUUCCUCAGUUUGAAAACCAAGAUAUCGAUCCAGAAGGAGGGUCUCGUCAAGUCCAGAGUACCUGCGCAAACACAAACAAGCUUGCACCCAACGCUUCAAAGGGGUUGUCAAUCCCUUCAAGAUUGUUUGCAAAGUGAGAUGUGAAGGCGGAAAGUGCAACGAAGUAAAAAAGUGUAAGGCUGAAAAUAUGGUGUGAAGUAAACCCUGGAGGCCAUGGUGUUCACUAGAGGCUUCUCUUAAAAUAGAAAAUAUCACGGUGGGUGAACAAAUUACUGUCGAGCAAUUGAUAGAACCACACAAAGUCAUGACGAUAUCUAAGGCAAUGAUCAUACAUAUAGGCAUCACGUCCGAGACAAGUAGACCGAUACUUUCUGCAUCUACUACUAUUACUCCACACAUCGACCCCUAUCCAGCAUGCAUCUAGUGUAUUGAGUUCAUGACGAACAGAGCAACGCUUUAAGCAAGAUGACAUGACGUAGAGGGAUAAUCUCAAACCAAUGAUGAAAAUCCCAUCUUUUUACCCUUGAUGGCAACAACACUAUGCGUGCCUCGCUACCCCUUCUGUCACUGGAUGAGGUCACCGCACGGUAUGAACCCAAAACCAAGCACUUCUCCCAUUGCAAGAAUCAUAGAUCUAGUUGGUCAGAUAAAACCCACAUCUCGAAGAGAAUUACAAGGAUAUGAAAUCAUGCAUAAGAGAGAUCAGAAGAAACUUAAAUAAGAUUCAUAGAAAAUCUGAUCAUAAAUACACAAUUCAUCGUAUCUCGACAAACACACCGCAAAAGAAGAUUACAUCGGAUAGAUCUCCAUGAAGAUCAUGGAGAACUUUGUAUUGAAGAUCCAAGAGAGAGAAGAAGUCAUCUAGUUACUAGCUAUGGACCCAUAGGUCUAUGGUGAACUACUCACGCAUCAUCGGAGAGGUCAUGGUGUUGAUGAAGAAGCCCUCCGUGUCCGAAUCCCCCUCCGGCAGGGCACCAGAACGUGUGUGAUACGUCUCAAACGUAUCUAUAAUUUUUGAUGGUUUCACGCUGUUAUCUUGCCUCCUUUGUAUGUUUUAUGUACAUUUUUAUAUCUUUUUUGGGACUAACUUAUUAAUUCAGUGCCAAGUGUCAUUUCCUGUUUUUCCGUGUUUUUGACUCUUUUCAGAUCUGAUUUUGGAACGGAGUCCAAACGGAAUAAAAACCCCGAAAUGAUUUUUUUCCCGAACGAAAGAAGACCAGGGAGCCUUUGGGCCAAGCCAGGUGGGCCCUAGGGAGCCCACAAGCUCCCACCACGCCACCAGGGGGGAGGCGGCGGUGGGCAAGUUUGUGGCUUCCCUGGCCGCCUCCUGACCUAAGUCUUGCGCCUAUAUAUUCCCAAAUAUUCCAUAAAAAAUCAGGGGAGCCUCGAAAAAACUUUUUCGCCGCCGCAAGCUUCCGUUUCCGUGAGAUCUCAUCUGGAGACCCUUCCCAGCACCCUGCCGGAGGGGACUUUGGAGGUGGAGGGCUUCUUCAUCAUCAUCAUCGCCCCUCCAAUGACUCGUGAGUAGUUCACUUCAGAUGUACGAGUCCGUAGUUAGUAGCUAGAUGGCUUCUUCUCUCUCUUGGAUCUUCAAUACAAAGUUCUCCAUGAUCUUCAUGGAGAUCUAUCCGAUGUAAUCUUCUUUGGUAGUGUGUUUGUCGAGAUCCGAUGACUUGUGGACUUGUGAUCAGAUUAUCUAUGAUAUAUAUUUGAGUCUUUGCUGAUUUCUUAUAUGCAUGAUUUGAUAUCCUUGUAAGUCUCUCCGAGUCUUGGGUUUUGUUUGGCCAACUAGAUCUAUGAUUCUUGCAAUGGGAGAAGUGCUUGGUUUUGGGUUCUGCCAUGUGGUGACCUUUCCCAGUGACAGUAGGGGCAGCAAGGCACACAUCAAGCAGUCGCCAUCAAGGGUAAAAAGAUGGGGGUUUUAUCAUUGGUUUGAGAUUAUCCCUCUACAUCAUGUCAUCUUGCUUAAGGCGUUACUCUGUUCUUAUGGACUUAAUACACUAGAUGCAUGCUGGAUAGCGGUCGACGUGUGGAGUAAUUAAUAGCAGUAGAUGCACACAGUAUCGGUCUACUUGUUUCAGACGUGAUGCCUAUAGAAAUAAUCAUUGCAUAGAUAUCGUCAUGACUCUGCACAGUUCUAUCAAUUGCUCGACAGUAAUUUGUUCACCCACCGUCUACUUGCUUUCAUGAGAGAAGCCACUAGUAAACACUACGGCCCCCGGGUCUAUUCACACCCAUCGUUUACACCUCCGCUUUUACUUUGCUUUGUUACUUUGUUGCUUUCAGUUCUCACUUGGCAAACAAUCUAUAAGGGAUUGACACCCCCUUCAUAGCGUUGGGAGCAAGCUCUUUGUGUUUUGUGCAGGCACUUGUGAUACUACUUCACUCGAUCGAUACAUUGGUUCUCAAAACUGAGGGAAAUACUUACCGACGCUGUGCUACAUCACCUUUUCCGCUUCGAGGGAACACCAACGCAAGGCUCCAAGGCCACAGAGGAAUCCUUUGCAUAUUUUCCUAGGAAGUCCCUAAGGCAUAGCCGCUGCAGCAGGAUUCCUAGCGCUGUACCAGGGAAGGUCUGUUGUCGCAGUAGCACACCCUCAUGAAAAAAUUCACCCUACCGCAAGAGGUAGAUCCAAAUAAACCGGUUAUACAACAAAAAAUCAAGUUGUGGGCUCUGAAGAAGAUGCCCAACAGUUCUGCAACUGGAAGAAACGAUUGAACCAAGACUAUGUCCACAAAGGCAAGACUCCAACAUUCACCGGAGCACUUGAGAAGUUAAAAGAUCACUAGGACGUAUUUGUGGAGUUCAAGAAAUUAGAUGAAGCUAAGAAAAGGUCAGAAAGAAAUAAGAUAAAUCCCGCGAAGAAAGAUUAUCACCAUGUUACGGGGUUAGGUGGCUAUAAGGUUGCUAGGCCUAAGUGGGAGAAAACGGAGGACGAGCUGAUUGCUAAAGGGGUCGAACCAGAGCCAUUGUACUGGACCGAACGGGCAAGGACUUGGUUCUACAGGCAUGGGUGAAAGUUGAACCCAGAAACAGGGAAGUGUACUUACACAAAAGAGCAACUUGCAACACCCCUGUAAGCCCUUCAAGAUGCACUGAAGGACGUGCAUGACGAGAAGUUCAUUCCUGAUAGAGAGAACGACGAGCUCACACACGUCCUCGGGAAUCCUGAACACAGUGGACGGACACGAGGCACAACGGGCUCCGUUUCGUGGAAGGUCGGGUUUCCCGAUAACAGUGACAACUAUAGAAGCUGAGCGAGAAAGAAGAAAUAGGAAGAAUACCGAAAUAAACGGGAAGCAGACCGGCUACAGAAGGUAGAAUAAAAAUUAGAGGUCCACCUACAGAUAAUAGAUAGGCUUACCAGACAGCGAGCUACCAGCGACCCAUCUGAUCCUGCAUUUGGUACUGCUCCCAGCCCAUCACCAUCUCAGAGGAAAAGCAGCGCGGUUCCACGGAGCUUGUUUGGCUCACAAAUGAUAUCACGGCUCCUCUCUACCCUGUGGAUGAUAUCACGGAGAGGGAAAAUUGUGAGCUACAUGCUGGAACUUAUUCAUGAAGGUGGCGGUCAUCUAUGUCUUACCUCCUCGACCUGAUGCAACUUACCUUUGCGAGUCGAUUCUAGAUGGCUAUGCUAUUGUCGGGAUGGAUGAAGUUACCAGCGGAUUUGAGCAACUAUAGCUUGAUUACCCUACAGGUUAAGGGGAGACUCAUCUAGGAGAUGCCUUGAGGACUACCAUUCUAUGGAAAAAGGAACACAUCAUGAUUCCACAUUGGACAGCGUCAGCAGAUCACUCCGUCGGACUCGGCUCCUCACGAGACUCCUCACGGUAGCAAUCCAGGUCAGUGUCAGCAGACUCCGAUGUCUCAGUUGUAUCCGCCGCGUCAACUGACUCCACCGCAUCAGCCGCCUCUGCCUCCUCAGCUGUCUCUGUCGCGUCAGCUAACUUCGCCGCGUCAGCAGACUACGACCCCUCAGGCCCAUGCACGGAAGAGAACGGCCACUCCAGCGGCUAGUAGUACAACUUUGAAGAAACCCAAAGCAGCUACAUGCGUCAAGGAGGCUCCUCGCAAGUCACCAUAUGAAGUGCGUGAUGAGGAACUCAAGACGGUUGUGCAGGAGGAAGUGAGACGCCGUCUUGCACUGAAACCGUGCAAGGAACCGGAGAAAAUAUAUCCGAAAAAGUGAAGCGUUGUCUGAAAAACCUUACGCGACCACCGCCGCCUCCGCCGCUAUCAGACUAUGACCGCUCGAUUGUUAAGUCACAUAGACAACAGAAGCGGUCUGGAAGUAGUAGAUCAAGUGGGAAAACAAUUCCCCAGCUCGGCGAACAAAAAACCAAUCGAUCCCCCAUUUGUUUACCGGUAACCGGUUAUGAUGCGAAGGCAGAAUGCCAUGGUAUUGGUUUCACUCUUGGUGAAUACUUAGGCGGUCAGCAAGAGUCCCCCCGGCUGAGAUAGUAUACACAUACCGGUACGGGAAGCCUCUCGUUAGACCUGAGAAUGUCCUGCUUCUACCAACACGAAUUCGAAACUUCCAUGUGUGGUACAUGAAAGCCUGCAAGGCUGGGACCAACUAUCUCAUUGCGGGAGUUAAUGAUGAGCAUUUUCUUCAAUGGAGACGAACUGAUUUACAUUGUAUUUGAGUAAUUUUUCCAGUUAUUCAAUCAAGAGGCCAUCGAUAAAGCUAUCAUCAGUUGCUAUUGUGUGUAAGUAUCAUUUCUGUAAUUAAGUCUCUAUCUGAGUUCGUUCAUUACAUGUAUAAUUAUCCUCACUAUAUAUAUUAUGCCGAAUGAAGAUCCUCCGGUGCAGAAGAGGAUGAAUCUAUGAUAUUGGGUUCAUUAACCCAAAUAUUGUUCAUGAAGUGACGGUAAAAAAUCACGUGGAAGAAACAGAGAAGAUCUUGCUAAGGGUGUUAAUUGAACAACAAAACAAAAGGGAAAUAAUUUUUCCUUACAAUUUUAAGCGAGUGUUAUACUUUUUUGAACGAAGUGAGUGUUAUACUGUCUUCAAUACAUUAUAUUUUCGUUAAUUACUCGAUGCUAAGUGUAAUUGAUGAGUUAUGCGUAUGCAUGUUCCACUUUAUUCUGCUAGUCAUUUUGUCAUGGACUCGAAACGCAAAGACAUAGAGACGUGGGAUUAUUCGUGAUUUUCGAUAAAAAGUAGUGGUUUUGAAGUAUCCUUGCCAUAAUUGUGGUGGUUUUAAACAAUUUUCUCUCCCGAUGUAAAUCAAACCAUGGGAUUAUUUAGCAAACCGGGAUUACACAGGAUGUUUCACACAACGGACCGGGGGUUGGUUGCGCUGCGCGCGUGGUCACAACUUGUCAUGUCAGCAGCUUCGAUCGGCAUCAUGACCCGGAUCGUUGUCAGUGGGUGGGAGCUCUCGUCCACACGUUUAGAACGGCAAGGGCAGACCUGUGGUUCAACGCUUGAACUGCUUGCAGUCCAGCAGUCCAAGUUUAGAACGCUGGUCCUCGGUUACACUGAUUUGUUCUAUCAACAUGUGGUUCCCACGACUUGGUCCUCGGUUUGACUAUUCAUACUGAUUUCUUUUUAAAUCAGGCGAUCCUGACACAACAAAUGGACCGGUCCAGAUUACCCCUCCCAUGUACCAUUCAGCAUGGAUGGUGAGCUAUCUCAAAAACAAAGAUUACCCUCCCAUGUGUGAAACACAGGCAUUUGAAAAAUUUAGGUGGGCCGGUCCCGCUAGGAGUAGGGUGUGCGUCCCUUGGAAUUUUUUUAAAUAGCAAAUUUGAAAUAGGUCGAUUCAUCAGACGAAUCUCAGUUGAUACGAUGUUAAAAAAUUUAAAACUAAAUUACAUAAUUCAGUGUAUAAUCGAUCGGCUUUUCGAUUCGUGUGUUUAUUUCGCCAAAUUUAAAUUGGGCUUUUUCCAAGCCCAACCAAUCGAGAGUUUGGGCCCAAAAAAAACUUAAACCGCCAGAGAACCCUACUCCCCUCAGCUCCCACCACUCCUCCGCCAUGGCCGCCGGCGCCGGCGCCGGCCUGCGGCUGGGCUCCUACCUCGGCGACGUCUCCGCGCUCUCCUUCCUCCCCUCCUCCCCGCGCCCCCUCCUCCUCGCCGGUACCUCCCCCUCCCCUCUCCCUGCCCUCCGGCGCGCCGUACGCUCACCUCACCUAUUACGCCGCGCGCUCUCGCAGGGACCGGGUCGGAGCUGCUCGUCUACGACCUGGAUGCCGCCAGGCUCGUCGCCUCCUUCCGGGUCUUCGACGGCGUGCGCGUCCACGGCAUCCAACCCCGCGUCCGUGCCCCCAAUGGCCCCGCCGACGGGCUCACCGUCGCCGUGUUCGGCGAGAGGAGGGUGAAGCUCCUCAGCCUCCGCGUCGACGCGGCCGGCGUGCUGCUGCAGCUGGAGCAGAGGCUCCCCGGGUUCGACCACUGGGUGCUCGACGCUUGCUUCCUCGAGGUAUGCACACUCGGUCAUUCGCGGUGGGAAGCUUCGUUUUCCAUUGCCAUUCAUGCUUGUACAUUAUUCAUGUGUGUUCCUUCUCGGCGCAGGUCGACGGGCUGCUUGCGAUCGGUUUGGGCGACAAUUCAGUGGCCUUGUGGGAUUUGAAGGACCGUGUGUUCGUUACCAGGGUGAAUUCUCCAGGUUCGACGAGCCCCCAAGUUUGAAACUAUAUCCUCCGUGCCAGAAUUUGUAUUGACAUAUGCUUGGUCCUGGUGUGUUUUGUGGAUGCAGAGAAGUGCCUUCUGUAUUCAAUGAGAAUGUGGGGGGACUCUGUUCAAUCCCUCCUCGUCGCGUCUGGUACCAUUCUGAACGAGGUAGCCGUCCAGGCUCUUCUAACCUCUAGCGCACUAAAUUUUUGAGACAGACUUUGCUAAGCUCGGAUGUCUGGUAUAAGCAUUAUUAUAACUCCACUGUAUCUGUUUUCCAGAUUCUUAUUUGGAAACUGGUACCUGAAACCCCGAGUUCUUCCUUGUUAAGCUCGGACGAGUUGGGCGCUGCUGGUGUAGAGAACCGUGAAAACGUUCAUCUUAGUCAUAAUAAUAAAUACAUGGCUGUUCAUAUUGGAAGAUUGAAGGAACAUGAGGGUUCAAUAUUCCGAAUAGCUUGGUCUUCUGACGGAUCAAAGUUCAUGUCCGUCUCCGAUGACCGCAGGUUUGGUUCGUUCUGGUUUUCACUUCUCUGCAUUAUCCAUGUCAGAUUUCAUUUGCUGAAGUAUCUAGCUUCUUGAACUUAUUGUUUCAAUUGCCCGUCUUUUGUUAUAUCAGUCUUAUCUUAUGUGCUUGGCUUCAUUGUUAUGGCAGUGCUCGCAUGUGGAUGUUAAGUUGUCAGCCACAGGAUCUUACCAAUCAAGCAGCCAGAAUUGAUGAUGUCGACAUUAUACCAAAACUGACACUUUUUGGACACAGUGCUAGAAUUUGGGAUUGCUGCAUAUCUGAUUCUGUAAGUUUAUUGCACUUUGCCUUUUCGUCUUUCAGUUUUGAAGGUGGAUUUGCUAUUAUGUUUGUUUGGUGGCGUCCGUUUCCUCAAUGCUUUUUUUUAACUCACGAAUCUAUCAUGGACACAUACCAUAUUAUUACGUUAAGGCUUUUUUUUGUCAGAAAAGUGGAACUUACCCAUCUACUCCCUCCGUACCUAAAUAAUUGUAGNNNNNNNNNNNNNNNNNNNNNNNNNNNNNNNNNNNNNNNNNNNNNNNNNNNNNNNNNNNNNNNNNNNNNNNNNNNNNNNNNNNNNNNNNNNNNNNNNNNNNNNNNNNNNNNNNNNNNNNNNNNNNNNNNNNNNNNNNNNNNNNNNNNNNNNNNNNNNNNNNNNNNNNNNNNNNNNNNNNNNNNNNNNNNNNNNNNNNNNNNNNNNNNNNNNNNNNNNNNNNNNNNNNNNNNNNNNNNNNNNNNNNNNNNNNNNNNNNNNNNNNNNNNNNNNNNNNNNNNNNNNNNNNNNNNNNNNNNNNNNNNNNNNNNNNNNNCUACAAUUAUUUAGGUACAGAGGAAGUAGCUUUUAUUGUAAACUAAAUACAUCUUACUGUUUUCACCUGAACUUGCCUUUUAGAUAGUUAUAACUGCUGGUGAGGAUUGUACUUGCUGCAUUUGGGGCAUGGAUGGAAAGCUAAUCAAAACGUUCAAAGAACACAUGUAAGUUGGGCAGAAAGUGUAAGGCGAGCCAGAUUAAGUAUGUGCAAGUUUGAGUACCUUGACCUGCAAGAAGUUUCUCCCUUAUUAAAACUUAAUUUGCUCUGCUGCCUCUACUGUUACAGCGGCCGAGGAUUAUGGCGAUGUUUAUAUGAUCCAAGCUCACUGGUUCUGAUCACUGCUGGGUUUGAUUCAGCAAUCAAAGUGCACCACCUAUGUAAUUCCUCUUUUCAUGACACAUUGGAAGAAAAAGCGGCCCCAGAUGGUCUGAAAUACGAGUCUGAGGUGUUUGAAGUAUCUUCUCCUAUAGUAUCAGGACGGCAUGGUGCCUUGGAUAGGUAUGGUGUGUUUCUGUGUUAUCUUGUACAAUCUCUAUCUUUCAUGGUGAUAUAGUGCGAGUAAUUAACUAAUUAUUCUUUCGUUUAUCACAGCAAAAGUGAAUAUGUCCGAUGCUUACACUUUGUGCAACAAAAUAUUCUCUAUGUUGCCACAAACAAUGGAUAUCUGCAUCAUGCUGACCUCUCUAAUACAAAAGAUGUAAGAUGGACUGAGGUUAUUCAGGUCACAGAGAAAGCACCGAUCAUAUGUAUGGAUGUAAUGAUAGUGUCCUCAGACUUUUCUCUGGAUAAGGAGGAUAUAAUUGCCCUUGGAGACGGCCGUGGGAAUGUUACUAUUGUCCGGUUAAGCAGUCCCAGUCUUGAACCUAAAAUAGAUUUAUCUUUUACCUGGCCAGCUGAAAAGGAUAGGCAACUACUAGGAUUAUACUGGUGCAAGUCACUUCAAUGUAGGUAUGUUGAUUAUUACCUAUUUACUUUCUGGUUAGCAGGUAAUAUUGUUCUCAACAGUUUUAUUUUCCUCGCAGCCACAUUUUCACAGCUGAUCCUAGAGGCACUCUUAAGUUAUGGAAUGUAAGGAAUGCCCUUUUGUCAAAUGGCCAUGCGAUUAGUACAGCUCAGGAGGUUUCACUUGUUGCAAUGUUUGAAUCUCCCUUUGGGACUCGUAUCAUGUGUUUAGAUGUAUCACUUCAGGAUGAGGUAAUUCUUAUAAACUUGCUCUGUUUCUCAUUGAAUGCAAAACCUUAACAGUGGCCUAUAUAAUAUUUCACGCGAAUAUCAGACGUUUUAUAAUUAUGACUACGGGAACACUAAUUGUUUAUAGAAUACUAGUGCCUGAUGUUCUAACUAUCAGAUGAAGAGAAAUGUUACAGGUUGCUGCAAAGAAUAUAUUUUGUUCUCUGAUGUAAAAAUAAAUUACAUGUUAAUUUCUGUGCAGAUCCUUAUAACAGGUGAUAAGAAGGGUAACAUCGCUGCCUUUCCUUUUCAUAACACAUUGGCAGCACAUGACAGCAGUGAGGCACAGCAGAAGAUACCUUUACGUGACCGUUUUAAAGGAGCUCAUGGCAUUUCUAGUGUCACAAGUGUUCAGAUAAUCACCUCAGCUUCGGAUCAUAUUGAAAUCCACACUGUAUGUACAGAGUUUUGUUGUUGUUCCUUUUAUUGAAGUCAUGAGCUUGGCCUGACAUAAACUCCUCUCCUCUGAACAUUUUACAGACUGGGGGAGACGGCUGUAUUUGCUUCUUCAAGUAUGGGAGAAAUGUCAAAAACGUUGAAUUUGUUGGAAUGAGACAAUUGAAAGAAUUAGGCACCAUUCAAUCCAUCCACGCAAAUCAUGCCUCUGGUAACCAAUUGGUUGGUACCUAUGCAAUAGGUUUCACCUCUGCGGAUUUUAUCAUUUGGGACCUUGAAAAUGAUACAAAGGUAAGACAUACUGGAUAAACUGGACAGUUUGAAGUUUGAAUUUGGCAAUGGUUGUCCUAAUCUGUUAAUUCUGGAUUGUUUUCCCUUCUAUAGCUGGUUCAAAUAUCAUGCGGAGGAUGGCGGCGCCCUUACUCUUAUUAUCUUGGGACAGUCCCUGAGUAUCAAAACUGUUUCGCCUUCGUGAAGGUUUGCUGCCCUUGCUUAACGAUGUCUGUGAAAUUGUUUUCUUAACUGUUCUUCUAUGCAAAUUUACACACCUCAUGAGAAUUGACUUGCUAGCAGGACCACAGUAUUCAUGUCCACAGACACUGGGCACCAGCUCAAGAUAGGAAGCUGCUUCCUCAAGUUUUUCAUACCCAGUUCCAUGGAAGAGAAGUGCAUUCUCUUUGCUUCAUAGAUCCCGCAAGCUAUUCACAUCCUGAGAAGAGUACAGAUUUGUGGAUUGCAACCGGGUGCGAAGAUGGAACCGUCCGGCUUACAGGGUAAAUAAGUUACCAUUGCUGCAUAAUAACAAACGUGGUUUACUCAAAUAUACCUGUCCAUUUCAGGUGCUGUUAUGAAUCAUAUUAUAUAUUUUGUUGUUGAUCUUUGUUACAGGUACUCCGCUAGUAGUGAUGGAAGAUGGUGUUCAUCCAAGCUGCUGGGGGAGCAUGUUGGUGGGUCAGCUGUGAGAGAUACGUGCUUCGUCCCAAAGACUUACACAUUAGCAGAUAAAUCAUGCAACUCUAGUGUCAGUUCUGCCGACAUUUUGGCCGAAGACAAGGACACCACUUACAUAUUGAUAUCUGUUGGAUCAAAGCAAGUUCUGACGGCUUGGGUUCUAGAACCUAGGACCGCAGAGAACAAACAAGCGUGUUCGAGUGAUCUAGAUUUAGACACCAAGCAAAGCUCGUUAUGCUCAGAUAUUAGUGAUUCAGCGGUUACAUUUCAGUGGCUUUCUACCCACAUGCCACCAAAGCUUGGCACCAACAGAUUGAAAGCUGAUCAUGUAAAGCGGAACAUCGAGGAAGGCGGGAAAGGAAAUUGCUCUGCUCAACCUAAUCUGGCUAUUAUGGAACAGAUGGAAAAUGACUGGCGUUACCUUUCUGUUACAGCUUUUCUUUUGAAACAUCCGGCUACUGAGUAAGAUUUGACACCGCUCUCAUCAAUCGCUCACAAAUAUAGGGUGUAGGGUACUUUCUGUUCCAGCUCUUGCAAGAAAUGACUGUCAUGAAUGGCCCACAAAUAUAGGGUCUAGGGUACUUUCUGUUGCAGCUCUUGCAGAAAUGACACUCAUGGAUUGCUCACAAAUAUAGGGUCUAGGGUUCUUUCUGGUUAGCUCUUGCGAGAAUGACUGUCAUGAAUUGGUUACAAAUAUACGGUCUAUGCUACUUUCUGUUUCAGCUCUUGCAAGAAAUGGUUCAUGAAUUUCUCAGAAAUAUAGGGUCUAGGAUUUUAUUUUUGAUUUGCUCUUGCAAGAAAUGAGGGUAGUCUGAGCUCUUUGUUUUAUGUCAGGUUGACAGUAUGUUUUGUUGUUGUUGCUUGCUCGGAUGCAACAGUGGUUCUCCGUGCUCUUCUUUUGCCUUCUCGAUUAUGGUACGUAACAUGAAAUUUCCGAGGCAGAGUUCCUAUUUAUCUGUACUAGUCUUGGUGGUUUCAGUUAGCUGUUCCUUUUCUCUGUGUACAGGUUUGAUGUUGCCUUGUUGGUCCCACAGGCAUCACCAGUUCUUGUCCUACGGCAUAUCGUUGUCGUCUCUAGUGCCCACUGUGAAGGUCAGUUCUACCCUUUCUUUUUUGUUCUGAAAAUGUUGUUAAGCAUAAUGGAAUUCACACAUUUGCUUUCAGGUGUUGUUUAUAAUGGCGAUAGAUACAUUAUCGUGAGUGGGUCUACAGAUGGUAGCAUUACAUUGUGGGACCUAACAGACACCAUUCAUGGCUUUAUGCAACUAGUAUCAGAGACGAAACCGCACAUGGUCAUCGACUGCCAAAAGCGGCCCAAGACAGGAAGAGGGAGUCAGGGUGGUCGUCGUCGGUGGCGAUCACUGGCAAACAGUUCCGUGAAGAAGGGUAACGGACAGGCAUUGCUCCGUAGUGAGAACAAUCUGAGCGCCUCGUGCGCUGCUGCGGAGAGUCCACAUGAAACUUCAGGAGCGGGAGAAAACGAGGCCAUAAAAAACACCGAGAACACAGUUUCAAGUACCCAGUCGUGUGAUAUACCUGAACUGCAGCCAUUGCAGAUAUUGGCCGGUGUUCACCAGUCAGGCGUGAACUGCCUCCAUGUUUCGGAGAUGGAGCAGCGGUCAUGCUCUAUUGCUGGCACGUCUUACUGCAUCAUAAGUGGCGGUGAUGAUCAGGCGGUUCAGUGUUUUGUGUUCACAUUAGCACCCCCGCAGGGCUGCUCAACUAACAUGUCAAACAUAGUCUCGCCUCCUGACAAAGGUGGACUUCAAAUACUUGGCCAGCACACGGUUCCCUCCGCUCACGGAUCAGCAGUGAAAGGUAUGUCUGUCACUAUUAAGAAUACCACGGCUUGGUUCAGUAUUUCAGUUUCGCAACUGUUCAUGUAAGCUGAUGAUACAAGCAUUUGCACUUUUACGGUCAGGUAUCUGGACGGACGGUGCCUGGGCUUUCUCCACUGGGCUUGACCAGAGAAUCAGAUGUUGGAAAAUGGGUCCAUCCGGCAAAUUCACGGAGCAUUCCCAUGUCAUCAUCAGCGUGCCCGAGCCGGAAACUAUGGACGUUUUCCAUGACUUGUGAGGAGGCUUCGCAGCAGCAUCUGUAUUCUUUUUUUUUUUUUUUUNNNNNNNNNNNNNNNNNNNNNNNNNNNNNNNNNNNNNNNNNNNNNNNNNNNNNNNNNNNNNNNNNNNNNNNNNNNNNNNNNNNNNNNNNNNNNNNNNNNNNNNNNNNNNNNNNNNNNNNNNNNNNNNNNNNNNNNNNNNNNNNNNNNNNNNNNNNNNNNNNNNNNNNNNNNNNNNNNNNNNNNNNNNNNNNNNNNNNNNNNNNNNNNNNNNNNNNNNNNNNNNNNNNNNNNNNNNNNNNNNNNNNNNNNNNNNNNNNNNNNNNNNNNNNNNNNNNNNNNNNNNNUUUUUUUUUUUUUUUUGGCCAAGGAAAAUGUCUACAUGAUGUUCUCUGUCGUAGUUCAAUCUUUACGAUAUUCUCACGGUGAUUGUUGUUAUCUUGUCAGUGGGUGUAGGAAAUACCACAUCGCCGUCGCAGGAAGAGGGAUGCAGAUGGUUGAGUUCUUGCCGCCUAAAGACGACUCGAUGAAGAUAGCGUGAGAACAGCCUGGUGGCGCGUCGUGGAAUUAGUUCCUGCAAGCGGGAGGGUGCGCAGUCAGUUUUUUGGGGAUGAUUUGUAACUCCAUUUGAUGUGUAGCUCUUUCCGAGAGAGGGGAUGAAUUACGGAAUAGUCAUGAUCUGGAAAUCUGGUGCCAUGCAUGGAAGGCUGGCUUGAUUUGCUUGAAUGGAACAGAGGAAUCAUCUGGAUGGAAUGUUCUGUGGCAAAGCCAUCUGAUCCCUUUCAAUGCCAACAGGAAAUAUUCACCGAUAACACUGAAAAACCAUAUUCUAAUGCUAGCAGUAAGUUGGAUUGAACCUCUCGUUUCUUUUCAUUUUGCUCGAUCGUUCCCCAAGUGAUCCCUUGCGUGGAUUCAUAACCAACUUCAUGUUUUGAAUCAAGAAUUUUUUGUAAGUAUCUAGAAGCAUUUGAGCAUUGCAUUGAGCUAACGCUCUCUAUAUGGGACGCCAAUGUUCUCCCACGGCAGCGUUUGUUAGAUUACAUAGCUAGGUGAUUAUUUUAGUUGCUCUUAUGAAACCCCUAAACCCUCCAAAACCUUAAAUCCCUCAUUUAAAAAAAAACACAUGACAGGUGUUGACGCGUGGCUACCUUUUAGUCCCGGUCGGUGUUAUGAACCGGGAUUAAGGAGGUGUUCGGAGUCUCACCAGCUCCGUGAAAUUUUGGGAGUUGCAGAGCCGUGCAACAGUCGCUCCGUCACUUUGAACCAGAACUCCACCUGCUCCGGGAGUAGAGUUGUGGGGUGGAGGUUCUCCGAACAGGGCCUAAAGGUCCUCCUGCCCGGGUGCCCCACAGUGGCCACGUGAAACUCCUUUAGUCUCGGUUCAUAAUGCAACUGAAACCAAAAGUUGGGGCCUUUUAUCCCGAUUGCUUAGUCCCGGUUGCAGAACCGGGACUAAAGACCCUUAUAAACCGGGACUGAUGCACUUUUUUUACUAGUGGUUUAAUGUGAGGGUUGUCAGGACAGUUGCAUGUCCAUCAAUGAACAUGAAACUAUAAGCAUUGAAACCCGACUACAACUACACGGAGUAUAAAGCGACUGCAAUUGAAUGGGGAGGGAGUUGUCAGGACCGUAACCCGACUAUAAUGUAUGGGCACAAAGCGACUUUAACUAGGGUCACGAGGGGUCUGUCGGACGAGUUGCAUGUCCACCACUAGACAUGCAAUCACAAGCAUUAUAAUCCGGCUUCAACUAUAUGUGCACAAAAGCGACUGGAAAUGGGGGUUGGAAGAGGAGUUAGUGCAUAUCUUUUUUACUUACUAACAUAAAACUCAGUGAGCUCCAAACGCUCACAAUUUUUAUCUAUUCUUUUUUAUUUUUUACUAAGUCACAUGUAUGCGAGUUGCACAAAUUGCAACCAUUGCAACUACAUGUAACAGGUGCCACUCCUUUUUUUUUCUUAUUUAGUCGUACCAACUAUCACACCACACAUGUAAUUAGCUCAGUGUCGCGACUACAUACGUCUCAACAUGCAUGCAAUUGCAUGCCAUACAGAGCAUUUGCAACUAUGUUUUCUUAGCAUUUUCAAUAUAAUUUUCAAAAUAGGAAAUGACAACAAGAAGGAACAAAAAAAGCAAAAGAAUAUUAAAAAGAAUUCUAGUCGCAUGCAAAAUUUACAACACUAUACUUAUCCAUGGAGAAAAAACGAAGGACCUAUACGAGCCCAAUCGAGCUACGUGUGUACACUAAUUAAUCAAUAAAUUAAAACUUUUUAAACUGGAAACGAGCUGAAGUUUGGAUAAAAGGAAAAAAAAUGAAAUGAUUCAACAACAGUCUUGAAAAUUCUAAGGAAAAACGUUCAACUGGCCCAACAACCACUCAAGUGGCCCAAGACCAGAAACGUACCCAAAAAAAUACCGUACACACUCAGCUGCCCAAGCCCAUAAGAAAACUAAAAAAAAACUAACAACCAGCCCAUUAGCAUGCCAAUGAAAACGGGCUACCACAACAAAAGGUGAUGUCAGCUGAUGUCAUGUGAAUGAAACCAAAUCUCUCCCUAACAAUAAAGCAAAAACGGUUUCUGGUCGUCCGUCUUGAAAAUUAUCCCUAAAGUUUGCAUAAAUUAUCCACUAUGCCACCGGUAAGUAAUAAAAAACGUUUCAUAAAGCAAAAAAUCUUGGACUGGGCCAGCCCAUGUAAAAACGUCCUAUAUUACGCUCUGCAUGCUGGGAGAAUAUCCAACACACCGUAUGGGCCAGCCCAUGCACAGGCGCCUGCUUUUAGUUCCAUUUAUUUAUUUAUUUUCAGUUCCGUUUUAUUUUUUUAUUUUAAAUAAUUUAGAACUUCAAAUAAUCUUUAAAAUUUUAAUAAACUGAAAAUUAUAAAUCAACACAUUUCAAAAAUUAAAAUGUUUGUGACUUCAAAAACUGCUCGGAGUUUUGUAAAAAAUGCUCCCAUAUACAAUAAAAUGUUUGCAAUUUUAGAAAAAUAUUUGUACAAUAAGAAAAGUCCAUGAUCUCAAAUACAAUUCCAUAUAUUAAAAAUUAUUAAAGGCAUUUAACAAAAUGCUUUCUAAUUCAAAAUAUGUUAAUGAAUUUAAAAAAUGUCCUAAUAUUUUAAAAAUAGCUAAUGUCUGUUUUGAUAGUUUCUUUUUUUUAUUUAAAAUUUUCCUUUCCAUUUUUGUUUAUUUAUAAUUUAAAUAAUUUAGAAUUACAAAAACUUUUAAAAUUGUUCCCAUAUUUGUAAAAUUGUUCAAAGAUCUAAUGUAUGUAGUUAAAUAUUAAUGCUUCUAAGUCUAUGUGACAAUAUACCUGUAUGAAUUUUGAAGAAUUAACUGUUGGAUGCAUCGGAUUAUUAUUGUAUGUUUUCUAAAAAAAUCUUGAAAUUCAUAAUAAAUCUUUGAGUUACCAAAUUUUUUGAAAAUGUAAAGAUUGCUUCAACUUGUGAAUAAAUUUAAAAGAAGAAACAUUUUCUUGCAUUUGUGUACAAAAUUUCUAAAUCAAGCGAUGAUAUGUGAACAUAAUGUGUUCAUCAUCAUUGAAGAUUAUGUUUUUUUUUCUUCCGUGGCAACGCACUCAUCUAGAUGAGUUCUAGACACACCCUUAAAAAAGGCGAGGUGAGACCAUUUAGUAGGAGAACAAAUCCAGCCUUGUACACUCAUCCAUGAGUAGCUCGAUGGAUGAUCUCAACCUAUGGUAUUGGAUGGAGAUUGCGAGGUCCAUAGCGGUGUCAGCCUUUUUUUAUAUCCCAUUGGUUGGGCCGGACAGUAGCAAGGCUCAGGCGGGUUGGUGGGGUGCGCCAUUGAAAAGAAGCCUUGGUCAAUACAUGACGGUGAACUGACAAAAACAAUCUGUGCUUUUUUUAUUAUAGUUAAAGAUACAAAAUGUUUUUCCUUCCAUUUCAUGCCUUUUGGGUUUUGGCAGAAAAUUCUUUAUUCUCAAGAAAUAACCGUAAAAUUGUAAAAAUAAAAAAAUAGUGCAAGUGAGAAACAAAUAUAUUUUCCGAAAAUGAACAGGGAAGAAGAUACUGCAGUGGUGCACAAAUACAAAGUCAAAAAUCGUUGGAACUAAAAAGAAUAUUGAACCACAAAGAAAAUAAAUUCAACACAUUCAAUUGCUAAGAUGAUUGUAAAUAUUAUUACUCCCUCCGUCCCAAAAUAAGUGUCUCAACUUUAUACUAGCUCUAGUAUAAAAUUGUACUAAGCUUGAGACAGUUAUUUUGGGACGAACGGAGUAUGAUACAUCAAAGAUAUACAAUGAUGCGUACUAUUAUCCAUGAGUUUUCUAUUUUGGCAGCAUAUAAAAGUAUGAGUUUAUGGAGAAUUGAGUUAGCCCAAGUAUCUAGGCUGGUCUAGAGUUGGCCAUCUGUACUGAAAAAAAGCAUUGUUCCCUUUCCUGCCAAUAGAAUGUCAAUCGACUCUUGCCCUGCCACCACGCACUUUAAACAAAAAGAUAUUUCCGAUCGACUUUUUAGUACCAAGACAUCCUUUUUUUCGCACAUUUCCCGUACGCUAAUCAAUCAACUUAAUCUACUUACGGUCUGCAUCAUUUUAAUUUAAUUUGAGUGUGAUUUCAACAUUUGGAAAUGGAACAUGUGGAUUAGGCUAUAAUGUAGACUGAAAAACUGUGAGGGGGAAAAAUUACAAAAUCAUGAUGCUAUUUUGAGCAAUACUCUCACCCCCACCCCCUCACCCAAAAACCUUUAUAUAGCCACUCUUUCACCUAUGUAGCAUAUUUUUUCUCUUGCCACCUACUUUGGACAAAACCUGAGCAUAUUUUACAAAAUUAAGAGCAUCUCUAGCAGACCCCUUAAACCACGGAACUUGCGAAAAACGUGUUUUAGUUGAGCUGCCACCGAACAGAACUCUUACAGUUAAACUGUAAAUCAAAUAUCCGUUUUUUUAUUCUUUCUCAAGUCUUCUUCUUUCUCUCGCCCGUGUCCAUAGACGAUGCACGAAGCAGUCAAAUACGAAACCACCAGCGUUCAGAACAACGCACGAAGCUAGCUCGUCCGUGGCCGGAUCGAUCCAGGAGCUCCUCCUUCGUCGUCUUAGCGAGCUCCUCCGUAGUUGUUCGAGUUUCCGACAAGAAUCGAUCCAAACGGCCAAAUAAGGAGCCGCAGUCGCCGUAGCUAGUUGAAUCAAUCCACGAGCUAGCUAGCUAGCUAGCNNNNNNNNNNNNNNNNNNNNNNNNNNNNNNNNNNNNNNNNNNNNNNNNNNNNNNNNNNNNNNNNNNNNNNNNNNNNNNNNNNNNNNNNNNNNNNNNNNNNNNNNNNNNNNNNNNNNNNNNNNNNNNNNNNNNNNNNNNNNNNNNNNNNNNNNNNNNNNNNNNNNNNNNNNNNNNNNNNNNNNNNNNNNNNNNNNNNNNNNNNNNNNNNNNNNNNNNNNNNNNNNNNNNNNNNNNNNNNNNNNNNNNNNNNNNNCUAGCUAGCUAGCUAGCUUGCUCGCUCAAUCGAUUCAAGCGGGCAGAGGAAGUAGCUGGCUACCUAGCUGAAUGGACUCGAGCGGCCGCGGGCAGGCGCAACGGCCGGCGUCCGUGGACGGGCGGGGCGACUUCCGGGGUGGCGAACGGCGUAGACGGCGGAUGCAGAAGUUUCCAUGGUAGUUGGCCCCCCGUCAAAUGCUUUCUCUCGAUACAGGUCACCGUAUAAGCGGACGCGAAAACUGUGUUUUGCAGAUCAGGAGGAGUUUUUUGCCGUGCCCCUUAAAUUUUUUUAUAGAUCAGAGUCGUUUACGGGUUCUAUUGGGACCUUUUUUCCACCUAAAAUAAACCGAUGAUUAUUUUACAGUUUCGCGAGUUAUAUGGGGUCUGCUAGAGAUGUUCUUAAAGGGUAUAAUGCAACGUUUUCUAGUUAUCAAUUUAAGUGCAUGACAAUGUCAUUGCCGUGCCACAAGUGUGUUUUAUUGUCUACUAUUAAGGAGAAGGGGGGGGGGNNNNNNNNNNNNNNNNNNNNNNNNNNNNNNNNNNNNNNNNNNNNNNNNNNNNNNNNNNNNNNNNNNNNNNNNNNNNNNNNNNNNNNNNNNNNNNNNNNNNNNNNNNNNNNNNNNNNNNNNNNNNNNNNNNNNNNNNNNNNNNNNNNNNNNNNNNNNNNNNNNNNNNNNNNNNNNNNNNNNNNNNNNNNNNNNNNNNNNNNNNNNNNNNNNNNNNNNNNNNNNNNNNNNNNNNNNNNNNNNNNNNNNNNNNGGGGGGGGGGGGGGGGGGUUAGUACGUCGUUCCAUACCCCUCCUCGACUAACUUCGAUUCCUCGUCCCACCUCCUCCCAUCACUGAUUUUAGAUGUAUACCAUUACACUGAACGAAUAUUGUAAAUGUAAUAUUACAUUGCUGACGAGGCUGAAGAAAAUAUAUGUUCAGAUUAUGUUCUUUGUUUUAAAUUCCCGAUAAGAUAUUUAGGAAGUAUUGUAAUAAUGUGUCUUUAGUGUCCAAUUAGAUAUUAAUAUUGAAUCAUAGACGUGUCGAUUGAGAAGAAUGAGUGCACUCAAACUUCGCUAACAUUGGCAUUUCGCAAUUAGUGCAUGAAAGUAGAUUAGUCAACUACAAAUGGUAUAAUUUUACUAGUCAUGGAUUAUUUAUUUAGUCUUAUCAUGAUAUAUAACUUUGUACAAACAUUCAUAUAGAAAAUGAAGGACGGAGUUAUGUUCCAAAAAUUCUCAACAUCUAAGGCGACUUGUAUAACAUGAUGUAAGCGGAGCAAAAACGCAUGUCACUAACAGUAGAAAAGAAAAUGCCUAGAACUAUCUCCAUCCGUAGGUAUAUGAAUUUAUCCAAUAAUGCAUGUAACCAAAGUGCGUACAUUUAUAUAUUUAUAUAGAUAAUAUAAUUAUUUGCACCACAAAUCUCUUGGUAAUACAAUUAUUAUUUGGUAAUGUAUUAAUUUAGAGACAUGAGGUUUAUUACGCAUGGGGCAUGGCCCGCGCAUCAGCUUCAACGUCAUCGGCAACAGUCGACAUGGAUUUUGCUCGAGGUUGAGCAGCCAGCUUCAAGUCGAGCCAUGCCUGCACGCCCUUCCGCACGUUCUCGCUGUCGUCGGCGCGGUCGCGGAAGGUCUCCACGUCGGCCAUCUUGCUGGCGAUGCUGGACAUGACCAGCUCCUUCUUCCACUCCUCCACCGGCGCCAAGUCGGAGUACUUCUCCCCGAGCUCGUACAUCUUCUGAGGGUCGAUGCCGCCGAUGUUGUGGGUGUGCUUCCACGGCACGCCGGCGGCCUCCCUCGCGCGGAGGUGCUCCUCCACGGACCGCACCAUCUCCUCCUCCGCCGGCAGCGUUUUACGGCCGGACAGCACCUGCGCCACCCACCGCGCCUGCACCUCGAAGAACCACGGGAUGAGGACCUUCCUCACCACCCCCACGAAGGAGAGCGACGGCGGGAACACGUGCUCGAACAGCGGGCCGACGACGUAGCCGUCGCUGUCGACGGUCACCGCGCCGCCCGUGUCCAGGAACGGGAACGAGUAGGUGUACCCCGUGCAGUAGAUGACCGUGUCGGCCACGACGGAGGAGCCGUCCGCGAACUCCACGCGCCCGUCGGCGUGCAGCCGGCGGAUCCGCGUGUGCAGGCGCAGCACGUCGCCGUGGUUGGCCAGCAUCCUCGACACGUCCGGCGUGGCGGCCGUGGCCUCGGAGCUCGCGGCGAGGUGCACCUCCCUGGCCACGCGGCAGAGGUCCAGCGCGAUGUCCUUGCCGCUGUCCCCGCACCCGGCCACCACCACCGCCUCGCCGCGGAACGGCUCCGGCGUCCUGUACGAGUGGCUGUGCAGCUGCCGGCGCGUCCACUCACCCAUGCCCUGGAUGUCGGUCGGGAGCAUCGGCUGCGAGUGGUGGCCGUUGGCCACCACGACCGCGUCGAACACCUCCUCCUUCUCCCGCGACUCAUCGUCCUCGGUGCUGCCGAGGAGCCGCACGGACCUGACCGUCCACUGACGCGUCGCCGUCGUCGCCGGGGCGACGUGCAGGACCCGGGUGUUGAGCCUGACGACGUCCAUGAGGCCGAAGGCGUCGCAGAAGUCCCGGAGGUAGCAGUGCAGCUCGCGGUGGGCGGGGAAGCGGCGUGGGUCGCGGCCGGCGCCUUCCCUGGGCAGGAACUGGAAGUCGGAGAAGCCCAUUGCCUCCCGCGGGCUGAUGAGGCGGAGGCACGCGUAGAUGCUGCUGGGCACGCGCACCGGCGCUGCGGCGCCGAGCGGGUCCUCGCCGUCGGUCAGCGGGUCGUACAGCCACUGCCCGCCGACGUCGCCGCUCUGCUCCAUGACGGUGACGGCGUGGCCCUCCCGCCGCAGCUCGCGCGCCGCUGCCAGGCCGGCCACGCCGCCUCCAACCACGCACACGCUCUUGGACUGCAGCGCCGGCUCGCCGUCUCCAGCAGCCAUGCCGACGCCGAUCGGUUGGUCGACGGUUGACGCUCUGCUUUCCUCUGUCACCUUGGUGGGUCGAUAAUAUGAUUGCUAACACACCACGAUGACUGUCAUCCAUGUAUAUUUUUAUUUUAUUAUUGGACACCACUGUCACCCAUGUGUUAGUUAGCCAGAGGAGAAAAACAAAUAAAAUUGAGUCGUUCGUCGCACAAACAAAAGGAUAAAAUUGCAAGAUUUAUUUGUAUGGAUGGAAAACAAGUUGGUCCUGCAGCGUUUCGUUAAAAAAAUAACCUGGUCGAUCAUGUCCUUGGCCGUGGCUCUUGUUUGCACGCCGACGUCAGCGUGAUCAGAGCAUCUAGAACAGCCGGACAGACGCCCCUAAAAUAUGUGGUAUUUGAAUGGGUAACAUCAAAUGUGCGUACUUACCCCUCCGUGCCCAAAUAUAAGUCUUUUAAGAUAUUUUAUUAGGUGUCUACAUACAAAGCAAAAUGAAUGAAUCUAUACUCUAAAAUAUGUCUAUAUACAUCCUAUGUAGUCCAUUAGUUGAACCUGUAGAAAGACUUAUAUUUAGGAACGAAGGGAGUAGGAAACAAUUUAGGUGCUUUGCAUGAAUUUAAAGGAUAAAAUAUGUGGUAUUUGAAUGGGUAACAUCAAAUGUGAGGUUUGAUCAGUCAUUACGCGCGGACACAUUUACGAGUGUUUAAUGAACAGGAUUUGCAAGUCUUUACGUAAUAACAAUAGAAUUUGCCCCUAAAAUUCGCAUGAACUACCGCAAUGCCACCGGUAAAUAGAAAAAUGAUUCUUUUUUUUUUCCAGAAGUUUCUUGUAAUUCAACAGGUAACGAUCCCUCAAUAUCUACCUCUUUAUUUUUACUAUUAAUAAAGCACAUAUUGCUUCUGUGGUACGUCAUGAAAAUUGCCUCUGAAGUUUGCAUAAAUUACCCACCAUGCCACCGCUAUGUAAUAGAAAACGUUUCACAAAGCGAAAAAUCUCGGACUGGCCCGGCCCAUGUAAAAGCCUCCUAUAUUACGCUCUGCACCCUGCAAGAAUAUCCAGCACACCGUAUGGGCCGGCCCAUGCACAUGCGCCAGUUUUUUUAGUUCCGUUUAUUUAUUUAUCUUCAGUUUCAUUUUAUUUUUCUAUUUUAAGUAAUUUAGACCUUCAAAUAACCUUUAAACUUUUAAUAAACUGAAAAUUCUAAAUCAACAAAUUUUAAUAAAUCAAAUGUUUGUGACUUCAAAAACUGCUCGGAGUUUUUGUAAAAAAUGCUCGCAUAUGCAAUAAAAUGUUUGCAAGUUUGAAAAAAUGUUUGUAAGAUAAGAAAAGUCCAUGAUUUCAAAUCAAACUCCAUGUAUUAAAAAUUAUUAAUGCAUUUGUUAAUGUCAAUUCAAAAUAUGUUAAUGCAUUUCAAAAAUGUCCUAAAAUUUUAAAAAUAGAUAAUGCCUGUUUUGAUAGUUUCUUUUUUUAUUUAAAUUUUUCCGUUCCAUUUUUGUUUACUUCUAAUUUAAAUAAUUUAGAAUUACAAAAGCAUUUGCAUAUUGAAAAUAGGAAUUUUGAAUUAAAAUGUUGACGAAAACAUAAAAUGUUUGUGGAUUCGAAAAAGGCACCGGAUUUUUAUAUUACAUUUUUGCAAAUUUCAAAACAAUGUCCGUGAAUUUAAUAAAUACAUUACUGACUUAUAAAAAUGUUUGUUUAUUCAAAAAAACUUCAUGCGUUUCAAAAAUGUUUGUGAAUUUAAAGUAAAUACUCCAACAUCUAAAAUUAUGUUCGCCUUUUCUAGAAUUGGUCGCCAAUUUAAAAGAAAAUAUUUAAACCCGUUCGAAAUAUAAAAAUAUUCAUGAUUUUUAGUAAAUGUUUGUAAAUUGUAAAAAAUGUUCUCGAUUUGAAAAUUGUUCUCAUAUUUGUAAAAUCGUCCAUGAAAGAUCUAAUGUGUGUAGUUAAACAUUAAUGUUUCUAAGUCUCUGUGAAAAUAUACCCGUGUGAUUUUUGAAGAAUUAACUGUUGGAUGGAUCGGAUAAUUAUUGUAUGUUUUCAAAAAAAAAUCUUGAAAUUAAGAAUAAUUCUUUGAGUUACCAAGAUUUUUGACAACCAUGAUUUUUUUUGAAAAUGUAAAGAUUGCUUUAACUUGUGAAUAAAUUUUAAAAAAGAAAUAUUUUCUUGCAUUUGUGCACAAAAUUUCAAAAUCAAGUGAUGAUGUGUGAAUAUAAUGUGGUCAUCAUCAUUGAAGAUUAUUUUUUUUUUCUUCCGUUGCAACGCACGGGCCAUUUUCCUAUACUAAUAAAGCAAACAAUGCUUCUGUCGUACGUCAUAAACAUUACCUCUAAAGUUGCUCAAAAUUACCCACUAUGCCAUCCAUAAUCAAAAGAAAACGGUUUUUUUUUUAUUACAAAUCGCUCCGUCCUGUACUGGUUUAUAAGAGGUUGAAGCGCUGUUUUGGCAACAAAGCUAAGCUAGCAUACUGGCGAGAGCGCGUCCCUUGUCCUGGCAUACUGGCGAGAGCGUGUCCCUUGUUCCCAGGACACCUGGGUUCGAAUGCAGGUUGAUGCAAUCAGGCAAUUUUUUUCCUUUUUUGUUUACCUUUUCUUCUUUUCUCCUAUCAGGCUGAUUCAAAUCAAAGCGAUUUUUGUUUAAUUAUUUUUAUUCUUCUAUCAAGCUGAUUCAAGUCAAGCGAUAUGAAUUAGGAGGAGAAGAUGAAAUGGACUAUUUGUCAAAGAGGCCAACUAUCUAUGAUAGGUUGUCAGAUUGUUUAUUUUUUUCCCUUUUUUGUUUACCUUUUCUUUUUUUCUCCUAUCAGGCGAUCCAAAUCAAAGCGAUUUUGUUUAAUUGUUUUUCUUCUUCUAUCAGGCUGAUUCAAGUCAAGCGAUAUGAAUUAGGAGGAGAAGAUGAAAUGGACUAUUUGUGGAAGAGGCCAACUAUCUAUGAUAGGUUGCCAGAUUGUAUACCACUAACUAGACCGCGAACAAUUUUUUUUUGCCCCAAUGGCCUCUGGAUUAGUUUAUCUUGAUUACUUUCACUCAUGUACGACAGUAUGCAUGCGAGCACAACGGCGCCCGACGUACACAACAUCGACCAGAUAUGCAUACAGAGUGGUUGCUGGAUGUUAAAUCUAUUUUCUGCUCCCAUGCGACACAUGGACAAUGGAAAUUUGAAUUGCAUUUUUAGGGUAAGUUCAUCUUUGUUUGUGUUGUAACUAAAUUUUUUUAGAUUAUAGAUCAAUUUUUAUAAAUUAAGAGUAUGUGGUAUUUUUUUCUUCCGUUGCAACGCACGGGCCCUUUUGCUAGUAAAUCAUACGUUUGUAACCAUCCCAACUGGUUGGUUUUUUUGCUUCCACCUUGAAGACCCAGGGUUCGAUCACCCACUCCCAGUCCUUCCUUUCGAAAUCUGUAAUUGAGUAGUACUCCUUCCAAAUUUCAUUUUCACCUUUUUAGGUGAAACAUGUGGCACAUUGCAUGUGUGCCAUUUGUUGCAAUCUAGAAGUUUUCUUUUUUCAUUGAUCUGAAUUUUUAAAAUAUUUUAUCUUCUAAACCGUGCGUUCAAAUCUCGAACCAUUUUCACUGUUGGGUUCAUCACGUCGUGAUCUUUAAAACUAGAUCCCAUAUAUUAUAGGUUUUGAUAAAAAAAAUUCACGAAAAAACCUGAACGGAAAAACCGUGCCUCUCCUGAUGGAAAAAACCAGAAAACGCGUUUUUUCUGUUUCUCACGUAAAAAAAAUACCGCGGUUUUUUCUGUUUUCGAGAGGCACAACCUUGCCUCUCACGAAAAAAAAACGGUCCGAGAGGCAUGUCCGUCCCUCCCACGAAUGCAAAAUCGUACCUCUUAGACAAGCAAAAUCGUGCCUCUCGUAAAAAAACACUUUAUUUUUUGUUUUCAAACCAUGCCUUUUUGGAAAGCGAAAUUGUGCCUCUUGCAAAAAAACACUUUGUUUCUUGUUUUCGCUCGCGAACGUAAAACCGUGCCUCUCGAGGAAGCAAAGUCGUGGCUCUCGCGAAAAAAACACUUUGUUUUUGUUUUUUCUCGCAAACGCAAGACCAUGCCUCUCGGAAAGCAAAAUCGUGCCUCUUGUAAAAAACACUUUGUUUUUUGUUUUCGCUCGCGAACGAAAAACCGUGUCUCUCGGGGAAGCAAAAUUGUGCCUCUUGCAAAAAAAAAUUUGCUUUUUUUUCGCUCACGAACGCAAAACUGUGUCUCUUGGGGAAGGAAAACCGUGCCUCUCCCAAAAAAUUCAGAAACUUUUUUUUUCAUUUGCCUUUUGCAAACGCAAAACUGUGCCUCUCAGGGAAGCAAAACCAUAUCUCUCGCAAAAAAAAACAGAAAUGAGUUUUUUCAUGCAAAAAAUAAUUUUUUGAAAAUAUUUUUCAUCGAAAAGCUAAGAAAGACCAGUGAAAAACGAAACCCAAAAAUAACUGAGAAAAAUAAUCUAAAAAACCAAAAACGCGUGUGAAGAAAUAAUAAAUGAAAUCGGAAGUAAAUGCUCAGGGCAUGAUACAUGAUGACGACUAAGAACGCGUCAAAUGAUAACAUGUGAGUAUGAUCACAUGAAAGGCUUUUAAAAAAAAUGCUCGCUAACUAGUUGCUCUCUCUUUUUCCUCAUCCUUUUCUCUAUCAGAAUCCGCGGCUCAGUGCACUGUCUCGCCGACUGGACAGCCCAACGCAGCUUUCAGAAAUAUCUACUUUUCAAGCCUAGAGAAAUAUCUAAUUUCUUUGACGUAUAUUAUUAAGAAUGGGCACUAAAUAUGGAGCAGAGUAAUUGCCUUCCUGUAGCACCUAGCUCGAACUACAAACAACAUGUUGGUCCAGGUUCGAAUCACACAUUAUAUAUUUUUCUCAUACAUACAAAACAUUUCUUACAUAUUCAUAUUUUUUUAAUUACACACAAAAUUGCAUAAAAUCUAGAAACAUUUAAAAAUAAUAAUCUACACAUUUUUUAAAUGUGUGAUUUUUAAAUGUCACAAACAUUUGUUUUGGUAGCUAUUACCUUUUUUAAAAGUUAUGCUGACAAAGCAUUUACACUGCAUUAACAUUUUCAAUUUUUAAUUUUAAUUAUUUAGAAGUAAAUUAAGUUUUUGGGUUAUAUGUAUUGAAAAUAUAUUUAAAAGUACAAAUAAAAAGAUAAGGUAUAAUGAAGAAACAUAAAAAUGGGGACUAACCUGAAAGUUGGUCUGACGCAUUAUUUGCAGUUGGGAGGGUGCUCCUUUAGUAAGACCUUCUUCGGUCUUGCUGUGACCGAGGCCUAGGCACUCUUAUCGACUAGGAGGUCUCACCGACUUUAUUUUUAGACGAGGUCUCAUGGACCUAAACAUCACACUGGAGAUGACGGACUCACUCGUGGCUUGGGUGAAUGGAAAUCAAUUUGUAUUCGUUUAUUUUCCUCUUUAUCCUCGACUCAUCUAGACAGCUAAACAACUAUUUUGAUGGCUCAAAGUUCUGCAGAAAACUCUGAUAAAGUUCACAAGUGUGAGAUAUAUCAUUUCACACUCUAUCUAUAUUUUCAAGGGAUAUUGGACUGGCAUUUGAAUCCAAGCUCAAUUAUGCCUCAAAUUUUGUUUUCAGUUGUGAGUAGGUGAAAUAUGGAUCCAAUAUUAAUGACAUUUUUAUUCGAGUUUCUCAAUAACAUAUUAUCCCCUAGAUAUAUUUUUUAUGAAAUUUUAUUAAUGGAAUCACCACCAAAAUAUAAUGGACAACUCGGCAAAUAUUUUAGUAUGAAUAACUAGGACUUGAGUCAAAUAACAAUACUAGUCCAAAUAAAUUGAAAUUAACAUGAGUGAUUAUUUUUGACAUGAAGGACCUAGUAAAAACAUUAGGCUGAUUUUUUGCUGCCAUUUUCUUCAAAAGACCCAUUUAACUACGUAUUUGAAUAUUUUAUGAGGUAUUAAAAUCAGGGGUGUAUAUAUGCAAGGAUGCCAUGAAAUGCAAGACACAUGAUGGAAACAAUCUUCCAAACAUAAGAUUUUACAGUGUAUGUCAGUACUCGCACCUCGAAUAUGUUGUAAACUCUCCAACUUAUAGAAAAAAGAGUAUGUUGUAAAGUUGGCAUGGGAAUGCCAUGGUAACUGGUGUAGACAAGUAUUUUUUUUAAAUCAGUCACCAAAGGAAUAGGAAUCCCCACCCGUAUAUUGACCUCAAUUUAAAAAGAGGUUCAUCUGGCUUAUGUGAGAAACCGGAUCGAAAACCAUCAAUCCAGUUCAUGAUAAAAAAAACUUGACAUACAUCCUGCCGAAGCAAGAAUACAGGAAAAAAACUUAUACAUAAAUACAACAAAACACAAAGAUCAACCACCUAAACAUGAUGUACACAUAAGUCAUUUAUUGAAGGCCCACGAUUUGCAGAUGGGAUCACCGCAUACAUUGUUGCAUGAAUCACUCAUACUGUUUACAUACAGCCGGGCCAGGGCCGGGUCAAGGCUAAUCUAAUAAUGCAUUCCAGAUUGAGUUGUUCUAACUAACAAUGCAUAUGGACGUGCAACUAGUUUACAAUAAGCGAAUCAAGAAUUCAAGGGUAUAGUCAGGGGCGAAGCUACCUAUAUGGCGUGGUUUGGCCAUCGCCAUACCUAACCAGCUAUACAAAUACUCGUAUAUAUACUAUAAUAGUAAUACUGAAUCACCCUAUUGGGUUGUGGACGUGCUAAUUACAGCAGAAGCCCAUCCCUGGCUGAAUCGAUGAAGCCCAUAGCCCCACAGACGAGUACAGGACACGAUUAAUCAGAUCACACGUUCUGCUAGCUAGGGUACGCCGCACAAAAGGGACACGGCCUGCACGCUGCAUGAGCAUCUGGGCAUCCGGUAAAUCAGCCACCGAAGGCUGUGGGCGCGAAGCUGGCGACCGGCAAGGCGACAAAGGGACUCCACGAGUCUGCGAUCAGCGAGGCAGCGACCGGCGGCGACGAGCCCACGACUCGGCGAGUUCCAAGUAUGCAAAUUAACUACUUUCAAGUAGACUCGCUGAUGACGCUAGACUUAAAAUACAGUCUUCCUCCUUUUCUUGAUCGCUGAAUCUCAUUUGCUUCAGUUUCAUCAGUAGCACUAGAGAAGGUGCUAGUUGCAGUCUGCAGAUGCCGCCGCCGCCGAAUAAGAGGGUUAAAUAUGUAAUGAAAGGUAUAAUUUAGUUUACUUCUUUCACUUGAUCGCAUCACUUCAACUAUGUCAUGUACUCAUGUUACUUGCUUGAUAACAUACACAACUCUUGUGUUUUCUUACAGAUUUAAAGAUUAUUUUUGCCAAAGCCAGUGGCACUAGCACCUCGAGCUGAGCUCCAACUUUGGAAGCAGCCAUUGAACAACGAGAAGAAGAGCGUGCGCCUCAAGAGAAUGUGCGGACUGAAGUUUCAACAUAUGUUCAAGAGGAAGAGAAUGAGGGGGAAAAUUAUGUUGAGGAUGAACCAAUAGCUAGAGAAGAGGGAGAAUGCAAGUUCAUUGAAGAAUUGCAUCCUGACCACAUCGAGCCUGAUCCUGGGCUUCGAGUUCCAAUCAAUAAUUUUCAUCCCAAUAUUAGAGAUGAAAUUAGAUUGGCAUAUGUGGCAAAGGGUCCAACUCGACCGGUUGGUCAUACUUAUGAACGUGAUCAUUUUGAGAGGGCCUUUCGUGAAGCGUGGUAUGAAAAAAAAUCCUUGGUUAGAAUAUAGCGUCAAAAAUAAUGCAGCCUAUUGCUUUUACUGUUUUCUUUUUAGACAAGAUCCGGUGGAUGAAAAAUUUGGUCAUACUACCUUCACGAAAGAGGGCUACAGUACUUGGAAGAAUGCAUACAAAGCAUUUCCUCUUCAAGUUGGUGGCCCUGGGAGUGUCCACAAUCAAGCAAGGACAGCAUAUGAAGAUUUCAAAAAUCAAAGUUCAAGUCUGGAGCGUAAGGUUACCAUAUAUAACAAAGAAUCAUUAAUCAAGUAUGAGACCCGUUUGGAAACAUCUUUGGGGAUUGUAAGUUUUCUUGCAUUGCAAGGUGAACCAUUUCGUGGUCACAAUGAAUCUGCCCUUUCUUUAAAUAAGGGUAAUUUUCUAGAGAUGCUUGAUUGGUACAAAGCAAGGAAGGAGGAAGUGAGAAUUGCGUUUGAUGAGCUAUGUCCAGGAAAUGCACAAAUGACUUCUUCAACAAUUCAAAAACAACUUGCCAAAAGUUGUGGAGAUGCGGUCCGAAGAGCAAUAAAACAAGAGAUGGGGGGUAACCUUUUUUCAGUUCUUGUUGAUGAAUCUCGUGAUAUUUCAAUUAAAGAGCAGAUGGCCUUGGUUGUGAGGUAAGCCACUGGUUACUUGAUUAUGUGUUUCAUAUUUUGCCUUAUAAUCACCUUUUUCUAAUUAACUAAUUGUACUAUUUCUUCUAUGCCUUACAGGUAUAUGAACAAGUGAGAAGUUAUUGAAAGAUUUUUGGGUAUCAAGCAUGUCAAGGAGACCACAUCAGAAGCACUAAAGAAAGCACUAGUUGAGGUUCUUGGUAAGAAUGGGCUACUUAUUGCAAAUUUACGAGGGCAAGGGUAUGAUGGAGCAUUUAAUAUGAGGGGAGAAUUUAAUAGUGUUCACAAACUUGUCCGAGAUGAAAACCCAUAUGCUUUCUAUAUGCAUUGUUUUGCCCAUCGAUUGCAGCUUGUAGUUGUUGCUGUCUCGAGAUGUUGUUCUUCCAUUGAGGAUUUCUUUGGAUAUGUGACGAUGAUUGUGAACGCCGCUAGUUCGUCUUGCAAGAGGAAGGAUAUAUUGCUUGAUCAACAACGCAUAAAUUUGUUGGCUAAGUUAGAGAGUGGAGAAAUUUUCUCAGGAAGAGGAAAAAACCAAGAAACAUCAUUGGCUAGACCAGGAGAUACAAGAUGGGGCUCUCAUUAUAAAACACUAGCCCGCAUUGAAUCAAUGUGGGAUGCAGUCAUAGAAGUGCUAACUAUUGUGCAUGAGGAUGAGCGUAAUCCCUCAAGGGCGGGAGGUUUGGUGCAGAUAAUCGAGUCUUUUAGCUUUGUGUUCAUCAUGAAGUUGAUGUUGCAAAUCCUUCGCAUUACAAAUUAGUUGUCACAACUCCUCCAACGGAAGGAUCAAAAUAUUGUUCAAGCUAUGUCUUUGGUUACAGAUGUGAAGUCUUCCUUGGCCAACUUGAGGAACCAUGGUUGGGAACCACUUUUUGAAGAUGUCAAGAUCUUUUGUAAUGUUAAUGAUAUUCCAGUACCAAAUAUGGAUGAAGUUGUACCGAGAUUCGGUCGAUCAAGAAAAGGAGGAAGAAAUAAUGUUACUCAAGAACAUUUUUUUCGUGUUGAUACCUUCUUUGCAGCGAUAGAUUCUAUCACCACAGAGCUUGAUCAUCGCUUUAAUGACAUGGCUUCAGAACUGCUUUGUGGAUUUGCUUGUCUUGACCCAAGAGACUCAUUUUCCAAGUUUGACUUGGACAAAGUUGCUAAGCUAAUAGACAUCUAUGAUGCAGAUUUCUCCAAUGAUGAUCGUAAGCGUAUAAAAAUUGAACCCGAGCUGUUCAUCAACCAUAUGAGAAGACAUGAUGACUUUAGAGUUUACCAUGAUCUUGCAACCCUAGCCAAAAAAAAUGUUCGAACUUGAAAAAAAUAUUAUGUUCCCUAUGGUUUAUCGCCUUAUUGAGUUGGGGUUGCUUCUACCGGUGGCAACGGCAUCGGUUGAAAGGGCCUUCUCAGCAAUGAAGAUCAUCAAGACCGAUUUGCGCAGCAAGAUGUCCAAUGGUUGGCUUGAUGACUUAAUGGUGUGCUACAUCGAGAGAGAGAUAUUUAAAGGAAUCGAUCUUGCUGAAAUUAAGAAGGAAUUUCAACAUAAAGGUAGAAGAAUGCCAUUGCCACGUUCUAUUUAAGGAAAAUAAAUCUUCAUUAUGGGUAUGUAUUCUUUCUAACUAUGUUCACAAUAACGUGGUUUAUCUCAUUAUAUCCUACUAGUCACUAAUUUAUGAUUUAUCUAUGGUUUUUAUGUUUUUAGGUCAUAUUUAUGCCCGUCUAGGUAAUAUAGAUGAUACAUUGGCAAUCAAUCAUCCAUGUAAUCUUCAUCAAAUGAGGUAUUUAGAAAGACAAUACUUAUGUUUUGAUUUUGGUUGUAUUUAUUGAACACCAAUUAAUAUAUAUCUAGUAUUUUACUGAACACUUCCAUAGGUGAGUUGUACAUGGUUUUUUUCAUUCAUACAUUCCGCCACAUCUUAAAAUUAUUCCUGCCUUCGCCACUGGGUAUAGUCUUGUUGACGUGUAAAGGAUCGCUGGCAUCAAUCCGCCAGACGAGCAUUCACAUGCCACCAUCAUCGGUGACGCGGAUGGCUUGCAUGAAAUAACGGAAAUACUAGUGUUUAGUGAUACCACCUUUUAGGAGAUUAUUAUUUUAUUCUUUUAGAAAAGGAGGCUCAUCUCCGCCCUCUGCAUCAGAGAUGCAUACGACCCCUUUAUUAAAAGUAUAAAAUAAAAAGUCUGCAAUCCACAGUACAAGCUUACGAUAAAGCUCUAACAUAAAGUUGGAAAGAAAUUGCCACAAUUGGCAUAAAAUAGAACAAGAAGUCUAUCCACCUAUUCUACUAUUGGACCGUCAUCUAAAUCGGUUGUCAAUAUCUUGAGCUAACAUCUCCCAUGUAGAUCCAGUAACCAAAAGCCCCAUGUUCACGCAGGAGUGAGUAACGACUAUGCACGGAUCAAAGAGGGUGCCAUGUAUAAAACGUGCAAAAAAUUGGUAUGAUUUUGUAUGUUAAAGACCAUGUCAGUUCUACAAUUCCAUAUAGCUCAAAGUAACGCACAUACUUCUAUACGAAUAUGUCUCGCCGUAAAAAUGUCUACUUCAUCUAGCCACGUCCCAAAUAACAUGUGAAUGCUAUUUGGAGGUGUGAUAUUAAAGGCUAUAUGAAUGGAUCUCCAAAUAAUUUUGCUAAAGGGCAGUCGAGAAAGAGGUGUUUGACAGUCUCAAGUUGAUCACAAAAGCUACACCUUGUGUUUUCCGUCCAAUUACGCUUUGCCAAAUUAUCCUUAGUGAGAAUCACUUCCUUGUGAACAAACCACAUAAAAAUUUUGAUUCUUAAAGGAACUUUGAUCGUCCAAAUAUGAAUCAAUUUGGGAAUUGAUCCAUAGUCAAUGAGAUCCAAAUACAUCAAUUUCACCAAAAAGAUGCCAUUCUUAGAUAGUUUCCAAUGAAGUCUAUCAGACUCAUCCGAUAGAUUAACCUCCAUCAGUCUCCUGACUAAAUCAAGCCAAGGCAACCAUCGAUCUCCCAACAAUGUCCUUUGGAAAUGUAUGUUCAGAGGAACAGACUGUAAGACAGUAGCAACGCAGGCCUCCUUACGCUGCAUAAUAUUAUAUAGAGCCGGAUAUUGCGUGGCUAGCGGCGUCUCCCCCAACCACGUGCCUUCCCAAAACCUCGUAGACUCACCAUUACCAACAAUAAAUUUAGACAUAUGGAAGAAAGCCACUUUUGUUCUCAUUAGUCCGUUCCAAAAGGGUGAAUCGUUGGGUUUCAAAGUGACUUGAGCCAAGGUUUUAGCAUGUAAAUACUUAUUUCUCAAAAUUUGUACCCACAUGCCUUCAGACUCCACAGACGGUUUAUACAACCAUUUGCUAAGCAUGCAUUUGUUCCUUGACCUCUAGAUUUUCAAUCCCGAGACCGCCUUGCUCUUUGGGCCUACAAAUAAUAUCCCAUUGAGAGAGUCUAUACUUUCUUUUGACCUCAUUAGUCUACCUAAAAAAAGGGGAUCUAUAGAAGUCCUACAUUUUCCGUACCGCGACAGGCAUAUCAAAAAAAGGGAAAGAAGGAACAUCGGCAUCCUUGCGAGUACUAAAUUAAUCAAUACCAACCUACCUCCAUAAGGCAACAACUUGCCCUUCGAGCAACUCAGUUUUUUCUCGAACCGGCCCUCUAUACACUUCCACUCCUUGUUAGAUAACUUUCGAUGAUGUAUUGGUAUGCGUAGAUAGUUGAACGGCAUGCUACCUGAAGCGCAUCCGAACAGUUGUUUAUACGUAUCCUUCUCUUCUUUGGACUUCCCAAAGCAAAAUAUUUUGCUUUUGUGAAAAUUUAUCUUCAAACAAGACAACUGUUCAAACAAGCAAAGGACCAAUUUCAUAUUUCUAGCCUUUGCAACAUCACGUUCCAUAAACAGAAUAGUGUCAUCAGAGUAUUGUAGUAUUGACACACCAUCAUCAAUUAGGUGUGGCACAAGACCUCCUACUCGGCCUUCCUCUUUUGCCCUCCCAAUCAUAAUUGUCAACAUAUCCGCAACUAUAUUUAAAAGGAUAGGGGACAUUGGGUCCCCCUACCGAAGCCCUUUAUAUGUAUGGCAAUAAUGUCCAAUGUCAUCAUUGACUUUAAUUUCAACACUUCCCUUUUGUAGAAAGGAUUCAACGCGUUUCCUCCAAACUUCGUCAAAACCCUUCAUACGAAGCGCUUGCUGAAGGAAAGGCCACUUUAUUUUGUCAUACGCUUUAUCAAGAUCCACCUUGAAGAUAACUCCAUCUAGUUUCUUUGAGUGAAUUUCAUGUAAAGUUUCAUGAAGGACAACCACACCCUCAAGUAUGUUUCUGCCCGGCAUGAAAGCCGUUUGACUUGGUUGCACAACCUCAUGUGCAAUCCGUGUCAAUCUAUUCGUGCCAACCUUAGUGAAUAUCUUGAAACUCACGUUAAGCACGCAAAUAUGAUGAAAUUGUUGGAUACACAUAGCUCCCUCCUUCUUUGGCAACAACGUGAUUGUCCCAAAGUUAAUGUGGAAUAGUUGUAAGUUCCCAUUAAACAAAUCAUGAAACAUCAGAAGUAAAUCAUCUUUAAGUAUAUGCCAACAUUUCUUAUAGAAUUCAGCUAGGAACCCAUCCGGUCCCGUUGCCUUGUUAUUUUUCAUUUGCGCAGUAGCUUCAAACACCUCUUCCUUCGUGAAAGGCACCGAAAGAACCUCAUUCUCAGCCACACCUAGCUGAGGUAUAUCUUCGACCCUUUGCUCAUCCAUGGACACAAAAGUGUCCUUGUGAGCCCCGAACAGCUGUACAUAAUAAUCAGAGAUAUACAACUUUAGGUUCCCGUGUCCUACGUGUUGGGGAACGUAGCAUGGGAAACAAAAUUUUCCUACGCACACGCAAUACCUAUCCAUGGUGAUGAUCAUCUACGAGAGGGGAGAGUGAAUCUACAUACCCAUAGAGAUCGCUAAGCGGAAGCAUAUAUAACGCGGUUGAUAUAGUGGAACAUCUUCGCGAUCCAAAUCGCAGCCCGUCCCGCGAUCUCAUCAGGAUCCGUCCAUCGAUCCCAUCACGAUCCAUCCCGAUCUAGUGCCGAACGAACGGCACCUCCGCGGUCAGCACACGUACAGCUCGAUGACGAUCUCCGCCUUCUUGAUCCAACAAGAGAGGAGAAGAUGUAGAUGAGUUCUCCAGCAUGGCAGCAUGGUGGUGGUGGUGGUGGAGCUAUUCCAGCACGGCUUCGCCUAAGCACCGCUCAAACUAGACUAGAGGAGAAACUGAUCUAGAGAGAGGGCAACACGUGGCUAUUUUUCUGUGUCUCAAAAACCCUAUAUACCUCUAGUAUAUAUAGGAGGGAGGGAGGGGUGGAGGCAGAAUCAAACCCUCAAGGUAUGGCCGAAAUUAGAGGUGGAGGAGUCCUACUCCAAUCCUACUAGGAGUAGGAUUCCUCCUUUCCACUUGGAAACCCUUUCCACCUUUUCCACCUUUGGGUAUUUUGCCUCUCAAACUUCAUGGGCCUUAGUGGGAGCUUAUGUCAGCCCACUAGGGGAUGGUUUGUAUCCUCCCACAGCCCAUAAGGCCCCUCGGGGCGUGACACCCCUCCCGAUGGUCCCCGGUACCCUCCCGGCACUCCCCGUACAUUACAAAUGAGCCAGAAACUUUUUCGAUGACCAAAACAGGACUUCUUAUAUAUCAAUCUUUACCUCCGGACCAUUUCGAAGCUCCUCGUGACGUCCGGGAUCUCAUCCAGGACUCCGAACAACUUUAGGUUACCAACACCUAUAACUCAACUAUACUGAAACGUCACCGAACCUUAAGUGUGCAGAUCCUGCGGGUUCGAGAACUAUGCAGACAUGACCAGAGACACUCCCUGGUCAAUAACAAAUAGUGGGACCUGGAUGUCCAUGUUGGCUCCUACAUAUUCUACGAAGAUCUAUAUCUGUUGAACCUCUAUGUCAAUGAUUCAGUUAAUCCCGUAUGUUGUUCCCUUCAUCCUUCGGUAUGUUAGUUUCCCGAGAUUCGAUCGUCGGUAUCUCUAUACCUAGUUCAAUCUCGUUACCAGCAAGUCUCUAUACUCGUUCCAUAAUACAAGAUCCCAUGACUAACUCCUUAGUCACAUUGCUUGCAAGGCUUAUUGUGAUGUUGUAUUACCGAGUGGGCCCCGAGAUACCUCUCCGUCACACGGAGUGAGAAAUCCCAGUCUUGAUCCAUGCCAACCCAACACACACCUUUAGAGAUACCUCUAGAGCACCUUUAUAGUCACCUAGUUACGUUGUGAUGUUUGAUAACACACAAGGUAUUCCUCCGGUGUCCGGGAGUUGCAUGAUCUCAUGGUCAUAAACAGAUACAUUGAUAUGCAGAAAACAGUAGCAAUAAAUUGACACGAUCAUAUGCUACGUUCAUAGUUUGGGUCUUGUCCAUCACAUCAUUCUCCUAAUGAUGUGAUCCCGUCAUCAAGUGAAAACACUUGUCUAUAGCCAGGAAACCUUGACCAUCUUUGAUCAAUGAGCUAGUCAAUUAAAGGCUCACUAUAUGAUCUCCCUGAUGGCCAUCCUCAGUGUCCAUAUCUAUGUGCUGACCCAGCUCCUGAAAAUGAUCAUUCUCCUCUAUCUCAAUCUCAAGAUCAUAACUCCUACAACAUAAGUCCAUCUCGCAAUACACGGAUGUGUUCAAUGCUAACCACACUGACUAGCAGGUGAGCCACUCCCUACGCCCUAGUGAAGGGCAUGUCCACCUAUUCCGUCUCCCCAAUCAAAGAGCCAAGACUCCAGGUAACCAUAAAAUCGUCCAAAUGCGCACUCGGUGCUCCUAAGAAGAGAAACCAAAGCUUCGAUAGAGAAACCCCCUCCGGCUCCUUAUUUGUCCAUGCUUCGAACUCAAGAACACACGUACUGUAAGGAAACUUGCUCUUCCCAAACUUUAAAAGUUUAGCAAGAUCCUCCUUAUAGGGGAAGUCGACCUUGAAGCUCUGUUCAUCGAGCGUCGUUGGUGCCAACCGAAAACUCGCAGACGCAAACUCACGAAGCCGCUAAAUAACCUGAUCCUUAGACAUAGUCCCGCUAGUCACCUUGAUCACAUCGGUUCGAGCAUUGUCCACACUCGGUGCAACCGAGGUCGACGUAGGUGACUCAAAGAACAUCAAUUUCGGGCAACACGCUCCAUAUAUGAUCACCACUAGCUUCGGCCUCAGAAUCAAUGGGCACCCCCUGACUCAUGCUUUGGCUUGCGGCAAAUGUCACAUAAUUCAACCGAGCAUUCAACAACAAAGUGUCCUGGUUCGCCAUAACGAUAGCAACUCAUUUUUUCUUUCUUAGGAGCCCACUUAGACGCCUUUUCUUCCACCUUAGUCAUGACACCCGUGUGAUCCGAAGCAGCCUUAGCCGAAACCUCAACUGUAGCCAAUUGUUUAACGGUGUACAGCUCCGCUUCCGUCAAAACAACCUUAGUCGCCCCCCGUAUUUUGGAGCUGGACUUAGACUGUUGCUCCGUGUUUGGCAGUGAAGUGGGUCUAGGAGGGAUCGGCCGCCUGCCACCCCGUGUUCUUCGGUAUGCAGGUGCCACGUUGCCUAAAGGGCGGCCGCAACGAUCCCUCCACAAACUCGUCAGAAGGACCACUGAAGUCCCUCGUCGGUGUUAUGUUAUUGUUCCACGCAUAACCGUGCCCCCACCUGCAGAUGAGGACCCGCGGUGCUGCCCAGUACUGUAAGCAUCAUAUCCAUCAACGCCUCAUUGGCCACGCGGUGGCGCACGAUCGUUAUCACCUAAGUUCGCAGCCCCGCUCCCACGACCCGCGGUCUGGCCCGGACCUGCCGUCCGAGCAUUGCCUUGAGCUUGGUUGCCUCGGCCAUCGCCAGAGUUUCCACAUCAGCGAGACCCACCGGCGUCUACCCCGUGUCAAGCACCGCCCCCGACCACUUUCUCCUUAGCGGCAUGCAUCGACAGGAAGCUUCCACGACUGGCCAUGACCGCCGGUGCUAGAAAGCUGUGCACCCUCGAAGCAUAACCCGAACUCAACUUCGGGAAUCUAGGUGAAUUUCUCCUCCUAAAAACCCUAGGUGAGGGCUUCGUCGCCAGUGUUUCAUCUGCCGCCACGGUAACUAGCAGGCCCGAGAUAGAGCCAUCGGAAGGCGUAGCAUGGGCCGAGUUCUGGGCUACAUACCCAGAACUAGCAGACCCACGACUAGCUCGGAAUUGUGAGGCCCAUCAAGCCCAAUGAGAGUUUUCAAACACGUCGCACGAAGACAGUGGAUCUCUUCCGCUGUUUUCGCCACCGGCAUCAGCACCGCUGGCACCGGACGCCGCUGUUGUUUCUUGUUACGAACAAUUUUCGAAUUUGAGCCAUCCAUGAAAUCAUCACAGGCUAACAUUAGAUAGCGGACCCAACCCAAGACCGGAUCAUCGUCGCUGCUUUUCUCUAAUGCCCCGUAGAUCUCCUGCCGGCCUUAUCACCCUUGAUCAUCACAGCAACAGCGGGCUGCAUUGAUGAGGACGACAACGACGAGGCAAUCAUCUUUGGCUUGUCUGCAAACGGAAUCUCCCUGUGGUCAUCAUCAUCGUUGUCAUCAUCUGCAAGCACCCAAAAUCGCCCCCGAACCUCCUUCGCUCGACGCCGUAGUUGUCCUCGCUAUCGCUUUCCUCCUUCUCCUCCUUUGGUGGCAGCUCAACCAUUUCAUGGACCGCCUGAUUCUACUCUCGGGUGAGGGCGCGUGUGUUCCUCCGUUGUCGUUUGUUCAUAAUGCAGGCGCAGAUGGCUUCCUCCUCUGCGGCCGCCCAUGCCGCCACAUCAACCACCUUCGCCGUCGCUAUUUCCGUCAUGAUACGGGCCUCACCGGACCGUAUCCUCUUCUUCCCACUAUGGGCCACCCGUUCCCGGCGGGACUAAUAAUCUGCCCGACAUGUGAUGGGGAAGGAGAGAUUUUCCGGCUGUCGAGACCAUGAUAAUCCAAUCUCAGAGGACCUGAGCGCCUGUUGAGCCGACGCUAUGGAGACACAUUGGACAAGUCCUUGCAUCGGUCGGGCGCUCUCCUCCUGGGAGUAGCGGAGUGCAAUGCGGACCGGCAUUGCAUCCUCCAACCUGCACAUGAUGACAUUCUAGUCGACGGAUCCAGACUGCUCGGAGUCAAAUCUGCCACCAUGCCGGAGACGGCCAGAAAUCCGGUGAGCUUGGGUGGCGGAGGGAACGGAGGGGAGUUGAAUGUGAAGUGGCUAGAGUUUGGUCCGGCGAACGGAUGGGGACGCAUAUAUGUGCGGUUGUUGUAGGCCAAUGCGGGCCAGACUGAUAUAACGGACACACCCGGGUGCCCUAUAGCUGCCUCAUAUUUAGGCUGGAUAUGAGGGGUGUCGGUCAGUUUGGAUGUUCAAGGCCCGUUUAAGGCGUCCGACUUGGUCAAAAUUUUGCAACCGGUCAGUGGGCUUGCGCCGCACUUAUUUCCCUUAAUAAUUGGGGUUCCUCUAAUGUGUUUCUGUUUCAUAAUCCAACGUACUCCCUCCGUCCGGUGAAAAGUGUACAUAUAGAUAUUUUAGGACAAAUUAUGAAGUGGAAUAAAAAAAUUAUUGAAAAAGGUGCAAGCCACCAUCUCUCUCCUUUUUAAUUGUUCAACCCUCAAUGAGCUAAGUGCAUGUAAAAAUUAAGAAAACUAUGUGUAAGUAUAAUGGUAUUGGUCUUGAUUACCGUCUGAUGAAAGAGAAGCAUUUCUUUCUACUUUAAAGUCCAUUAAAAAAAUAAAAGUAUAUUCUUUUAUGAGCAAAUUUUAAAGCCAAACAUACGCUCUUCACCGGACGAACGAAGGGAAUACGCGGUUAGACAAGUCAACUAAUAUUAAUGAUCAUAAGAGCUGGGCAGUGGAGGUCGGUAGAAGCACAUGCAUCGCUAUAGGACUAUUGACUAGGACUAGGAGAACCUGCUUUUAUUUUCUUUGCUAGUUCAAUAUUAACGGAUGCAUGCAUGUGUUCAAUCCUGAAAAUUCGGUCUCCAAUCCUCGCUGUCUCAUCAUCUUGGGUCUUUCCUUCAUCACGGUUUAAAAGACGUGUUUAGAAAUUCUCUAAAACUUAAGUGGUUAUUGAUUGGUUGUGAGGUGGAUUAAAAAAUAGCAUUUACACUACGCAUGCAUAUAGAAAUAGUACAAGGUCUUUGUCACACAAAAAGAAAUAGUACAAGGUCUUUGUCUCAUAUCUUAAUGUUGGCUACGAUGAGUUUCCGCAACAAGGUCUUUGUCACACAAAAAGAAGUAACAGUACCUCUGUUGCAGAAAAAUUAAAUUGCAACAAGAUCUCUGUUGUAAAAAAAUAAACUGCAACAAGACCUUUGUUGCAAAAAAAAACGGUAACAAGACCUUUGUUGUAGAAAAACACCGAUAACAAGACCUUUGUUGCAAAACAAAAAUUAAAAUUUAACUUGUGUUGCAAAAGUUUCUGUAACGUGUUGCGGCAAUUUCCUACAACAUGUUCGCAACGCAUGGUCGUUCAAUCGGUCAGAUCUCACGGUUCGUGGGGCAAAAAUCUUUUUUAAAAGAUCAGUCGGUGAACGCAUAGCGGUCCCAAAAAAAGAAAAGGGAAUCGAGAAAGGAAAACUUUGAUCCCAUGUCCUCUACCUAGCCGUAAAACGAAGGCGCACGGCCCACAUUCCAGUUCUCAGCUCUCACGGAAGAAAACAAUUGCAAAGUUAGUUGUGAUCGAUCUCGAUCCUCAACACGCUCGAAGAAAUGCCGCUUCCUCUCCUCAAAAGAACCAUCCUUUGACAAUCCAGUGAUCUCAAUGUGUGAUAGCACCAAGAUUCCUUUGACAAUAUCCAAGGCUUUAUAAUAUUGCACAAUGUAAACAGGACUAUGUGUCCACGGUACUACAAUCAAUACCUCUUAAUAUACAGUUUAGGCAAGCUUUGCUGGGAGCACGCUAGAAUGAAUGGUUAAAUCUGAUCAGCAGACUGAUGCGCAUACAGUUAUCUGAUCAGGCGGAUAGUGUACGCUGGACUUUAGCUACGAAUGGUGUAUUCUCAGUAAAGUCCAUGUACACGCAUCUCAUUAACACUGGAACAAUACCCAGAUCGGUGCAUAUUUGGAAUAUCAAAGUGUCUCUCAGGAUUAAAAAAAAUUAUGUGGUUCAUACACAAAGGGGUGGUAUUAACCAAAGAUAACUUGAUAAAAAGAAGAUGGAGAGGGAGACCUAAUUGUUGUUAUUGUCAUAACAACGAAACAAUAAGACACUUAUUUCUAGACUGCAAUCUUGCAAAAUUGUUAUGGCGUACUGUUCAUAUAGCCUUUAAUAUCUCCCUCCUUUAUGCAAUCAUUCGUUAUUUAAAAUGUGGCUCAAUGGAGUGGACGUUCAAUAUCGAAAGUUAUUAGAAUUGGGGUGUGUGCUUUAUUUUGGACUAUAUGAAACACCAGGAAUGAUAUGAUUUUUAAUGACAAGAACUUCAACAAUUUUUUACAGAUUAUCUUCAGAGCAACGUCUUGGAUCCGUGCGUGGUCGUUACUCAGUCAUGCGGACUCCAGGGAUCUUAUGAAUAUUGGGUGCAACCGAUGAAAGACGGUUGCACGGGCUAUCUUGCCGAUUUGAAUAUCGUGCUAAUAAUAGACUAGGUGUAUAGGCAUCGUAGUCUACUUGUAGGUACGCCGGUUAUGGCAGUUUGCUUUGCAUUGAAUCUUUGUUUUCAUUUUAAUGCUUCAAAGACUUGUGGAGCUUAGACUUUAUUUUGAAUCUAUUUUAAUAAAAGGAUUGCAUGCAUCGAUUAAUGCAGAGGUUGGGGACUAAGUUUUUUUUUGAAUAAAAUAUAUUCCUGCUCCUACCAAAAGAGAAAAAAAUUGAUGAAGAAAAAAACUUUGAUACCAUGCCCGCUACCUACCUAAACGAUGGCACAAGGAUCACAUCUGGGGUCUCACCGGACAAAACAAGUGGAAAGUAGUUGUGCUCUCCACCCUCAACAGGCUCAAAGAAAUACAUGCUCUUCCUCCUCUAAAGAACCAUCCUUCCACAAUCUAGUGAUUUCAUUGCACUAUCAAUGAGAAGGGAUCCACCCACAAGAACAAAAAGGGAAAGACAUGGCGCGGCUAUCAACACGGCAGCGAGAACAAUAGGUAAUUCCACGAUUUCACCGCCUCCCCCUCCCACUCCCUUCCUCGCCGCCGCCUGAGGCAGCCGCCGGGCAAGCCGGGGGCGUCAAGGAUGGUGGCAGCGGGGCCUAAGCUGCCCUGCCUCUGCAUGCGGAGUCUCGGAUCUCGAGCGGCGGCUCCAUUGGCGAGGCACGGCAGGCUAGCAGCCGUGCGGGAGGUGGAUCCAGCGUCUCGGCCGCGCGGGCGGCGGGAUCCGGUGGUCGCUGGCGUUCGGCGACGGCUUUUGCGGUGGCCGGUGCGCGCGAUCUAGCGCCUCCCCUCCUUCCCUGUUCGGCGUGCGGGCCAGCCUGGUCGGGCCGCGCUUCCUCGGAUUGCCGGUUUUGUACAGGAGGUGCUGCUAGUGGUGGGGAUCUAGUUUGGGCGAAAUCCCUGGUCGGCCAUGGCCGGCCGCAUCGACGACGACGCCCGAGGGCGCCGUUUCCCUCCUUGGAGGCGUCGGUAUGGACUGAUCCCCUCACUUCCCCUUCCCCUAGGUCUCCCGGGCGAAAGCCUUAACUUUGUUGGACGGCGGCGGCGCUCAAGGCGUCGUUCCCUUCUUGAAGGCACCGCUUUGGAACCUUGGGGCUGGGUGGCGCUUGUGGGUGGUGGGCGACGGCGGUGGUGCGACCCUAUCCUAGCAUGGAUCUCCGUCCUGCUUGGAGAUGGACUCGCGUAGGUGGAGGUCGUCGUUUGGCGUCAUGAUGGCGUCGAUGGCGGAGGCACCUGCCAAGGCUGGUACCUCAAUCUGAUCUGAAGAUGGACCAGUGGAAGAUGACGGCAACGACACAUGUGAGUGCGUCGGACCGGUUUGUGCCCCGGACCCGGUAUGUGGCUCGGUCAGGGUCUCCGGCUUUAGAUGUUAGGCUUAGGUGAGAGGUCUGGGUAUUUGGUCCAGCUUGCACCCCUUCAUCAUAUGGAUAGGAGUAGCGGCAGAUGUUGCCAAGAUGGCGGAUUCAGACAUAUUGUUGUACUUCUUUGUAAGGUCCUCGAGAAUAAUCAAUAAAAUGGCCGCAUGCAUCUCCCAGAUGCAGAGGCCGGGGGUCAUCUUCCUUUUCUAAAAAAAAAAAACCCUGCAUAGACUUAGAAAGAUGAGAAUCAUUGCACUCGUUCAAAACAUGACUGAACUCCACAUAUCUUUCAAGUUACUAUGCUCCCUGAGAAUAAUGUUGCCCUGUGGUUGCUCGGGAUUUAGGAUGCCAAGGAAUGCAAGUAAUUGUGGCAGCCGUGCCCCACGUUUUGCCUUGCGUGUCCGUUCAUUUGUUGAUCUAUUGGAGAUGCUCUUACUACCUCUAUUCUACUCCCUCCGUUCCUAAAUAUAAGUCUUUUAAAAGAUUUAAUUAGGUGACUACAUACAAAGUAAAAUGAAUGAAUCUAUAUUAUAAAGUAUGUCUAUAUACAUUCAUAUGUAGUUCUUUAAUAGAAUCUUUAGAAAGACUUAUAUCUAGGAACGGAGGAAGUAGUUUAGAUGAGAUAUUUACAAGCUCAUAUCACACCACCACACACAAGCACAACCACUGCAUCGAGAGCCAAAUCUUUCUCGGAAGCUUGUAUGGGGCUGAUCUUCAAAACUGUUAUCACGAAACAAACACCCCAACCAUGGUCAUCAAGACAUAAAAAAAAGCAGUUGACUCCAUUUGUGGAAGCUCGCUCAUGAGUCAUCACCAUUGGUCAUACAUAUACUAGUUUAACUUUGAAACAACAGUAUGGUUUGCACACUGAUUGUACAAAAUUUGCAUCCAUAUGCAAAUGUUGUACUCUGCGUUCGAACAACAGAACAAUAAUGUUUUAGAUUAAUUGUUUCUCAGCCAAUAUAAAGCAAGGGGGUUUUUUGCAAAAAACUUGCCACGUCGGCAUCUGAUAGACGGACCCUAUCGACCAGAGACACUGUUAAUACCUAUUUAUACGCGGUUUAGAUCUUUUUGUAACGGUUUGCCCAAAAUUUGAUACUAAUAUGUAAAAAUUACCAAUCUUCUUAAUACCAGUCUGCUUGUAAUGAUUCAAUUGUGAUACUUUUGUGCAAUUAACUCUAUAUAUAUGCACAACGAGAUAAUGUUGUUAACAAAAUCAUGGACGUGAACAUACAAUUUGAGCAUAUAUCUAGCUAGAAUUCCGAAUACAUGUCAAGUCAUAUUUUCUAUAACGUACGCAUGCAUGUAUUAGGCAUGUGAUGUGGCUUGCGUUGCCCCUUCGCCCUAUAUAUGUAUGCAACGCACCUCGUCGAUUUAAGCCAGCCAACCAACCAAGCGAGCCCUCAUAGGGGCGACAGAAAUGGGCAGCUCCAGCGACAUGAUCUUGUCUGCCGUCGACGACAAGGAACCAUUCCAGCCUCUCAACCAGGAGGACGUCCGCACCUACCUACACAAAUCCGUCGACUUCACCAAUGUGGAGUCCAUGCCGCGCGGUUCUCUUCCCGACGUCCAGCCGGGGUACCUGCAGCGCGAGUUCAUGUCGUCCCCGCCCACCUAUCCCUCGCCUUUCCAUGUCACCAUGAAGGAGCUCAGGGACUCCAUCGUCCCCGGCCGGCAUGACGCACUGGGCCAGCCCCAACUUCUUCGCAUUCUUCCCUGCCACCAACAGCGCCGCCGCCAUCGCCGGAGACCUCAUCGCCUCCGCCAUGAACACCGUCGGCUUCACGUGGCAGGAUGCCCCCGCCGCAACCGAGCUGGAGGCGCUCACGCUCGACUGGCUCGCACAACUCCUUGGCCUGCCAGCCACCUUCAUGAACCGCACCGUCGCCGGUGCCCGUGGCACAGGCGGUGCCGUCAUCCUCGGCACCACCAGCGAGGCAAUGCUGGUUACAAUCGUGGCUGCCCGUGACGCUGCGCUGCGCCGGAGCAGCUCCAUCGGUGUGUCUGGCCUGCCGCGCCUAGUGGUCUAGCUACGCCGCGGACCAGACCCACUCCACCUUCUUCAAGGCAUGCCGUCUCUCCGGCUUCGACCCCGCCAACAUCCGCUCCAUAUCCGUGCCGGGCCAGAAACCGACUACGGGAUCGACUCGACCAAGCUGCUCGAGGCCAUGCAGGCCGACGUCGAGGCUGGCCUCGUGCCAACGUACGUCUGUGCCACGUCUUCCAACGCCGUACGUCGACCCGGUUGGCGCUGUCGCCGACGUUGCUUCAUUGUUCGGCGCAUGGGUCCAUGUCGAUGCCGCCUACGCCGGCAGCGCUUGCAUCUGCCCGGAGUUCCGCCACCACCUCGACGGUGUGGAGCGGGUGGACUCCAUCAGCGUCAGCCCACACAAGUGGCUUCUCACCUGCCUCGACUGCACUUGCCUCUAUCUCUAUGUUCGUGAUGCUCACCGCCUGAGCGACUCCAUGCAUGGGCACCAACCCAGAGUACUUCAAGAACGAUGCUACCGAAUCAGGUGACGUGGCUGGUCUAAAGGACAUGCAGGUCGGUGUGGGCCGCCGCUUUCGUGCCCUCAAGCUAGCUCUGGAUGGUCAUGCGCACCUAUGGCACUUGCAAGCUCCAACAACACAUCCGAAGUGACGUCGCCAUGGCCAAGAUGUUUGAAUGUCUUGUCGGUGGGGACCCUCGAUUCGAGGUCGUCGUGCCUAGGAACUUUGCCAUGGUGUGCUUCAGGAUCAAGGCGAGUGGAGCCAUGACAGAGGAGGACGCCGAUGAGGCCAACCGUGUUCUGAUGAAGAACGUCAACAAGACCGGUAAGGCAUACCUUUCUCACACGGUGGUUGGCGAUAGGUUUGUGCUUCGGUUCGCCGUGGGGGUCAUCGCUACAGGAGGAGAGGCAUGUGAGGAGUGCGUGGGAGCUCAUCAAGAAGACAACCGGUGAGAUAAUCUUAUCUUAUCUUAUCUUACCUCUAUCCCUACUAAUAAAUCACAUAUUGCUUAUGCGGUACGUCAUUAAAAUUGCCUCUAAAACUCUCUAAUAUUGCCCACCAGUGCCACUAUAUAAGUUAUAAAAAAACGUUUUGCAGGGAAUCCUCGCAUGGGCCGGCCCAAGCAUAGGGACCAGCUAUACUACGCUCUGCUCGCUGGAAAAUACACAACACGUCCAUUUUGGCCAGCCCAUCGGAGGGGCCUAUUUUUUUAGUUUUUUAGUUACUAUUAUUUAUCUGUUCCUUUUUAUUUUUUCUAAUUCAAAUUAAUCAAAAGUAAACUUUAGAAAUUCAAAAAAUUAUAUUUACAUAAAUGUUUCAUAAAACAUAAAAUGUUUGCAAAUUCAAAAAUUGUUCGGAAUUUUUGUAAAAAUAUUUACAUAUUAAAAAAUUGUAAUUUUGGAGAAAACAUUCGUGAUUGAACCGCUCUAAAGCUCUAAAGGUCAGCUUCUCAGGCUCGAUACCGGGAGUCACGCACUUGAACCGCUUCCAAACCCUGCCCGACAAGGAUAAUGAUUUGCUAAGUUUUUCAUUAAUUGAUAUAUCAGAAAAUCAUCGAGACCGAUAGAGCGCAAGAAUGAUUGAAAUUACCCUUGGAGCAUGUCCUGCAGGCUUUGGAACUAUUCCAAGGGUCUCGAUAAUGGGUCGAAGGCAUCAACUCUUCCCUUAUCAAUUUGAAUGUCCAACAGAAUCCAAUGGAAGCUGCACAUGUGUGUGUGUGUCAGUAACUUAUCAAUUACACUUAUAAGUGAAUGGACACAACAGAGUAAAGACCCUCACCUGAAGUUGUAUGGAAACAGUAUGUGGUCACAGAAAUUUUGAUCUGUUAGAAACCUUAGAAGGUUUUCCUCCGUCUCCUUGGGUUUAUCAGUUAGCGUCGCUAUAUGUAUUUUAUCUCGGUCAAUAAACCCAAUAUUUAGGAUGUUCUUUCUUUUACAAUCCAGAAUCUUCAUUCUGCAUAAUAGAGUACAAGUUAUAUAUAGACAAUGAAUUAAAAUAACUAAACAAGUUAUAUGUAGACAACGAAUUGAAAAACUUACACACAAUAGCAACUCAUAAGCGAUUUGUCGAGGGCGUCGCCAUUGUACAUCUGGAAGAGUUCAUCAAAGUCGAUAUGGAUUUCUUCGGGGCGGCCGUAGUACUCCCGUGGGACACUCAGCACGACCAUCGUUCUCCCAUUCUUUGAUUCACUUAAGUACCAUGUAUGCAAGUAACGCAUAUUUGUUGGGAGAUCAUCUUUGCUGACCAAAGGCGCUCCCAUGACAAACUGUGGCUUAGGGGCUACCACAGCCUUGGGUAACCUGUCGUGUUGGGAAGCCAGAAUGUCUUCAACCGAGAUACCCCAUUCAGCCGCCCACUUCUUUGCUAAUUCGAAAUCUUGCCCCUGCACCGGAGGGGGGACAUUCUCUGUUAACACCUUGAGGGGUGGGAUCGACUGUUUGGCCUGUUGUCCAAGCUGAGGAACGUCUGAUUUUUUCUUGCUUGUAGUUGAACUUGAUUUGCUCCCACUUGCACUUGCACGUGAUCUGCUCUUUUUCACUUCCUUCUGCAAUGUGCGUGUAUAGUCAUCAGGCUUAUGGUGUAAGUCAUAAUGUGAUGGAAGGGUCGUGAAGUAUUUUGCAAAUGCUAUUUGCUUCUCGGUGUAUUCCGGGCGGGGCUCGGGUUCCUUCUUUUUCAUCUGCGCAUCAUGAUGUUCCUUUGCUAUCCUGGCGUUUUCCUCGGAGGUACGAUCAUAAGGUCUGAUAGGAAGAUUAGCAUGAGGUACCUUUGGGAGGGGCGACCGUUUGCGCUUUGGGGGGCUCCGUCGCUUAGAAAUCGUCGGCGGAGCAUUCUUGGUGGCACGCUUCCGCUUAGUAUCCGGAGCGGGCGGCGGCGGAGACGGACGACCCAAGUCCGGCGGCGGUGAUCGAGAUGGACUCGUGUUGUGUUGGCCGACGUCAUGUGGAGGGCUUGGAGGUAAUGGAGGUGUAGGUGACCUGCGACGACUCGGUGGCGGUGUUGUCCUUGGGGCCGAGCCUGGAAGCUUGAUGUAGUUCUUGUCCCAUAGGAUGACUCCACCCAGUACUUCUUCGAGUGUCCUCUCAUCUUCGGGUCCAGCUAUGUCGAGUUCCAUAUCAUGAAACCCCGCCAUGAUUUCAUCCACCCCGACUUUAGCAAAGCCAGCUGGAAUCUCACGCCCAUGCCAGCGUGCAUCAGGGCCAGAAGGUAAAGCUUGUCCGACGGCCACCUUCAUGGAUAUGUUCUUGAAUUUCUGAUGGAGUUCACAUGAUGUUGACUCCUUGAUUCCAUCCACGGGGUAGCCGGGACCGCCCUCUAUCAUUCUUCGUGCAUCGUCGGGCGGGGCAUCAGAUUCAGCCACGCUGCUUUUCCGCUUAGAUGGGGCGGGGCAACAUUGAAAUGCCUUCCAGUGAUUCGCCUGCUUGGCUAGAUACCCCUCGAAUACUGGCACUUUCUUUGUCUUCAGAUAGUUUUUCCAUAGCUUCUUCUUCCAGCUACGGAACAGUUCGGCCAUCUUCUUCAGAGUCCACUGCUUGACUUUGGCCCUCAGUUUGUGUGCGGCGUCUUCAUUCUCACAUUCUGGCAGGUUGAAAUGUGACAUGAGAUCAUUCCAAAGAUUAUCUUUGUACCUUUCGGCGACAUAGUCACUAUCGGCUGCCCCUUUGCGCUUGUUCGACUCCCGAACGCUGAUCGGGACGUGAUCCCUAACGAGAACUCUGCAUUGCUUCUUGAAUGUGUCAGCAACAUUCUUAGGAAGCUUGGGUUCGCCCGUAGGAAAUAUCACCUCAAAGGUGUAAUGCGUCCGUGCAUCCAACUUUCUAGUCGGGCCUCGUUUCGUAGUUUUGCUCGAUGUGGAGGCCUAAGAGGGAGAAACAUUCGUCAAAUGAAUGUAUAUGUAUACAAUAUAGAUCUAUCUCCAAUAUUUUUCACAUAUUACAAGUGAUUUUCGAACUUCAUAUGUAUACCUCGCCGGACUUUAUUAUUUCUUCACCGGCUUCUCCAUCAGUGGAGCUAUCACCUUCUCCGUCAUUGGACCUAUCUCCUGCUCCAUCGGCUUCAUCUUCGUGUCGCUCGACCUCCAUUCCAACGUUCUGGUUUAGAUAUGACGACGGAGAUUCAGCUGGUUCAACGUCGGGGCCGUCUUUGAUUAUAUCUUCGAGAAGUUCUUCCUCUUCGAGGUUCCUGAUAUGUGGAUCCAUAGUUCUGCAAAAAACGGAUUCUCUUAACCUUUGUACCAAAAAAGAAUUAUUCUAUCAGGAAGUCCGUUCCAAAACAACUUAAGUCCGAGGUCAUGGCUCCACCCGGGACUCCUAGAUUUCCGCAUAGUAUUCAAAGUAGGAGUACUUUUCCAAUUUAAGCAUUCAAUAAGCAAAACCAAAUCGUAAAAUAAAGUAGUAUUCAAAUUAGCAAGCAUUCAAUUAUAAGUUAAUACAUCAUCACUUUUGUCCGUACAUCGUCGAAUAUUAUCACUAAUACUCCUCGAAUACUAUCAUACAUAUAGCAUCACUGAUACAUCUAGAACCGUAGCGCCCGACGGGUAUCGGCGCGGGCGGUGGACACCCAAAGAGAAGGAACCAUCACAGGAUCAUAGCUCCAGUGAGAUCCCCGAAGAACCUGCCAGGUAUGCUCGAACCUGCCCUCCAACGCAACCAUGUAGCGACGGACGUGCUCAUCCUCCUCGCUGACACGGUGACGUACCACCUCCGCGGUGUCUGGAAGCCUCAGCACCCUCACUGGCCCACGCGACCAACACCAAACAAGGAUCGGGUCAACGACGGGCUGGCUCCUCACCAACCUACGCCCCCCGGAAGGUAGCACCUCCCAAUACCAGCCGGGCGGAGCCCAGUCCCGGACAGGGCCCCUCUGAUCAAGCAGGUGUCCUCCGCCGAGUCGACGACGAGGAUGCGGGAUAGGCAUCGUAAAAUAAACUAAAAAAAUAAACUAGUUCUAUUAAUUUUCUUGCUAAAAAUAAACUAUUAACACUUAAGCAUAUACAAUAGCAAAAUUAAACUAUUAACACUUAAGCAUAUACAAUAGCAAAAUUAAGCAAUAAUCUAAGAAACACUAUUAACACUUAAGCAUAUACACUAUACAAUAGCAAAAUCAAAUGACAAAAAAAAUAUUUCUUCUUCUUGUAACCAUAAACUAUUUUUUCCUCUUCUUCUAUUUCUCCUCUUCUUCUACUUCUUCUUCUACUUCUACUUCUCCUCUUCUUCUACUACUUCUCCUCUUCUCUUCUUCUACUUCUCCUCUCCUCCUCUUCUAAUUUUUUCUCUUCUUCUACUUCUCCUCUUCUUCUAUUUUUCCUCUUCUUCUAUUUUCAUUGAUCUCCAAACGGUAUUCAGGCUUCGACAUGUCAGGACUUCGAAGGCUCAUAUGGCAGUUGCCUUGAUCGACGAGGAAUAUGGUAAUAUGAAGACCAAUUUCCCAAAGUCUCAACACAAACUUUGGGAGAAGGCCCCACUUGAUCGUAUCAACAUUGAAUCAAAUUAUAGGGAAAAUUGAAACUAUAUUAGAAAUUAUAGUUUCAAUUUUUAUAGGGAAAAUUGAAACUAUAUUAGAAAUUAUAGUUUCAAACUAAGUCACAAAAAUUGAAACUAUAUUAGAAAUUAUAGGGAAAAUUCAAUAUAAAUUCAAAUGAUAAUUUAGAUUGAAUUUUCUCUAUGAUUUCGAAUAUAGUUUCAAUUUUUUUCUAUUUUCAUAAUUAAUAAUUUUGACUAUCCAAACUAUUAUCUAUUUUGUUAUUUUCAAUUAAAAACUAUGUUUACUAAAAAUUCUUUUUGCAUAUUUGAGAAUUUGACAAAACUAUGAUAAUGAAAAGUGUUUCAAAUUGAAUAAAUAAUGCAAAACUAUUUUUUAUUUUCAUAAUUAAUAAUUUUGAGUAUCCAAACUAUUAUCUAUUUUGUUAUUUUCAAUUAAAAACUAUGUUUAUUAAAAAUUCUUUUUGCAUAUUUGAGAAUUUGGCAAAACUAUGAUAAUGAAAAGUGUUUCAAAUUGAAUAAAUAAUGCAAAACUAUUUUUUAUUUUCAUAAUUAAUAAUUUUUACUAUCCAAACUAUUAUCUAUUUUGUUAUUUUCAAUUAAAAACUAUGUUUAUUAAAAAUUCUUUUUGCAUAUUUGAACUCCAUACUUUUUGUGUGUUCAAAAUGCACCAUUCUAAGGCACAUCACAAAAUUUCAACAAUUUCUGACUUCAUUUGGUAUUCUUCGUGCAUUUACUUAUUAUUUUUUUGAGCUAGUUGACCCUGAAAUUGAAAAGCACUACAAAUGAACUCUAAAAAUGUUGAAAGUUGGCAUGCUAUAAUCAUUUCACCCACAUAGCAUGUGUUAAAAAGUUGAGAGGGCUACGACAAAAACUGGAUGCAGUUCGUGUACAAAACGGACAAUCUCUCUCGAAGUAGCAAGGCUUCGAACGAGAACUCAUCUCUUACAAAGGGAUUUCAAUUUUUUGAACUUAUUUGAACUCCAUACUUUUUGUGUGUUCAAAAUGUACCAUUCUAAGGCACAUCACAAAAUUUCAACAAUUUCUGACUUCAUUUGGUAUUCUUCGUGCAUUUACUUAUUUUUUUUGAGCUAGUUGACCCUGAAAUUGAAAAGCACUACAAAUGAACUCUGAAAAUGUUGAAAGUUGGCAUGAUAUCAUCAUUUCACCCACAUAGCAUGUGUUAAAAAGUUGAGAGGGCUACGACAAAAACUGGAUGCACUUCGUGUACAAAACGGACAAUCUCUCUCGAAGUAGCAAGGCUUCGAACGAGAACUCAUCUCUUACAAAGGGAUUUCAUUUUUUUUGAACUUAUUUGAACUCCAUACUUUUUGUGUGUUCAAAAUGCACCAUUCUAAGGCACAUCACAAAAUUUCAACAAUUUCUGACUUCAUUUGGUAUUCUUCGUGCAGUUACUUAUUUUUUUGAGCUAGUUGACCCUGAAAUUAAAAAGCACUACAAAUGAACUCUGAAAAUGUUGAAAGUUGGCAUGAUAUCAUCAUUUCAUCCACAUAGCAUGUGUUAAAAAGUUGAGAGGGCCACGACAAAAACUGGAUGCAUUUCAUGUACAAAACGGACAAUCUCUCUCGAAGUAGCAGGGUUUCGAACGAGAACUCAUCUCUUACAAAGGGAUUUCAUUUUUUUGAACUUAUUUGAACUCCAUACUUCCUGUGUGUUCAAAAUGCACCAUUAUAAGGCACAUCACAAAAUUUUAACAAUUUCUGACUUCAUUUGGUAUUCUUCGUGCAUUUACUUUUUUUUUGAGCUAGUUGACCCUGAAAUUGAAAAGCACUACAAAUGAACUGUGAAUAUCUUGAAAGUUGGCAUGCUAUCAUCAUUUCACCCACAUAGCAUGUGUUAAAAAGUUGAGAGGGAUACGACAAAAACUGGAUGCACUUCGUGUACAAAACGGACAAUCUCUCUCGAAGUAGGAGGGUUUCGAACGAGAACUCAUCUCUUACAAAGGGAUUUCAUUUUUUUGAACUUAUUUGAACUCCAUACUUUCUGUGUGUUCAAAAUGCACCAUUCUAAGGCACAUCACAAAAUUUCAACAAUUUCUGACUUCAUUUGGUAUUCUUCGUGCAUUUACUUAUUUUUUUUUUAGCUAGUCGACCCUGAAAUUGAAAAGCACUACAAAUGAACUCUGAAAAUGUUGAAAGUUGGCAUGCUAUCAUCAUUUCACCCACAUAGCAUGUGUUAAAAAGUUGAGAGGGCUACGACAAAAACUGGAUGAACUUCGUGUACAAAACGGACAAUCUCUCUCGAUGAUGGUCGCUACUCCUACUUCCCCUAGUACAUAACCAAUAUAUAGCACAAGGAGAAGAAGGAGAAGCGACCCCCACAACAAAAGUGGUUCCGCGGCACGCCACGUGGUUCCGCUGCACGCCACGUGGGACUAAUGGUCUUUCAUUUUUAAAUGACUGUUUUAAUCAAAAACAGAUCUGUUACAAAAGGGAUUUCAUUUUUUGAACUUAUUUGAACUGAAGACUUUUUGUAUAUAUAUGUGGUCGAAAUGCAUGAUACCAUGAAGUUAGAAAGGGCUAAACCAUUCAAAAGUAGCAAAUGAAGUUAGAAAGGGCUAAACCAUUCAAAUUUGGAAACUACAAUGACACAAACAGAAACUAGACAUAUAUAAAUUGGUCCAAGCAGUACAUGAUACUAGUCCAAACAGUACAUAAUAAUAGCUACCAUAGAUAUAUAUACAAGUGUUCGACGUUGAGAACACUACUCGUCUGAAUCGUCUGAAUCAGAAUGUCCACCUUCCUCGAGGUGACGCUGGCCAUAGUUGACGACUCGAAUCUUGCGGUACAACUCGUAUGAAACGUAUGCAUCUUUUGCUGCAUACUCAAUGUUGAUAGGAUCAAGUGGGCCCUUCUCCCAAAGUUUGUGCUGAAACUUUGGGAAACUGGUCUUCAUAUCACCAUAUCCCUCGUCGAUCAAGGCAACUGCCAUAUGAGCCAUUGAAGUCCUGUCAUGUCGAAGCCUGAAUACCGUUUGGAGAUCAACGAGGCAACCAGCUGGUAUCUCAAUACCGAAGCUGUGCCUCAUCUUCAGCUUGUCGUUCCUUAUGUCAACGGAAGCAAAAGUGAUGCCGCUGCGAAGGAAGUCCAUGAGUUCUGGACAAUCCUUGUCACUCCUGCAACAGAAACAAAUUAAAAUGGAACAAAUGUUACAUACUGCUGCAAUAAGGAAACAUGUUUCACUACAACUAAAGAGAAAAUUAUCUUUAGGAUUCAAAUAGAACAUAUGCAAUGGAACCUAGAGAGAUCACUAUAGCUAUCCAAUGGAACCUAGAGAGAUCACUAGCUAUAUGCAAUUUUCAUGACUAUGACAUAUCAUAUUGCUAUCCAAUGGAACCUAGAGAGAUCACUAGCUAUAUUCAAUUUUCAUAACCUUGGAUCAAAGAACACCGCAUAAAAUUGUAUCACUACAACUAUGAUUUCAAUGGAACAUAUUGAACCAAUCAGAUUUUUCAGAUUGUGGAACACUAUUCUAAUCAGAUUGUGUUCCCUUCAACUAAUCAAAAUUGUUUCACUACAACUAUUUGAAGCGAACCAACUAUGAUUCCAAUGGAACAUAUUAAACACUAGUUGAUUCUAAUACGAUUUUUCAAAUUAUGGAACACUAUUCCAAUCAGAUUGUGUUCCCCUUCAACUAAUCAAAAUUGUUUCACUACAACUAUUUGAAGGGAACCAACUAUGAUUCCAAUGGAACAUAUUAAACACUAGUUGAUUCUAAUACGAUUUUUCAGAUUAUGGAACACUAUUCCAAUUAGAUUGUGUUCCCCUUCAACUAAUCAAAAUUGUUUCACUACAGCUAUUUGAAGGGAACCAACUAUGAUUGAAACAAAUAAACUUACAAUGUCAUUAUCUUGGAUCAAAGAAAGCCUCAAAACUUACCUCGCCCAUUGGAAGAUCAAGACAUGGCGUGCGAAGCAUAGUUGGAUUUCGGCAACACCGCGUUGAUCGGCCGUGUACUCCAAAUCAAGCCCCAAGAACUUCUCAUGAUCCACUGCGUUGUCAAACCAUUUUUCCUUCAACUGUUGAAGAAAAAACGGCACCUCCCUGCUCAGGUUCGUGUACACGACAUCGAGCAUGGUCGUGCCAUGUGCGAGCACCUUAUGAAAGCUAGUUGGCAUGGUGGAAGAAGAGAAGGGAAGAAGAGAGGAGAAGAACAGAGAGGGAGAGCAGAGAGAAGAAGAAACAGAGAAAUGGCGACUGUACGCUUCGGUUCGUGUUUUUCAUCGCCCGAAACGACGCGGGAUGCAAACCGUUUGGGUCUUUAGUCCCGGGUUGAGCCACCAACCGGGACUAAAGAGGUAUACCAACGGUUGCCACCACUACGGCAGGCCACGUGUUAGUCCUUUAGUCCCGGAUUGAGCCACCAACCGGGACUAAAAGGGGAUACGAACGGUUGCCACCACCACUGCCCGCCGCGUAGCCCUUUAUUCCCGGUUUGGGACACGAACCGGGACUAAAGGCUCCUUACGGGCCGGGACUAAAGCCUCGAGGGAGGCAUUGAGAAUUGGGGCGACGUGGUCGGGCCUUUAGUCCCGACCCAGAGGCAGGCCGGGACUAAAGGGUCCCGGCUAAAGGCCCGUUUUCCACUAGUGUGAGAUGGUAGACUGCACAUGCAUCAUGCAUGGCUGCUCAUGCAUGCAUUGGCUCAGUACAAGAUCACUAUACGUACACCUACACCAUCACUGCAUGAAUACACUACAGAUGUGCAACUAGGAGGACCCUUAAUGCGUCAGCCAAUGAAAAUAACAACAUCCAAAAUGAAUAUUAAUGAUGACGGGAAAUAAGGAAUACUAAAUUUUCAUUAGAUGCCUAAGGCUGGCCAUAGUGGGAGUAACUUAGAGCAUGGUUAAUAGUAUAGCCAACUGCUGGCUAUAAGCCAUCUUAUAGCACAUCUUAUAGCUAGCUUGUACAAUAGUUAGCUAUAAAAGAGUACUACUUUUAUCAUAUAUGACCCACCUUUCAUUCUUACAAAGUACCUACGAGCACGUGCUAGAGCUAGCUCUUCACGAAGAGCCCGCUUCCCUUCUUUCUCCUCUUCUCUUUCAUCCAACUCAGCAAAAAUAUACUAUUUUAAUCCUUACACCCUGCUGACUGUAUCUUAUUAUACUUGCUCUUAGAUAGUAUCAUGUACUUGAGAGUAGCAAACAUGCUGAUGUGACAGACAAUUAAAGAAGAAAAAGAGGGUUAGAGUAACAUAGGUAGAUACCGUAUCAUGUUAAAUGUUAUGCUAGUAUGUGUCUUGCAUGUCAAUAAAUGAGGUCAUCUACUAUCAUAGUUUAUGAUACUAUCCAUUAUGAAGGUAGUAUCAUACAAUAGUAUCAUAUGCAUGAUACUACUACAUGAUACUCUCCACUGCCUUAUGCACCUACACGAAGGGAGUGCUCUCCUCAUCCUCUUCUUUGCAAAGCCAUUUACUUCACAAACAUCUAUUCAUAACUCCUAGAUCUACUCCUAGUACCCCUCUGAUCCACAGAUCGACAAAAAUAUUCCCAUCUGACAAGAUUAUAUUUACAAGUGUAUUCAAGGAUCACAUGAAAUGUGACAGACAUGAUCGUAACAAUCUUCCGAACAUAACGUUUUACAAUGUAUGUCAUUACUCGCACCUCGAGUAUGUUGUAAACACACCAACUUCCAAAAAAGAGAGUAUGUUGUAAACUUGGCCUAGGAACGCCAUUCUACCUGGUUUAGAAAAGUUUGUUUUAAUCAAUCACACAAAGGGAGAGGAAUCCCCACCCGUAUAUAAAUGUGAUUGAUCUUGCUUAUGUGGGAAACCGGAUCGGAAACCAUCAAUCCAGUUCAUGAUAUAAGAAAAACCUUGACAUACAUCCUGCCGAAGCAAGAAUACAAUACAACACAAAGAUCAACAACCUAAACAUGAUGUACACAUAUAAGUUAUUUAAUGUAGGCCCAUGAUUUGCAGAUGGGAUCACCGCAUACAUUAAACUUACAGUGUUGCAUGAAUCACUCAUACUGUUUACAUACAGCCGGGGCCAGGGCCGAAUCAAGGCUAAUCUAAUAAAGCACUCCAGAUUGAGUUGUUCUAACUAACCAUGAAUAUGGACGUGCAACUAGUUUACUAUUUGCGGAUGAAGGGUAAUAUAGUCUUGUUCACGUGUAAAGGAUCGCUGGCGUGAAUCCGUCAUAUCUACUUCAUCCGUUUCUAAAUACAAGUCUUUUUUAAAAUUCUAUCAAGGAACCACGUAUGGAUGUAUAUAUAAAAUCUUUAAAUAAGUAUUUGUAGGUGUAGCAUUACUCGUCGAGCAACUUCUCAUACCUAGUGCUAGUACAAUAAUGCUAGAACUUGAAUUCAACUAGGGCGAGCCCCUUCAUCCCUUAUUAUCAGUCAUAGUUAAGUAUGUCUUUGUUUGUACUCCGUCCGUCUCAUAAUACAAAACUGUCUUUGAUAUUACUAUAUAUUUUCUUUAUAUCUAAAUAAUUGUAGUUGAAAAAAAACUAGACUAAGUUUUUUAACUAAAAUUAUUUGGAGAAUGCUAGGCAUCCACCGAUGGAUUUGUAGUAACCAUCCACCAUCAUUUUAGCCGUCCGAUGCGUACGCGUGCACCGUUCGAUCGCCAGCUUGGUCGUCUCCGUCCACCACACAAAAUCCUGAAACAACGCUCCAGUUGCGGAAACAAGCAUGCUGCUACGUCGUUCGACUGACGGGUUAAAAAUGACUGACGGGUCUUUCGCAACAUAGAUUAUGUUGUAAUUUUUUUGCAGCAAAAGAGCAUGUUGCGAAAACGUUCGUAUAUUUUUUUUGCAAUAGAAUUUGUUAUAGAAUAUUUUCUGCAACAAGGAUCGUGUUGUAGAAAUUUUUGCAACAAAUGUCAUGUUGCAAAAAACUGUUGCAACGUAGGUCAGGCUGUAGAAAACUUUUGCAACAAAAGAUAUUUGUUCCAAUUUUUUAAAACAGAGACCAAGUUGCAGAAACUCGUCAUUACGCCUACUUGCACUAUGCAAUCGUAGAAAUCGACCGACUGAUGGGAAGAGUUUUCCUUGUUAUAUAAUAUUUUCCACAGCAAAGCGGAAACAUAUGUAGAAUUCUUUCUCUACAACAAAAGUCUUGUUGCACAAAUAUUUUGCAACCGAGUGUUUGUUGUAGAUUUUUUUCUGCAACAGUAGGAUGCAAGCUAGGUGAGCGUACAUAAGGCAAGCGUUGCACGAGCGAGAGGCGUCUACCCUCAAGAGAUUUAGAUUCAGAUCCUGCAACAUAGGACGUGUUGCGGUACGCAAUCUGUAAUAAACGUUAAGUUACAGAAUGACAAACUAGAUGAGUUUAAAUAGGACACGCGUCACACGAUCGAGACGGCGAACGUCCGACGUGCGAUCCGUCGGCUGGAGUACAACGUUUCCCUAAUUAUUUAGAUACCGAAAAAGUAUUAAUGAGCAUGAAAUUUAACCUUUUGCUAGAUGCUUGCACCGGCCAGGAGUCGCCCGGUUGUUUUCAGAUUCCAAAAAUAAAGUCAUGUGAGGUAGGCAAACAAAACAAGUGAUGGCACGCAAGUUCACGCGCCGAUAGAGACAAGAAAAGAAAUGCACACCUUGCAUGACAUUGAUCCUUCACCAACUCAUCGCCGGUCACUAUACUAUACUACACACUGCACACCGAGUGCGAUCGAGAGCUAGCUACCUUCAUCGAGCGACAAUGGCGUCCGACCGCCUCAGCGCGCUCAGGGCCUUCGACGACACCAAGGCCGGCGUCAAGGGCCUCGUCGACGCCGGCGCCACAGCCAUCCCGGCCAUCUUCCACCACCCUCCCGACUCCUUCACCCCGUCCACUCUCACCACCGACGUCGCCGUCCCGGUCGUCGACCUCUCCUGCAGCCGGUCGGACGCGGUCGGCGCGGUGAAGGCCGCGGCGGAGACGGCCGGCUUCUUCCUGCUGGCGAACCACGGCGUGCCGGAGGCGGCCAUGUCGGGUAUGCUGGCGGCCGUGCGGCGCUUCAACGAGGAGCCGACGGAGGCCAAGGCGCCCUACUACACGCGGGACGCGGCGAGGCGCGUGCGGUACAGCUGCAACGCCGACCUCUUCCAGACGCUGGUCGGCAAGUGGCGCGACACCAUUUACAUGGACGACGCGGACGAGGACGACGCGGAGCUCCUCCCGCCGGCGUGCAGGGGCGUCGCGCCGGAGUACACGGGGCAGAUGCGGCGGCUGGGGCGCGCCCUCUUCGAGCUGCUGUCGGAGGCCCUGGGGCUGCCUCCUGGGUACCUGGAGGAGGAGGCCGGCGGCAUGGAGGCGCUGAGCGUGGCCGGGCACUACUACCCGGCGUGCCCGGAGCCGCACCUCACGAUGGGCACCGUCAAGCACUCGGACCCCAGCUUCCUCACCGUGCUGCUCCAGGACGGCGUCGGCGGCCUCCAGGUUCUCGUGGACGACGACCUCGAGGAUGCAGCGUGGGUGGACGUGCCGGCGGUGGGGGAGGCGUCGCUGGUGGUGAACGUCGGCGACUUCCUGCAGCUGGUGUCCAACGACAGGUUCAAGAGCCCGGUGCACCGCGUGGUGUCCAGGAGAGUGGGGCCCCGGGUGUCGGUGGCGUGCUUCUUCCGGGCGAACGGCGCGACGGUGUGCGCGCCGGCGGUGGUCGACGGGAGUGGCCCGCCGCGGUACAGGAGCGUCAAGGCGGAGGAGAUGCUCUGCGUGUCCAACACACAGACACGACUCAACAACUUGAGGCUCUAGCUAGCUUACCCUCCGUUCAAAAGAAACAAGCUAUGUCACGCUCCGUUGUACUGCAAACUGCUAUUCCCUCCGUUUUCAAAUAUAAGUUUUUUUAAAGAUUUCACAUACAUAUGUAUAUAGACAUAUUUUAAAAUAAUUUAUACAUAGUCUUUUAUUAAUAAAAUAUUAAAAAACAUAUAUUUAAGAAUGGAAGGAGUAUAUCAUAGGCAUGAUGGUUGAUCAUCGGGUCGUCGUUGUGUAGAGAAUUCCUCUUUCAACUACUCCGAAACUCAUAGGAUAGAGGUUGCCAUCAUGGGCCCUUCCAAUGACAACAAAUAAUUUAAGCUCGAAAAUACUUUUAAUGAGAAAGUGAACUAUGGCCUUAAAGUUAACUUUUAUAAAAUUGAAUUGUUUCGUUUCGGAGAGGCUAAAGGCGUGUCUACACAAUACGCGGACCUGUUCAGUUGUGCAUAUGCCUAAUUCUUGAUAAAAUAUUCAAAAAUUCUAAUUCAUUAUCAACGUCUCACUAGUCACUGAUAUUGCAGAGUGGAAAUGUGUUUGAUAGUGCUUAGAGGAACAUUUGAGCAGUUUGAAAGGUAAGCAGUUUGCUCUCCGUUACAGGACGACUCGUUCUGAUAAAACUCUAUUCUCACAAACAUGACUCAUUACAUGCUCUUCUUUUUUGAGCUCCCAAAUGCAGGCUGGAUUAUUUUCGAUCCAUAUCCUUUUCGCAAGGAGACAGUACAUAGAAAAUGUAUAGGCUUGAAGCUUGAAGACUCGCAUUUUGGAGAUGGUUUGACGGUGGCAAAGGAACUAUUAUAUUCUGUUUCGGAACUUUCGCGAUGAAGGAAGACUCGAAGAUAUGUUUUUGGGAGGAAAAGUGGACAGGAAAUGUCACUCUUCAGGAUGAUACAACAUUCUUCCGAUAAGGAUGAUAAUCUUGUGCAUGUCCUCAACUUCUCCCCGCCAGAACUAUCCUUUAGACGGUUUUUGAUCAACCCUCAUCUUGUUUCAUGACAUCAUCUUCUAUCCCGUUUGAAUUCGAUUAACCUGACUCAAAGACGGAAUGUGUUUGAGUGGAAUCUAAUUGCAAACGGGCCCUUCUCGGCCGACUCUAUGUACCGGAUUGAUUUUCACAUAAUUCUGUACCACCAAUCCUUGUCCACUGCCCUUGAUUUUCAUAAAGUAAGGGCUUGCUGGUACUCGCGAAAUCCCGAACUGAAGUAGACGGCUCAGAUCAUCCCUUCGUGGAAAAUCCACUUUAAUACCUCUGUGGUUCCACCCUCUCAAGUGACCAUCGGAGGGUAGUAGAAACCAGCCUCCUAAGCUGAUUGACCAACCCCUCCUCCGUCAUCAUAACUCCCAUCACUCGCACCAACCCAAUCCUCGGGCUCUCAAGUCGUGGUCUAGUGGAGUUCAAACCGGUGGUCUCGAAGAACAUUGAUAUUUCCCGAGUGCAAGGAAUCAUCGUAGCACUUUCAAGAUGGAAGUGGUAAGUAUGGAGUGUCGAACUCACAAAGAGCUAAAGGUAAGGUCAAUAUUUUCCCAAGUCCUAUCUGCCACCAAUACGACUCUACGUACACCAAGUGUUUGCUUCUAUCUAGUAACGAGAAAGAAAAUUGCGUUGUGGGCAUAAAGAGGAUAACUUUGCAUGAUAUUAGAGAACUAAAAUAUGAAAAUAGUUGCUGCAUUAAAUAGAGUUAGAAUAUAUUACAAUAUAUUACAAAAAGCGAGUGUGGAAUAAUGAUGGUAUGGUGCGUCGAAUCAUUCUAGGCAAUUGAUGAUGAGAUCAGUAAUCAUUCUUGCAAUUUUAUAUGAGAGAGAGGCAUGAGCUAGCAUACUUUUCGUACUUGGAUCAUAUGAACUUAUUAUUGGACCUCUCGCAAGCAUCCGCAAGUACUAGAAAUCAUUAAGAUAAAACCCAAUCAUAGCCUUAAGUAUCAAGUCCUCUUUAGUCCCAUACGCGCACAACUCUCUUCCUUGGAUGUAAGUUUUUAUCAUUCUCGCCACCCACUAUAAAAUAUUCAUGAACAUAUUGCAACACCCUCCAAUGUGAAUCUUUCACGUGUGUGCCUCACGAAAAGAACCUUAGGACAGCCCCAAAAUCAAACAUACACUCGAACCGUAGUGUGCCGUAGACUGCCUCCCUAAUCAUGACUCCCCUGUUGGGGCUAAAGGAAAUACUUGACUUUGCCGUACUUACCCGCUGGCCAGAGCUGGUACAGUAAGUAUCUAAGAUCCUCCUCAAAGUACUAGCAUCAUGACCAUUAGCUCUCAUAAGAAUAAUGGAGUCAUUGGUAAACAAUAAGUGAGAGAUGGAGGGAGCAUUUCUGCUCACUCGAAUACCUUUGAUUCCUCCAGUCUUCUCCUCGCGGGCCAACAUACUCGACAACCCCUCUGAACAUAAUAGAAAUAAGUACGGUGACAACGAGUCUCCCUAUCGUAGCCCCCUCAUGGGAACAAACUCGUUCGUCUACGUGUUGUUAAAUUUGAUUAUGUAGCUCACAGAGGAGACACACUCCAUAUGAUCAAUUCCAUCCAAAAUGGGUGGAACCCCACCUUCAACAUCAUUUGUUGUAAGAAUCCCUACUCAACUCUGUUAUAUGCCUUGAGCAUGUCCAAUUUAACAGCACAUAUACCAUUGGUUUUAUGGGUCUUCUUCUUUAUUGCAUCAGAUUUGGUUUCCUCCAAACUAAAUGAACCCUUACGAGUCCGUGUUGCGCAUGUCCCUCGCCUGGGUCACACACCACACCUUUACACGAUUUCUCUUCUUCUUCUUUUUCUUAAUUUCACUUUGAACAAAUCGCGAUAGCCAGAGGGGUGCGGCUAUGCCUCACCUAUAGUGAGUCGGUAGAAGCACUCAUCUGAAGCACCUUCACCAAUGGGCUGGUAUAGCACGCAUGGCUUUUGGAGCUCAUUUUUUCUUAGUUUCUUUGCAUUUUGUUUAUUUUUUGCUUCCUUUUUUGUGUUUAUUUAUAUUUGGAAAUAUUCAUCGUAUAUAUAUUACAAAAGUAAAUUUACAUAAAUUUUGUAAAAAUCUUAAUCAUGCAUUUGAAAAAAUGUUAAACGUGUAUGGAAAAAAAUCUAAUGUAACCAAAAAAUGUAUAAGGUAUAUGAAAAAAAUAGAUAUCAAAACAUAAAUAUAAAUAACUUUUAAUCAUAUAUUUAGGAAAUUUUAAAUAUGCAUAUAAAAAUACAAGGUGUAUGUAAAAUAUACGACGCGUAUGAAAAAAGUGUAGACAUGAAAAAUUUCAAAUGAAAAAUUAUUAGUCAUGCAUUUUAAAAUGUUUAACAUAUAUAAAAAAUGCUUCUAAUGGAUACAAAUAAUGUACAACGUGUAUGAAUAAAAAGAUGUUAAGAACUGAAAAUAUAUAAAUAUUAAUCAUGUAUUUAAGAAAUGUUAAAUACGUUUAAAAAAUGUUCAUGGUGUAUACAAAAAAUAUAUAAGGUGCGUGUAAAAUGUACAAUGUGUAUGAAAAAAGUAUGCAUCAAAACAUAAACCAAAAAUAUCAUCUCUCCACACACACACACACACANNNNNNNNNNNNNNNNNNNNNNNNNNNNNNNNNNNNNNNNNNNNNNNNNNNNNNNNNNNNNNNNNNNNNNNNNNNNNNNNNNNNNNNNNNNNNNNNNNNNNNNNNNNNNNNNNNNNNNNNNNNNNNNNNNNNNNNNNNNNNNNNNNNNNNNNNNNNNNNNNNNNNNNNNNNNNNNNNNNNNNNNNNNNNNNNNNNNNNNNNNNNNNNNNNNNNNNNNNNNNNNNNNNNNNNNNNNNNNNNNNNNNNNNNNNNNNNNNNNNNNNNNNNNNNNNNNNNNNNNNNNNNNNNNNNNNNNNNNNNNNNNNNNNNNNNNNNNNNNNNNNNNNNACACACACACGGGUCUCAUCUUUCAGAAACAUUUUGAAAUAUCAGCCCAGCUAACCAGGCCUUUUUUUUUUUCUUCUCUUUCAAGGACACAAGGAGGAGACCGAAGACCGGAGUGCAGGAGGAAGAAAGAAAACCAGGGAAAAGCCAGCGCAGAUCAGACCACGCCACCAAUCAAAACCCCNACGAUACACCUGUUGUUUCUACUAGUAAUCAAAAAAAUUGGUGGUUUGAUGCUUGCACAUAGAACUUGUCCGAGGAGGCUGGCUGCAAAUGCGACGUUCAGGCGUAGGGGCGUGAAACAGCUUGGGGUUGGUAUUGAGCUGCUGGGGCAGGACUAUGUCAAGGAAAUUGAGCUGCUGGUUGAGCCAUUGCCACCUGCUAACAGUUUACUACACACCCACCGUCCUAAACUGACAGUGGAAGGUUGGUCCCCUUGUAUAUUAAG